UAAAAUAAAACUCUAUUGUUAUAUAAAAUUGAUGAGACAUAAGGACAAUUGAGUUAAGGACAUAUUUGAAUAUAAAAUAAAAACUCUAUUGUAAUAUUAAAUUGAUGAAAAUACAAGGGUAAUUGAGUUAGGGACAGAUAUGUAAAGAAAAUAGAAACUCUGUUAUUUGAAACAAAUGAUGAAAAAUAAGGGGAUGAAUGAUUUUUUCUGGACUAGACCGGACUACUGACCAGUCUAGCCCAGCUGUAGGUCCGCCACCGGUUUGGAUCAAGUCAACCUACAAAUCCCUCCAAAGAAUUAGAACAGACAAAUCCACUAAUGGUCAUGCAGCAAAUUAAAGACGGCAAUUUCGGUUAUUUAUAAAAACUCCAAAAAAUUCAAAUGAGGUAAGUAAUAUCUUACCUCAUCUCCCCCCAAAAAAAAAAUCCUUUUAAUCCGUGAAAAAAAAAGUAAUAUAUUUCUGUCUCUACCAUAGAUCUCACUCUUAUUCUCACUCAAAAAUUCUUUCUUUCUUUCACUUUUUUUUUAGAUUUUCUUUAUACCUUUUUGUUUAAAGCAAAUAUAAUUAAACCACAUGAAUUGUUGUACAAGUUUUUUUUUUUUUUAAAAAAAACUCAAAUAAUUGACUUGAGUGUUGGAGGAUUCAAGCUAGAAAAACCUUUGGCAUCCUCCUAACUGUUCUCUAUGAACGCAACGAGAAGUGCCCGUGAUCGCUUGGGUUUGCUUGAGCAAGAAGUUGCAAGUAAAAACCAUCUCCCCAACUAUAACAAAUUUAAAUGUUGGCGUGGGCAUCUAAUUGCCACACAACUCGACCAGAUUUCCGUAUCAACCGGUGGGUCUAUGUUUUCGAACUAAGAUGAAUUAUUUGGGUCAGGGUCAGUCUUUUGCUUUUCUUUGAACAGAAACUACGACGGUAAUAAGCUUCUCUCUUUUCGGGGUUUUGUCAAAACGUCCCUGGCUGAUUGAACUAUUUGAAAAGCACCCUCGGCGGCAAUAGAUGGGUUCUUUUCCGGAUGCAGCAUCAACGCCAAUCUCUUGUACUGUUUCUUGAUAGUGAUAUUAUCAACUUCGGGAUCAGUAAUGGCAAGAAUGUCGUACCGGGUUGAUUUCAUCUCUGGUAGUUGAUGCACUCUGUAGGCGGUGAAAUAAUCAUCGAGAUUGGGUAAAUUUCCAUUAAAAUCUUCGGCUGCUUUCCGCUGCUUGAUCGCCAUGUCUACGUUCUGAAGCUUCAAAUACUCUUCUGCAGCAUCUCUAGCCUUCCCGGCUGCUAACUUCACAAGAUUUGAUCAGCAUUGUUACUUUCAGUAAACGGAGGGUCAAGUGGCGUUUUGGCUUCAUACACUUGUUUUUACAGUGAACAGAUUGUUUGCGCAGCGUUGACGCCUUCCUAGUUGAAACAGGUUUCCAUUUGUUAGAUUUGUGAGAGAGUACCGAGUGUUAGUGUCACAUGGUUAAUUCGGUUAUUAAAAAAAAAAAAAAAAGAACAGAGAAUCACUACCUGACAAAAGUGUGAUUUGUUGCAUUCUAAAUUAUACUCAAGAAUUGUGCACAACCAAAAAAAAGAGAAGUCUUUUGAACAUUAUACUACUUUUUUGAACAAUCAUGGCGUGAAAUUCAGACUCACUAGAUACUAGAAAAAUAGUAAAAGGAAAAAGACAUUUUGCAUAAUAAUUUCAACUUUUGUGCACCGACGACGUUAAUGUUGGUACAAAAAAACUUGAUCCAUUAGAAGGAAAUCUUAUAGAUAAUUGUUAAACGUGUCAAAUAUGACCAACAUUGUUAAUAAUGCUCUAAAUUGCCCAUCCCCUAAUCAUGGCCGUCCUGGCCUAAAUCCUUCUUAACACAAGAAUAUCAAAAUAUAUGUUAUAAGUGUUUUGCCCAACAUCCGUUGAACAUAAGACUUCAUGAGGUCCUUUUCUUUGAACUACAAAUCUGGUUAGCGACUUGUCUUCUCCAUUCAUGAAUCGGAACCUGUAGAGUAAUUUGUAAAAGGGUUUAUAGAUGAACGUCACAAUGUUGCACAAAUCAAUCAACUGACACUCACAAAUUUAGUUGACGCACUCAGAUUUUACUCUUUAUUACACGACAAAUUCAAAUAAAUGAAUGAGCUUAAAAGAAAAUCCUCACAGCAGGGAAGCCACCAUAAUCCCCAGGCUCUGUGAUGUCCUUGAAGACACAGCUAUUAGCAGCAAGUCGGACCUGCAAUUGAACCAUUCCAUGUAAAUGAGUAAACAUACUCCAACCAUGAAAACAAUAGAAUAAGGAUGCUGCCAAAUUUAGGUCAAAAGAUGAAAUUCUCUGAUCAAUGGUACUAUAUUUCUGCUUCAAAAACUGUGGAAGGAAUUAGAUAGGCGAGCCCUGAUGGGUAGAGUCGAUGACUACUCUGAUACAUGAUCGGCAGUAUGCCAGACAACUUUCAGUCUAUGAUCUUCCAGUUGUAUAUAGGACUAUAGGAGUAUAUGCUUCACAUUAUUACAUUAUCAAAUGAUAGGGUCAUCUCAACCACUUGAAUGGAUAAACCCCUUUUUUUCCCCCAAAUUGGAAAAAAAGUGCUUCUUCAAGUAUAUACCUUUGAUGCUAUAGAAACAUGAUCACGAACAGCUACCCUUCCCCCCAAAGUUACAUAAUCCCCUAUCCUGAAGGAAACGAAAUCAUGUGGGACAUAAGUUUCACAUUGUCAUUUAAUGGAGUUGCGUCAAAUACAACGUAAACCCAAAGUACUCCAAAAACUUAAAACCAAAAGCAUUAGGAAAAAAAAUGUAAACAAGGAAGAAGAAGUAACCUACGUCGCUGAACCUGCAAUUCCAACUUGUCCACAGAGCAUGCAACUCUUUCCUAUAGCUACAUUAUGGCCAAUCUGCAAAAGGAAAGCAGAUUCUCUUUCUUCUUAAGAUUGCUGAAUAUGUUUGUUGAAAAGGCAAGUUAGCAAAAACCCACCUGGACCAAAUUAUCUAUCUUUGAAUGAUCCCCUAUAACUGUAUCUCUCCAACUGCAAAAAUAAACAGGUCAAAACUCAAAAUUCAGCUUGAAUUGGCUUCUAAUUACAAGCAAGUUUCAGAAAAUUAGCAAAGCAAACAAAUGCGUCACCUGCCCCUAUCAAUGCAGGAAUUUGCACCAAUCUCCACAUGGUUACCAAUCCUAGCAUUCAGCAGCUGAGGAGAGGAAACAUAUCACAAAACACCAAGGCAAUCCAUCUGAGGCACCUACUUAGCUUUUCUUAAAAGGCUAAAAUAUAUUGAAAAUACAAACAUAAAGCUUUUACCAUAUUCCACCACAAAUCCAAAUAUAAUUUUACCAAUUAUUUAUACUUUCAAUUUUUAACUGUUUUAGUUAUCAAGAUCUCUCUAAAAGGAUAAAUUAGAGAAACACACACAAACAAACAUAUAGAUCACCAACUUGAGGUUUCUUCAACAUGUUGCCGUGCUCGUCCACAAAAAAUCCAAAUCCUGAAACACAGACAACAUGCCUCCAAAUUUUAGAACGCAACAAUUGGGUUAUAAAGUUAAAGUUCAAUUUAUCUUUCAACAAUUGGCUUACUGCCUUACCAUCUUGACCAAUGCACACCCCAUUGUGAAUGAUACAUGAAUCACCUAUAAUGCAGUUACUGAGUGCAACAUUAAACCUUUAGAAAGAAAACAUACAUAGUUAUAGCUACUAUCAAACACUAAAAGUUGACUGUAGAUGUCGUAAAUGAGUUAACUAAAAUACCCUAUAUUUGUUGAUUGACCGAUGGUAACAGCGGGACCAACAACAGUUCCUGAUCCAAUACACACAUUUGCACCCAGUACUGCUUUUGAAUGAACUAUAGCACCAACUUCAAUCAGCACAGUUGAAUCAAUACAAGCUGACUGGUGGAAGAUCCCACCUCCAUUAUGCCAUUUUUGAAAUUGUUGGCGGCUUUCUAUGUCUGAAACAUAUAAAAGCAUGUGCAAAGUACCAGUCAAGCAUUUCCUCGAACAUUUGGACGGCAGAAAUUGAACAGCGGAUUGUAUGAGUAUAACCACUAUAACACUCACCGGACUUAGUCGAAAAGAGAUUGCAAAAUCUACCAAAGUCUUGUUUAUAUGUCUUGGUGAGACGAUAAUAAUGGACAAAUCGUUUAACCGCCAUAAGCAGUUAAAAUAAAUGAAAGCAUGGAGUUUUAUUCUUUUUAACAAAAACCGUGGAGUUUUGGAAACGAAACGAGUUCUACAGACGUUCGCCAGUCACGCAGAGACAGCUGGCGUCAGCGAAUUGGAGGAAUAAGAUAGGGAAGAUCUAGAAGACUAAAUAUUUAUAUUUAGUCCUUAAUACAAAUAUUGGCAGUCCCAAACUUAUAUAAGGUUUAGUUGGGUUUAGACGACGACCAAAAAAAAAAAAUUUUUUUACGAUAUUGUCUACAAUUUAUCACACUAUUUUUUAAUUAUUACUUAGAAAUUAGUUAUGUAUUUAUUAUUACUUUAUAGUUAAUUAAUUUUUUAUUAUUCAUUGGUUACUUAAAAUUUAGUAAAUAUUUUUAUUUAUUUUAUUUAAUAGGAAAUGAUAUAGUUAAAUUUUUAUAUUUGUUUAUUAAAUUGAAGAGACCGUUAUUACCGAAUUGCAACAUAAAAUUCUUGUGAGGCUCUUGGGAUACAGCUCAGAGGAAAAUGAAACUCCGGUCAGCUAUGAGUAUAUGCCUAACAAAAGCCUCGAUGUCUUCCUCUUUGUUUUGUCUGUCGGACUCUGUAUUUUAAUUCUAGUACGCUACAUGUAGUAAGAAAGACAAAAGUACUUUAAUUGCUGGUUAUCAAAUUGUGCAAAUAAAAGUAGAACGUAUGGCUAUUUGCCUAAUUCGGCCUAAUUCUAGUUUUCUUUGCACAUUAUGUGCCUACGUCACUACUGGGCACCGUAGCAGUUGUACCACAAGUCUUUCCUCCCAUUAUUUUUCCCCUUCCUUGCCUUAAGCCACAGAGCAAGCCAUGGUAGCUAGUCAAGUUAAAUGCUGUGUUCAAAUUCGUUUUCAGACUCAACAAGGCGUGUUAAAUUGGACUGGAAAAGACGCUCAAGUAUUAUUAAUGAAAUUACAUGGGGUGGUCUUUUAUAUCCCCAUGAGAAUUUUCAACUCAAAAUUAUCUAAAAUUAUCUAUUGAGAUCUCAAAAUUAAGUUAGGAAUUUUUUGCCAAAUCAUGAGAUGAACCCUAAGAAAUCAGACUUUGGAAUGGCGAGGAUAUUCGGGGAAAAGUAAAGUGAAGCUAAUACGACCGACGGAGUUGUUGGACAUAGUAACUGCAUUUCACAACUAAUUGGUAAUUGCCUCUGCUUUGUCUGUUUUCGAAGAUUAACAUAGCUAACAGUACAUGGUUUGAACUUAUGACCAUGUUAUCGUGUGAUAAGAUUCAAGAGACUGAGGUCGUAUACGUCUUGUAGCUUUUGUAUGGCAUCCGAUCUUAUGUUGUUGUUCCAUUUUCAAACAGCGGAUACAUGGCCCCAGAGUAUGAUGUCUUCAGAUUUGGAAAAAGGAUAGUGGAUUUUAUCCAUCCAAAAAUGGUCUGAGCCUCCUUUCUUAUGUAUGUAACUCUCUUUCUUUCUUUCUGAAAAAUAAUUUCGAACGAUCGUUUCCCUAAUCUUGGUUUGUGACUUGUAUGGUCUAAAGGAGAAGCACUGGCGCUUAUGGGGCCAGUACUGAAGCAGUCGUGGGUUCAUGCUGGACUUUUGAAAUUUAUCCGUAUUGGAUUAUUGUGUGUUCAAGAUCGAAGACUCAGCAGACAGGCCCACCAUGUCUUCUGUGGUUAUUAUGUUAGCAAGCGGUUCGGUACCACUUCCUCAACCAACCCAACCUGCAGUUUCUGUUGGCCGAAUUGUCGCAAGGCCGGGUCAAUUCUCACCAGGCGCCGAAAUUUGCUCUGAUAAUGAUGUUACCCUUUCAAGCAUGUCACCCCGUUGACAAUUAAUUCCUAUUCAUUCACUUCGUUGAAGAUGAACACAGGGAAAACAAAGUGUUAAUUAGAAUUAGUUUGAAGUUCUGGCGAUAAUGCAACCACAAGAAAUUAUUAAUUAGUAACCUACGGCAGGUCCAGUAAUUGCUCUUGUUGAUCCCGUGCAAACAUUUUUUUUGCAAGAACUGUUGUCCACAGUCCACUGACAGGAGCAUAGCUGGUUAAUUGGUCUGAUUUCUUUUACCUUAUGUUUUAUUAAUCAUGUGUGUAAGUAUAUUGCAUCUCUUUAAGGGACCGAUUAAACCUAGACUCUACUGCAUAAAAAUGCAGAUAUUCAUUUCAACUAUUUUGUCUUCCCUUUUUCAGGAAAAGAAACUGAGUUGAAUUUAUGCAGCAAAAAAAUUUAUAAAAAUAUCUUUUUUUUAAAAAAAAAAAACCCAUUCAAAUGAAAAUUUUCUGGUUUUGUCCCGCUAGGAACAAUUAGCUAGAGAUUUCGUAUUCAAUUCAACUACUGCGUCUUCCCUUCUAAUAUUUUUCUCCAACAGUUGUGUCUUCCCUCUUCAUAUUUUCUCGUUGAAAGCAAGUAUGAGCUUAUUUUAUGCUGCACGUGGUUAUUGCUGUUUAUAUUAAAAAUUAUCUUGAAUGGCCGACGGAUUACGGAUUCGGUGAACGGGAGAAUUUUUCCAUCAGUGAAUGAUAUGUUAAUCCCCUAAAGCAAGCAAAGGAGCAGUCAACCCCCUACGCCAAGACACGCAAUGCCAAAAAUGGCAGUCAACCCUCCAUUUACAAUUUUGGUCAAGCUUGUGGGGGGAUACAGCAGAUGCUCUUUAAUUCAUGCAUUUUGAUUUAUUUAACUAUAUAUCUGUGUGAACCGAACGAGACGAAAAUCUUUUCCUGCCAACCCCAACUUGCAAGAACAUAGUAGAUUUUUGGUGCACGCGUCUUGGAUCGAUCAAAUAUACUUUAAUCUUAUUUAAUAUUUAUCACCAAAGACUAAUCUCUUUUUACUAAAGCAAAAGCUUAUAUGAAGGCAAAAUUUUGGUUUGUGCUUGAAAUUAAUGUUUGGAUCCUUACCAACAAGUGACAAGUUCUGAUUCUUCUCUUCAUUGAAUUUUGUAACAUAUGCUUCGUUUAUUUACUUUUAUUUAUGAAGCUUUCUUUUUUUUUUUUUAGUAUUUUGUAUAGUACAAAUAGGAUACGAUGAGUUAAAAGAAAUGCACACUUAAAGUUCAGCACCCAUAAAUUUUUUUAAAAAAAUACAUAAUUAAAAUCUAAUGCAGGAAAUCAAAGAAAAUAAAUUUUCAUAUAACUACAUAGGAUGCUCCCAAAAAAAAAAAAAAACUACAUAAGAAGAGUUGAGCCUUUCACCAUAAUGAUAAAAGAAAUAAAUGCAACCAACUCAAUCAGAGUGUUGUCAGCAACCUUUUUAAAUUUGAAACAACAUUUUUCUCAUUAAUUGAUUUGUAAAUAGGAAAAAAAAUACUACAAAACUUUUAAAACUUUAGUUGUUUGAUUGUUAAUGAAAAUUUUUAUUAAAAAUUAUAAAUUACUUUAAUAGGCAUAUUUUUUUAAAGUAUGUUCUGAAAGAAAUGAGAUAAGAUUAUCAAUUAAGUAAAAGAUAUUUUAAAUAUUUUAAUAUUUUAAAAAAAGUUUUCAAUCUCUAUUAGUAACCGUAAAAAAAUUGAAUUUUUAUAAUAGAGAAAAAGCCAGCUUAUUUAAUAUUAAAAAACUCUAAAAAAAAUAAUCAAACAACAAUAAGAAUUAAAUAAAUUAUAAAAUUAAAUAAAUACCUAUAAUCAUUAAAUAAGCACUAAAGUCAAUUUUAACAUGAAGAUAUAAAGUACCAGUACACUUUGACAAUUUGAUAAUUAGUGAUCUAUUUUAGUAAUUGUUUAGAUUCGUAUAUAAUUGUUUAGAAUCGUGUAUUGUGUGUUAGGAAAAGUUUGUCAAAAGUUUGUCAAAAGGAGUUUGGAAAUACUUUCUCCCAAAUGUGUGAAUGGUGGAGCCUUUCUUUUUAUCCGAAAUAAAAGUGGGAUGGGCACCUUUAUUAGACCCUAUUAACAAAGGUUUCUAUCACUCGCAUCCUCGUUGUUUGUGGAAAGAAAUUCAUAGACUGACAUAUUGGAAAUCUAUUACUUUUUAAGUCCUUCUUAAUUGUAUUUUAUAUCAUUCAAAUAGUUUUCAACAAUUAAGUUUACGAGCUUAUGGUCACAAAAAUUGAGUUUUAUAUUUUUUUUAUUACAUUUAUUCUUUUUAAAUUCUCUAUGGUUGAUACGAAAAUUUUAACAUGCUCUCAAAUAUAUAAGGUGAUAUAAUUUUUUGCUAACAAAAAACUUAAACUUUAAUAAUUAACAUGUAACUCAUUUGGAUACUAAAAGUAACUCAGAUUUGAUUAGAUGUUUGGAUUGUUAUGUUGUCAACUACGUUAAUGAUCAAACUUAGUGACGGACCCUGAAAUCGUAAUUAAAUAAAAUAUAAUUAAUGUGGACUGAAGGGACGUAUUUGUAAGGUUAUGGUCUCGGUUUUCAUUUUCACAAACAAUAAGGACUCCUAUAGGGGAGAGAAAACUUUUAAAAAAAAAAACAAAGAUGAGAGAAAUUUAUCCCUUUUCUCUAUCCAUCUACUCUCUCUUUACCUUUCUCUUCAUUAUUUCUCUCAGCUUUCUCUUGGCUUAAUAUUUUUCAAUAAUUAAUAAAGCAACAUUUCAUAAAGACUGCCACUUGAUAUGUGCAAGUGCGUUUGUUGUGUCCAACUUUCUUUAUUAACACAUUCAUUAUCCCAGACAAACCUAUUACUUUGGAUAAGUGCGAAGUAAACAUCUCUAUUGAAACGAAGCCAAAUCUUUGCUUCAGAGGACAAUGCCGAUCGUCAUUUUCUCUGCCUCAAAAACUAUUCACUUGCUUCACCUUCUUUCUUUUCUAUCCUUAGUUAUGUCACAGAGUCCUGAAAACAUGCCGUUUCACUGCUCACAACUUCCUAAUAAUGCUGCUUCAGACAAGUUUACAUCCAAUCUUCGGCGCUUAUUCGAAACUAUUUCUGAAGUGGCUGGCAAAGACGCCUACAAUAAAACCACUGAAGGGAGGUAUCCGGACAAAGUUUACGGUCUUCACCUCUGUAGAGGCGAUGUUAACAAUGAAUCAUGUCGCGAAUGCGUAGAUUUAGCAACUGACACCAUUCAGAAAGAUUGUGAUGGCACCAAAGAAGCAGUUAUAUGGUCUGAUAAGUGUACGGUACGUUAUUCUGAUAGAUCUUUCUCCCCUCACUCAGAGACAUCGCCAAGCAAUUGCUCGACCCACAGAGAGAACUCUACUGAUCCUGAAACGUUGAGAAAGAUUGUGGCCAAGUCAUUAAAGGAAGUAAUUCCCAUGGCAACUUUGAAUAACGAAUCUAAAUAUGCAACCCAUGUGGUUAACUUUUCCAGCAAGCAUAAGCUGUACAAUCUCGUGCAGUGCAUACCAGAGCUGUCAACGGAAGAUUGUCGUGCUUGCUUAACAAGUGCCGCCACUUCAAUUCUACGUUGUUACCAGGAUAAGAAGGGUGCCAGAUUUCUUAACCCGAGUUGUAAUAUAAGAUUCGAGCUGUACCCGUUCUUCACGUCCAACCCUCCACCUGCAGCCGGCCCUAACGGUGAGAUCAUUAUCUUGAGGUUCGCACAACACAUACUGUUGAGCUUUCUAUAACUUAGUAAAGAUUUCUCGUAAUUAUGAGGAAGAAAGUCUAGAAUAUAUAAAAAAAAUUUAAAUUUAAAUACACAUAUCAUAUAUACAUUAGUUAAUUGUAUUACCUCUAAUGUAUUAUAGGAUUUUUGAAUUGACGCCAAUUAAUUAAGACUUGUAAAAGUGCUCUUGUUUUCAUUAUAGAGUUCAGAUUUUUCAGUUAUAAAUCCACUUAAGGCGACUGUGGAAGCAGUUGGAACGGAAACUUUACAUGGUAGAACAUGAUUCAACUUCCAAUGUAGUAAAUUUUAUUCUUUUAAUUUAGUUUUUAUGUCAUACAAAAUCCCUCUUUCUGAAAUCCUCGUGGCAACAUAUAUUUUAUUGUAACCUUUUGUAUUUUUAUUUUUAAAACUGAACGGCAUAUAGUUACAACUUGUAAUCUUAUAAAUGUGUGACACCUAUUAAUAAAUUGUCUCGUGAGAUAUGUUGUUCAUUGACUUCAUUAUUAUGUGAUUAAAGGUUAUUUAAUUAAACAUUCACACUUUGUUGUGUCAUCCUCAUAAAUUUCACGACCAUUAAUUAGGUUGAAGUUCUAACAUUUUUAAUGUCAUCAUGAAUAAUUCCUAAUUAUUUUAGCCUGGAUUCCACCAAGUGGAAGGAACGCAAACAGAAUAUGGAUUGAAAUUGGCACUUCAGUAUCAGGGUCGAUUGUAAUAGUCGUGCUGUUCGUUUCUUUUCUUUGGCGUACGAGGCAAAGAAAUAAAAAAGAACAAGGUACAUAACGGUUUUAUUAUCGGUGAUGGUACGAAAGCGACAAUACUCUUGUUCUGUUCUUUGUAAAGUAAAUUCAUUGUGCUUGCAGAGGAGAGAGCAAUUAGUCGAGAGGCUCAAUUACUUGAAUUGGGAGAAAGUCAAAUUGGAAGCCAUUACUCGUAUAUUUUACGAGAAGAGAAGCAAGUGGAAUCCAAAGAGUUUCCUCUGUUCCCAUUUGACCUUACCGUGGAAGCUACACAACAUUUCUCCGAUGAAAACAAGCUUGGAGAAGGAGGCUUUGGCCCUGUUUAUAAGGUAAUCAUAAGGUUAUGAUUUAAUUUGUUUAAGAAAAUCUGCCAUUAUGUACAACGAGUUUAUUCAACUGUCAGUCAGGUGAGCUUCUUGUUUUAUGGUAACAAUUCAUUCUGGAAAUUUGCUUGCAGGGUGUAUUAGCGGAUGGCAAAGAAAUUGCGGUGAAGAGGCUCUCAAGAACAUCUGGGCAAGGCGUAGAAGAAUUCAUGAAUGAAGUUACUGUAAUUGCCAAAUUACAACAUAAGAAUCUUGUGAGACUCUUGGGAUGCUGCUUAAGGGGAAAUGAAUUGCUGCUCAUCUAUGAGUACAUGCCCAACAAAAGCCUUGAUUUUCUUCUCUUUGGUAUGCUACUCAAGCUUUCUAUUUUCCUUAAUUGCUAAUCGUUUACAAGCACACGACAAGGUAAGUAAACCAGUUAUAUAAUGUUCAAUUUAUUAUUAGAUUCAACAAGGAAUGUACAAUUGGAUUGGGAAAGACGCGUUUGCAUCAUUAAUGGAAUUGCACGAGGUCUCUUAUAUCUGCACGAGGAUUCUCGACUCAAAAUAAUUCAUCGCGACCUCAAAGCUAGCAAUAUUUUGCUAGAUCAUGACAUGAGCCCAAAGAUAUCAGAUUUUGGAAUGGCAAGAAUAUUUGGUGGAAAUCAAAAUGAAGCUAAUACAAAUAGAGUUGUCGGAACAUAGUAUGACACCUCUUGAAUUACUGUUUGAUUUUGUUUUGUUUCUUAUCAAAAACUAUUUUUUAUCACUUACAAAAGUUUCCUUCUUUUGGUCACCAUUGAAAAUUUUCAGUUUAAAUUAGAUACUGAAAUAUAAUAUAGCAUAAAAACUUCUCUAUACAUGUCAUUUAAUCUUAGAAAGUUCCAACUUCAACAGUGGAUAUAUGGCCCCAGAAUACGCCAUGGAAGGACUAUUCUCAGUUAAAUCAGAUGUCUUUAGCUUUGGAGUUCUUCUUCUAGAGAUAAUCAGUGGCAAAAAGAAUAGCAGCUUUUAUCUUUCUGAAGAAAGCCGAAGCCUCCUCGCGCAUGUAUGUAGCUGUCUCUACUAUUCUUUAUAAUUGAAAAGCCAAUUUUCUUAGACUCGCCUUAUUUAUGAACUGUGUAUCGUUAUUUCAGGCAUGGAAACUAUGGUGUGAAGGAAAUGCAUUAGAGCUCAUGGAUCCCGUGCUCAAGCAAUCGUUUAAUCCAGAUGAAGUGUUGAAAUGCAUUCAUAUCGGGCUGCUGUGCGUUCAAGCAGACCCGGAAGACAGACUAACCAUGUCUUCUGUGGUUGUUAUGUUGGCAAGUGAUACCGUUACGCUUCCUAAACCAACCCAACCUCCGUUUUCUUUCAGCCGAGUUGCUCUCAAGUUAACUCACUGCUCAUCUAAUAUUAGAGAUUGUUUUGAUGCUGAUUUAACCCUUUCAAAUGGUUCACCUCGUUGACGCUCUAUAUGUUGUUAAUAUACAUCAUUUUGAUUUCUACGUUUACAACACGUUGGCCAUGAUCGUUUGGCACUAAUAUCAUCUUUUGUUCGUCAUAUGGUUUCAUUUUCCACUGAAUAGGAAUCAUUGUUCCCCGCUAGAUUCAUUUUGGCUACCACAUAUAUAUCUGCCAUUCAUUCACUUCGUAUUUUAAAUACUUAGGGAAGCAGAAUGUUGGGAUCGAGCAAAGCACAUAUUGAUCAAUUAAUUUCAAAUGAUGAACGAAUCUUGACCUAAUCUAUUGAGGAAUUUGAGGCUUACAGUAUCAAUUGAAAACACAGAAAGAUCAAGAACUCCAAAGACUCGAACGAUGUCAAAUACUUGAGGUGGUUCACCCAAGAUGCUUACUUCCGCAUUGAAAUACGCACUCAAAACGCUUUAUUGAAUCAUGACGAUUAAAGUCCUUGAUCUCAUUACAGAGAACAAAACUCUCUGGACAACGUUCGCUAAAUUCGAGCAAAAUAAAGAGAAAAUGGUUUCUGUAAAAAUACAGGAGAAGCUGGAGCGGGUGGGGUUAUUCGCGAUUCUUUUGGCAACUGGAUCUCAGGUUUUAGUAUGAAUAUUGGGGAAAGCUCAGUGAUUAUGGCUGAACUUUGGGGCCUGUAUCAAGGAUUAUCCCUUGCCUGGAAUGUUGGCAUCAGACACCUCUUGGUGGAAGUAGACAACCUCUGUGUAACUCAUAUGAUCUCUCAGUAGGUGGCCGUGCCUAAUGUUUUCUAUGCUUUAGUGGUGGCAAUUCAUGAUUUUUUAAGUAGGAAUUGGUAGAUUUCUAUCUCUACUGCAUAGUUUACAUUUAUUUUCUAGCCCGCCUGUGGGUAUUUAUUCUAUUAUUUCGGAAGAUAUGUUUGGGGUUUGUCAACCCCGCUUUGUUCCUGUCUAGCUCGUAUUGAUGAGCCCCUUUUAAUUAAAAAAAAAAAGAGAAAAUUGCUUGUGGAGCACUAUUGGUCAAUGGAUGUGGAUCCAAUAAUGAAGUGACUUGAGCUCUUGUCAUGGGCAAAAUAUAUCGUUAAAAUUUAAUUAGUUUUAUAUUUUUAUCUAAUAACUAUCAAUUAUAAUUUUUUAUCAUGACCCCUCUUUUUUUAUAUCAGUUAUUCUGUUUGUAACUAUAUAACAAAUUUUAAUUUACUUCAGCGUAUAUGAUCAUCAUUAAUUAAUUAUUAGUCUGUUUAUACUUGGACAAAUUAAUUUUAAUGUGUGAUGCAUAUGUGGUCGUACAGGCAUCUACAAGACUCAUUUAUUUGAUCGCCCAAGCAUCAUAGUUUCGACAAUCGAAACAUCCAGAGCAGUCUUGAUGGACGACGACCUACUAACGAGAAAUUCUAAAAUACAUCUGUUGUACCAUAUCACCCAUACAACAAGUAAAUAAUGUCAUGAUAUAUGUGCAUUUAUUUUGUAAACUGUCAUGCAAGUGGUGAUUGUAUUAAACCCAAUUACACAUGUCAUGCAUGCAUUAAUUGGUUGUAAUACAACAGAUGUAUUCUAGAAUUAUUCGCUACUUACAAGUUGUUAUCCUAUAGCCAAGAAGAUAUUGGCUGGAAAUUAAUAUUUUUUAAAUGAAUUUGAAAUUAACAAUGCAAAAAUAAUAGUUUAACUCUAAGGACUACCAAAGGGAAACUCACGCCAUGUUAUUCUUGCAUUUUUAAUUUUCAAAUAAAUCUAAAAUAUUUCUUUCCUCGCUAGCACGAAAAAAACAGGUAAAGAUCCUUGAAGCGGAACUUAGUACUAGAAGGGCAAUGCAGAAAAGUGAUGAUCGAAUGACCAAGAUGAUGAUGCCAAAAAGUUGGAUGACUCGUGUCUUCUUUAGCCGAUCUGAAUGCUCCCUUACAUGUUGAAAUAUGGGCCACAAUAUAAUCACCGAAAAUUUUAGAGUACAUUAGAAAUAUUACACUUAAUUAACACAUACGUGACAUGUAUAGUUUAAUUAAUUAUAACUGUCAAUUACGUAGUGAUUUUUUAAAAUAAAUGUACACAUAAAAUAUUAUAUGCAUUAAUUAGAUAUAAUGCCUCUGAUAUACUUUAAAAUCUCUCCUACCUAUUUCAACAUCCAUUCGUGCCCCAAAAAGCCAAAGGUUAUCCAAUUCAAUUAAUUAUGUUAAUCCUUCCAAUUGACAACUUAUGAAGCACAAUAAUUACUGGUCUUAAACUGAACUAACGAUAAUGGAAUAUAAAAUUUUCGAUCUAAGUGUUAAAUUGAUAAUUACAUAUGUUUUUAAUUUCGUAAAGUCAAUUCAUAUUACAAAAAAUCAAUUAAUUACUGAAGCUGAACUCAACUUUGCGCAAGAAGGACAAGAGGGGAUUAUUAAAAAACGACCAUCUUUGUAGAAAGGACUGAGUCUUAAAGAAAUUAGACAAAUGAAAUAUCUUGCUAGGGUAUACCAUAUGCGGCUAGCAUGAUUAUGUAAAAUAGAAUUGUAUUAAUUUCUAUUUUACAAACAAAAUAAGAUGUAAUUUGCAACCCCCACCAAAAAAAAAAGAUGAUUAUAUAAAAGUUGAUGUUUAAUUGUGAUAUACUUAAUAUCUUGUAUCACUACUAUAUAUGUAAGGAGUUCUAGUGUAUAUAUUGUUGAUUGGGUUAGUUGCGGGUUAUAUGCUCCUGAAAUGACAAUCUUUAAAUAUUUUUAAAUUAUUUUAAGUUUCAACUUAUUCUCAAUUUUAUUAAAAAACAAGGAAAAAUAUGGGCGGAUUGAUGAAAAAUAUUUUAUCUUCUUUACAAAAUAUGAGAUAAGUUGAGAUUAUUUUUCAUCAAUCGACCCUCAUUUUUAUUUUAUCUGUUAAACAAAAUAGAAAUAAGUUAAAGCUUAAAAUAAAUUAGGGACAUUCUAACGAUUGUGGAGGCUAGUCCAAAAUUUACACUCGUUGAUUUAAACAAGAAACAUCGCGCUUCUUCAAUUUGCCAUUUUCGGAUUUUUAAGAGACGUUAACAGAUGCUAACAUCAAACAUGAGUUUAGUCACUUCAAUUAAAGCCUAAUAUUUAUCUUAACGGGUGUAUUUAAAAGGGGGUUUAUGAAAAUAAUAGAGGGGUGUCAGAAGCACCGCUCGGCCUUUUAAGUUUCAUUAAUUACAUUUUGGGAUUUGAUCUUGGGCCACCCACAUGAAAAGGACCCGAACUCCCAAAUCCAACACUUCAUAAGUCAUACUCGGUGAUAUACUGAUAUUUGGCUCUCUCAAAUAAUCUCACCAAUUCGUAAUUAUCACUUUUAUUUUAAUAUUCAUUUAAUGCUUGUAUGAAAUUACUGAAAAUGAUAAAUAGAUUUUAAGUGUUUACAUAAUUUCUAGACCCUUGGUUGAGAUUUUAUAGAUUAAAUGAUAUAGAUUUAUAUUAGUAAUCUAUAAUUAAUAUUUUCUUUUUACUUUUCUCUUUCUCUCAUCAUCUCCAUUCACCUUCUUGCUCGUUUUUGUAUCUCUUCUCUUCUAAUUACAACUUUCAUCUAAUCCUCUACGUCUGCCUUUCAUCUAUUAUGCUCAAAUUGCAAUCUAAGUGCAAGAAUAGAAUUAUAAUAAGGUGAAACAAAUAGAAUUUGUAGGGAUUGCACAGAAACACAUAUUUUAAUAAAUAGAAAAUUGUAAUUUUUUGUCUAUUAGUAUAUUGAAAGCUAUAUCUUCUUAUUUGUUAGUGACAUCCUCUUUAUAUAUACAUUACAUUUAAUUUUUAAUUAAUUCUGAAAUUUUUUUCAGAAUUAAUCAGAAAAUUAUGAGAAUUUCCUUAUUUUUUAAUUAUUUUAAAUUUAAUUUUUAAUUAAUUAUGAUUAGAAAUAUUUAAGUAAUUAAGUAAUUAAAAAUAUUCUCAAAUAUAAUAUAAUAUAUAUAUGUGUGUGUGUGUGAAAAAAUUGACACUCAAGAGAUUUUGACGGUAUUUGUAUUGGUUUCAGCAUUGACGAUGCGAACAAAAGAUGUGCGAGUGCGACUUUGAAUUGCAGAGGAAGAGGAUUAUUGCUGAAUUUGAUAGCCGUCGUAAAUGUUAAACAUGAUGAGAUUGAGAUCACUAAAAACUAUUAAAUAAUUGCUACUUAACAAUCUUGUUUUGAUUAUUAUUAAUAAUCACAACUAAUUUUCAAUUUGAUUGCAUAUAAUUAAAUAGUCAAACUGUAAAAAAGGAUGCCAAACAUCUUAUCCUACUGAGGACAAUUAAGGCAUAUGAACAUGGGAGUUGUGCUAUAUAUUCAAAUUUUAAUUCUAUAAUUUUACUCUAAAUAAUAUAGUAUUCAUUCACAAAUUGAUGAAAUAACAUAAUUAAUUUACUUAGAACUUAUUAAAAAUCAUCUACCACUUAAUAAAAGACAUAUUACUUACUACAUUAUUUGAGACAAAAUUUUAGAAUGUCUAUUCAAUUGAUAUGCAUGUAACAUAAUAUUUAUUGAUAAAGUAAUAUUGAAAAAUUAUUUAUUAAAAAGAAUAAUACUGUGUUUACUCUAUUAGAAUACUUAGUUUGUACAACAUUUCAUGUGUCAUCCAUGGAUUGAGUUAUAAUAUCUUAAUUAAAUCAAUUAAUACCAUACACAUCAUAUCACAAUAAAUAAUUAGCGCCACAUAAUAGUCAGAUACAAAUCUAAUAGUAUAUUAAUUAAUCAUAAUACUAUUGUGUUAAAAAUAUUGAGUGAUAAAGUCAAACAACCCUUGAUAUUUGUCAAUUUAUUAAUAAUAGAUGACAUAUUGUUCAAUAUACAAAUUAUGUAUCCUAACAAUAGGCCUACCCUGAGAAAAACAAAAUUUCAAUAAAGACAAGGAAUUUAAUUGAAAUUUUUCUAUUUUACGUUAUGGCCACUUAGACUUACAAUUUUUAUGUUAUGAUGGCUUCUCAAGUUUAUGGUUUCAUUAUGACAGAUAAUUACAAUAAACUACUUGAAUAAAAAAUUGUAAUUUAAAGGGAAAAGGAGACAAAAAAAAUUGAAUUAAAAAGUUUGUUGAUUGACAGAGAUUACGGUUGUAAAAUUCAUUAACCAUUGAGUUUUAAUAUUUGACUCUCAUUAUAUCUCACCGGCCCCGCUAAUCACUUUUAUACUAAUAUUUAUUUUAUCGUUAUAUAAAGUGACAUAAAAGAAGUAGAUAGUUUUUAAGUACACUGACAUGAUAAUUUCUAUUAAUGUUUAGUUUAGCCAAUCUAAUUUUUUAGAGUCUAAUUUCUUUUAACUUUUGAAAUUAUUAUCUCUUUUUAAAUAUUGUAUACUCUACUUUUGUAAUCAUGGAGAAAAUUAAUUUACAGUACUCUAUAGAGAAUGAGGAAGAAGUAUCGAAUCUUUCUUUUAUAUAAUUAUGGAGACGAUGGAUAAGACCUUUAAAAAGAAAGAAAUAGAUUAUAGUAAUUUUAAGAUCUUUUUUUAAUAGAUUUUAUAAGUUCCAUAUAGUGACUGCUUUGGAAAAAAUAUAAAAAUUAUAAUAAGAGUAAAUUUGGGAUUAAAUUGGGUAUAUUAAGAGAUAAAGAUUAGUUUAAAAUUUUUAAUAGAUUAACUAAAUAGCGAGAGUUGGUAAGAUAUAAUAAGGAGUCAAAUAUCACCACUCUUAACCAUUUUGAACUGCUAACUAAGAAAUUUUAAAAUACCUUCUUUUUUUUUAAUAAUAAGGAUAUAAAAGAAAAUAAUAAGAAUCAAAUUUCAUGAGUUUAUUCCUAAAAAAUUACUAAAAUCCUUGAAGUUUCUUGGUUUGUCUAAUAAAACGUUGAAUACAAAUUUGAACCAAAAGGUAUAAAAUGUGACGAUAAUUCAAAGAAUGUUGUUUGAAGGAUAAAAGUGGGAGCAUGAUUGGAUACAAUUAUGUGCAAAUCAUCCUCUCCUUGACACUAGAGUUGUAAACAAGCCUUCUUGAGUUGUGAUUCUAAGGAACUCAUAAACAAUCUGUUUAGGUCAUCACGUGGUAGGCAGGUCGCUUUGCAGGUGUGCUCGCACAAGGAUCUCGCGAGGAGAAACUCAAACAAAGUCAACUUGAAGACUCAAUCAAGAGUCAACUUGAGGAUUCUCUCCGAAAAAUCAGGGCAAGAUCCUGAUAGACUAACAACUACUCUCUCUUAUCUAGGAACAUGAGUCUCGGUCCUCUAUAAGAACCUAUGGAAAUUCAAAGUAGGUAAGUUUUUCUAUUUUCUUUGUCUAGACUCUUUCACUUUCUUUCUCUUCUCUCAUUUCAAUUUUUUUUUUCAGUUAAUUUGAAAUUUCGUUAAAAAAAGCUUUUUUUUUUUUUUGUUCAAAAGUAAUCAAAAUUAAGCCACAUGAGUUGUGGCAUAAGUUUUACCUAAAAGAAAUGAUUAUUGACUUGAGCAUCGGAGGGUUCACGCCGAAAAAAACAUUCAGCGUCCCCCUAACUAUUUAUGUGAAUGCAGGUCAGUUUCGUAGAAGUGCUUGUGGUCGCAAGAAUCUGCUCAAGCAAAGGAAGUGCAAGCCAAAGUUGUUCCCAUUAAUACAAAUUUAAGUGUUUGCGUGGACAUCUGGUUGCAACUCUUCCACCAACCAGAUUUCUGCAUCAACUAACAUUAUAAAAAAUGAAAAUUAACUAUAAGCUAUAUGCUUAAUUAAAAAAAAAUGAAGAUUAACAAUAAACUAUAUGCUUAAUUAAAAAUCAAAUUAGAUAACUGCAGUUUACCACUCACAUGUCGUACAUCAAAUGAAAACUCUUCAAAGUAAAAUAUAAUUAAAUGUUUGAUUUGAUCAAACGUUACCUGUUCCAUAAGACUUUAGUGAAAUUUUUGUAUAGAAGUAUAUAUGUAUAUAUAUAAAAUAUUUAUACUUGACUUGAUCAAAUGUUGCCUGUCUCAGCAGACUUUAGUAUAUAUAUUUCCUUGCUCAAUUUCUCAUCGACUGAAGUUUAAUUUUCGUCUCUACCUCUCAAUCAGCAUAUAAGGUUGUACUAGUAUAUAUAUAUAAUUACCACCUUGCUUUACUUUUACAGAAAGAAAUAUUCAGCCAAAUCGUGCUUUUCCGAUUUCAAAAUCCAGAAUGACGAUGCUAUUUUCGGCCUCAAUAAUAACUCUUCGUUUGUUUCUCUUGCUGGCCAUUCUAUCCCAUUCCCAUGUUAUAAUGUCACAGACUACGUUUGUUGACGAAAACAUGGUCCUGACUUGCCCUGCAUCAAUUAACAAUAUUAAUACUUCUUCCUACGCGUUCAUCCACAACGUCCAUAGCCUCUUCAACCGAAAGCUUCACUCUGAAGCCGGCAACUCCCUCUAUUACAGCGCCACAGAAGGCUAUUUUCCUGACACAGCUUUUGGUCUUUAUCUUUGUAAAUUCGACAUUACUUUCCAGUCCUGCCAAAGGUGCAUAGCUACAGCGGUUAAAGCCGUGAUGAAAAAAUGUAAUGGCACCAGGAAGGCAAUUAUAUGGUACCGAGAGUGCAUGGUUCGCUACUCCGACAAGUCUUUACCCAUCAUGGAUACUUCCACAGUUCUUUGCAUGUACAUAGUACGAAACUUUUCUGUACCGAGAAACGUUACUAGGAUCUUGGCUCAGUCCUUCAACGACGUAAUUGCCAUGCCAAGUUUAAGUUCUUUCCGAAAUGCAACCAAAGGGACUAACAUUUCCAACAUUAAUAGACUUGAAACUUUUGGGCAGUGUAUACCAGUGUUGUCAGUAGAUGACUGUCGAGAUUGCCUGAAUAAUACUAUUCGUUGGAUUCAAAAGUGCUUCGACCCGCCGGGAACGGGAUUCGGUAGAAUUCUUUUCCCAAGUUGUAUCAUGGGGUUCGAGCUGCACCCCUACUCCAAGGUACCUGCAGUAGGAGCUCUAGCACCCAGCUCUGCACCAGGUAACUACUCUGUUUGAUUUUAAUACAUUUAUAGGGCUAUUUUGACGUAGAUUUUCAACAAAAAUUUUGAGUCAUUGAUUUCAUACAAUUCAAUGGCAGAGAUGGUGGAUGAAUUGAGAUCAUUGCAAAAUAAGUGAUAAAAUUGAGACCUGUGUAGCUAGCCAUACAAAUCCUGAUCCUUAACUGCUUUUUUUUUUUAAUAUUGUUUUGCGUCUGGAAAGGAGGGAAGAGGAGAAGAGCAAUAAGUAUUGCAAUUGGCACAACUUUAUCAGCAAUUAUAGUAGUGCUGUUCGGUUCGUUUCUUUGGUACCGGCGGAGAAGGUAUGAACGAGGCCAAGGUAAAGAAUUUACUUGGCAUUAUAAAAGUUUUCUCGCUUCUACGUUCGUCUUUUCCCCGUUUCAAUUUAUAUUUAAAUCCAGUUAAUUGACUUGCAGAGGAGAAAAGAAACAGUCAAGAGGUUCAAUUUCAUCACUGGGAAGGAAGAAUUGGGAAUCAUUACUCCUAUGAUAUUUUACGAGGAGGGGAGCAGCAGGCGGAAUCUCAAGAAUUCCCUUUGUUCCCAUUAGGCCUUGCACUUGAAGCCACAAACCAUUUCUCCGAUGAAAAUAAGCUUGGACAAGGUGGAUUUGGCCCUGUGUACAAGGUAAUUGAUUAUACGGUGAUGGCUUCAAUUUUAUAAAUUAUAAGAAACUAAAUGUGUUCACUCAAAGAAUGCAAUAUUAUUACUGACCAAAUGCAAUCUUUCAUUCUUUGAAAUUUGAAUGACAUUUAUAGAUUAGGCACUUUGCUAGCUAUUUUGUUUUCAUUGGUAACGGCGGAUGGUUGCUUCCAGGGUACAUUAGCGGAUGGUAAGGCAAUUGCAGUGAAAAGGCUCUCAAGAACAUCUGGGCAAGGGCUAAAGGAGUUCAAGAACGAAGUUAAUUUGAUUGCCAAAUUACAACACAAAAACCUUGUGAGACUCUUGGGAUGCUGCUUAGAGGGACAGGAGCUGCUGCUCAUCUAUGAGUACAUGCCAAAUAAAAGCCUUGAUGUCCAUCUUUUUGGUUUGUCUCUCUCGCUCUCUAUUAAAUGCUAUCUAUUGUAUAUAUUGUAAGGCUCAUGCGCAUUUCCUAAUUGUAAACUGGCUGUUAAGUUGUGCAAAUAAAAUCAGAUAUUAUGGUAAGGAUUUCUUCUUAGUUCCAAACUUUAUCAAGCCCCUAGCUGGAAUUGCCCAUAUUUAUAUUAUGUUCCCUGUUUAUGUAACAUAACUACCUGCCGCACCACAUACAUAUAGCAAAUGUAACAAAUUUUUGGUGUUUUCUCCCUUCGCUUUCCCUUCCUUGCACCAGCAAUGGAGCUUGCGGACAAACUAAUCAAGUUACAUCUUGUGUUCAAUUCAUUGUUAGAUGCAACGAGGAGUGUACAGUUGGACUGGAAAAGGCGUCUAAGCAUCAUUAAUGGAAUAGCAAGAGGUAUAUUGUAUUUGCACGAGGAUUCUCGCCUCAAAAUUAUUCAUAGAGACCUCAAAGCUAGUAAUGUCUUACUAGAUGAUGAUAUGAACCCAAAAAUAUCAGACUUUGGAACAGCGAGGAUAUUUGGCGGAAAUCAAAAUCAAGCUAAUACAAAUAUAAUUGCUGGUACAUAGUAAGUGGCUUCUAUCCUAGAAGCUCAUUUUCCUUCCUGUUGGAAUUAAAAAAAAAAAAUUUAAUGUUCCCAUUUUUAAUCUCAAUUGCUCCUUUGUUUGUUCUUUUCUUACAUUUGUGUUGUCAAGCUUGGGGAAAAUUUAGUGUCUAAUAAAUCCGUUAUAAAGCUUGGUCUUUCUAUACGAGGAUUCUACUGAUGACAGUUAUAAAAUUAGAACAUCAAGAAUUAAGAAUAAGAAGUUGGUUCAACUGGUGGGAUGCUUCAAAAUAUCUGGGUUUGAAUUCUGCAUACGUUGGAGUUGGCAAUGUGUUUAUUUUAUAUUUAUGUAAUUUAAAAAAAGAAAAAAAAGAAAAACGGUCGUUUAGAAAUGCAAUUAUGCUUCUGCAAAGGAUUAAUCAUUAACCUAAGCUAAAGCUAUAAACCUGUCUUCUAUAACUUCUAAUCAAAUUUUUAUGAGGCUAACAAGCAAGUUUCCCAGACUUCAUUAAUUUUUCCAUAACUUUGAUCUUAUUUUGUUGUUCAAACAGUGGAUACAUGGCCCCAGAGUAUGCAAUGGGAGGCAUAUUUUCUAUUAAAUCUGAUGUUUUCAGUUUUGGAGUUCUUCUGCUAGAGAUAAUAAGUGGGAGAAAGAACAAUGGAUUUUAUUUUUCCGAACAUGGUCAAACCCUCCUUACUUACGUAUGUAACACACACACACACACACUCUCUCUCUCUCUUUUUCUUUUUAAAUAAUUCGAUAGCCUAAUCUUUGAUUUCGACCUUUUUAAUAUUCCAGACAUGGAAACUAUGGUGUGAAGGACAUGCAGUGGAGUUGAUAGACCCAGUACUAAAGCAGUCAUGUGCUCCAGAUGAACUGCUGAAAUUUAUUCAUAUUGGAUUGUUGUGCGUUCAGCAAGACCCCGCAGACAGACCUACCAUGUCAUCAGUGGUUGUUAUGUUGGCAAGUGAUUCCAUGACAAUUCCUCAACCAACCGAGCCUGCAUUUUCUGUAGGCCGAGUUGUUGCGAAUUCCGGUCACCUUUUAUCGUCUGCUAAAGUUGGUUCUGUUAAUAAUGUUACUGUUUCAGAUGUAUCCCCCCGGUGAUAAUGAUGAAGACACACUAACUUUUUUUCUUCAUCUCUUUUACUUGAAGAUUUAGGACACAUAUGUGUAAGUCAUGUUACUAACUGAUCACAUGAUUUUAAUUUAUCAGUUGUUCCUUGUUAAUAUUUAUACCUGCAAACUAGACUACUCUGUUCUAUCACAUCCCCAUUUAUACUCUUGAUUUACCCUGUCAAACUGCUGGAAAAAAUUGUGAUUAUAUGACAUUGAAGAAAUUUCUUUCAAUGUCAGGAAUUCAGAGAAAGUAUGCAAAAGCAAGAAAAUUUUCACAACCCAGUCAUUGGAAAUAGGUUUGGCAGCCAUGAUUUGUUAUACCAAACAGCUACCGCAAUUUUCUUAUCCAGCUGAUUGCUUCUUUUGUCUAUAACCCAAAAAUGUAUAGACCAACGUUGCAGUGAUAACUGGUAGGAAUCUGUUAUCUCAAAAUCUACCCUUUGUAUAGUCUCAGUGUGCAGUUGAAAUAUUCCGUCACAGAGACAUUUCAACACUUGAGAUUACGCAACUUAUUUCGUGUCAUUGUGCAGCGUGCAAAAGUUAUUUCUUUUGCGUGUCUGGGUUUGCAUUCUCUAUGGUUAUUCUUUGAAGCUCCUUUCCAUUUGCAUAUGGAUGGGCCUUGGAUUACAUGUUGAAGUUAACCACUUUGCAUUGCAGGUUUGCAACGGAGAUUCUACAUUGACCUCCUGCUUAUUAAAAGCCGCCUCUCAAGUUUAUUACAAUUAGUUUAUUGUCAUUGACGUGUCGAAAUGGCCAGCUAGUUUACUUUUGAUUUGUUUUCUUGCUAAUCUUUUUCUGUCGAUGCAUGCUUCAUAAGUUUAUGUAUCACUCCAGACAUCAAUUCAAUUCAGUCAGACUAAGUGGUUAUUUAUUAUAGUAACACUUUCCCAGAGACUACGCUCAAUUAGUCAAAGUCCUACCAAUUUUUUUUUUCCUCAGCUAUCUACGGGCUACAAUUUACUGUUUUACUCAUGCAAAAUUAAAAAUGUAAAUAUCCCCACUAACAGAGCCAGAGUAAUCGUGUGACUCGAAAUCUCUAGCCUUAUAUGCUUCACCAUAGAGUUACUAGAAAAUGACUAAUAUAUUUGUCCACUGAGAAUUCUUCCAAGAAAAUACCAUGAACGAAGUGGUUGAAGCACCAUAAAUAGCUAGCCCAAGAACUGUGUUAGCUGCAUAAUAGAGAACACUUUUCAUUAUUGCACAGUGGUUCCAAAAGGCAAGAUAUGGCUCAUAUCAUCAGUGUUUCAAAAGUCAUUCAAUUAAUUUUCAUUUAUUCUCUCACAGCCACUCCUCAUGAUCUUGCUUUUGGCGAUAGCCCUCCCUAUAACACUUGUUCAAGCAGUGCCGCUGAUUAUGGACAUGCUGGUCCAAUCUAUAGAAACCUGAAAAAAGUCGUCAUUUCUUUAGCCUUGAAUGCUUCUGCUGCCAAGUUUUCCGAUGCGUCUUCAGGGAAUGACUCAGAUAGAGUUUAUGGUCUCUACACGUGCCUCAACUAUAUUUCAAAUGACACUUGCAACAACUGCAUAACCACAGCAACACAAGACAUCACCAAACUUUGUCCAAACAAAACCGACGCAAUCGUGUGGGAAGAGGUCUGUCAGUUGCGCUAUGCUUACGGAAAUUUCUUUGGCCAAUUGGAUGUCUCAGGAAACAUUCCUAAAUACAACAGAAAAAAUAUAUCAGAACCCGAGAGGUAUAGAUCUGUUGUGAACAACACUCUGAAUAAUCUCACCAAACUGGCAGCUUUUGAUCCUUCAAACGAAAUGUAUGCAACUGGUGAAGUACCCUUCACAAAUUCCGACACUUUAUAUGCUCUAGUUCAAUGCACCAAAGAUCUAUCUGCCGAUGAUUGUGAUGCAUGCCUCAACAAAGCUAUAGCAGAUAUUUUAUCUUGCUGCUAUUUUUCAAGAGGAGCACGACUUCUCAGUCGUAGCUGCUAUUUGAGGUAUGAAUUAUAUGCCUUUUAUAACGGUAACACAGAAGCUUCUGUCUCAGUUGGAAACCAAGCAUCAGGGAAAGGUAAGUAGUGCAAUUUCACCAUAAGAAUUAAUUUCUUAAUCCAUGUGGUGUUUGAAGAAUGGAACUUAAUGUAGUAUUCUGUUCGUGGUAUCAAAUAUAUGCAGGCAACCAAAGGAAGAUGUGGAUGAUUAUAAUUCUAGCCGCUGUAGCAGCUUUUCUACUGCUAGUUGUUGCUUCCACUUGCUACUUCUUUGCUGCAAAAAAGGUAGCCCGGAAAAGUAAAGAUUUUAUCAGAAAGUUUUCAAGCUAUUUUCUGUUCUGGCAUCAUCUGUUUUCACCCUUUUUUCUUUUUCUUUUAAUUUUAUCUCUUCAAAUUUUGCCUUCGUGUGUUAGGGAAGGGUAUGGUAAGAAAGCAGAUUCAAUUACAUAAAAUUGGGGACGCAAGCAAAACAGGCCUCCAUUAUCAACAUGUUUUGGGGAGGGAUGAUGAUCUAAAAGCUCAGGACUUUUAUAUUGAUCUGGAAACAUUACAUGUAGCAAGCAAUAACUUUUCCGAUUCGAAUAUGCUAGGACAAGGUGGUUUUGGUCCUGUUUACAAGGUAUUAUUAUUAUUUAAAAAAUAAAAAUAAAAAGUCAUCCAUUAAUAUGUUUUAAAAAUAAGAAAUAAAAAUUAUCAGGGUGUAUUAAGUGACGGCAAGGAAGUAGCAGUGGAGAGGCUCUCCAGCUGUUCUGAGCAGGGCAAUGCAGAAUUCACAAAUGAAGUGCUCCUUAUAUUGAAGCUACAGCACAAAAAUCUCGUCAAGCUUCUAGGUUUUUGUGUUGACGGAGACGAAAAGCUGCUUGUCUACGAAUUUAUGCCAAACAGCAGCCUUGAUGCGAUCCUUUUUGGUAUGCGCUUUUCUUUUUCAUUUAUUAUUGUCCCUUUGAAUUCUCAGAACAUCGAUUUAUUCCUCUUUCUGGCACUCUUAAUUUUAGAUCCAAGGAAACGUGGGCUACUGUGUUGGAGCAAACGUAUUACUAUUGUAAAUGGAAUUGCCAAGGGAAUUCUUUACGUUCAUGAGGAUUCUCGACUUAGAAUCAUUCACAGGGACCUAAAAGCUAGCAAUGUGUUGUUAGACUAUGACAUGAACCCCAAGAUCUCAGAUUUUGGAAUGGCAAGGAUAUUCGCCGGAAGUGAAGGUGAAGUUAAUACUGCCAGAAUAGUCGGAACAUAGUAAGUAAAACCUAUUUACUUAUAGCUCAAAUAUGCUAUUCUCAAUUAAUAAUAAAGAUUUUAUUUUUCUUUUUGGUAAAUAGUGGAUAUAUGGCUCCUGAAUAUGCAAUGGAGGGAUUAUAUUCCAUAAAGUCUGAUGUUUUUAGCUUUGGAGUACUCUUGAUUGAGAUUAUAACUGGAAGGAGAAACACAGGCUUCAAUCAAUCAAGAGGCGCGACUGCCCCGAACCUCCUAGCCUAUGUAAAUCUGUCUACAAUAAAGAACGUGCAUUUUAUUUCGGGAAUUUAUAUUUAGUACUGCAAAAUUUUUAAUCCACUUUAAUGAUGAUGCAGGCAUGGCAUCUCUGGAAUGAAGGGAACGCAUUGGAUCUGAUUGAUCCACUGUUGACCGAUACAUGUUCUCCAGAUGAAUUUUUAAGAUACAUUCAUAUUGGUUUGUUGUGUGUUUAAGAGGAUGCAUUUGACAGGCCUACCAUGUCAUCCGUUGUUGUAAUGUUACAGGGUGAAACCAUUACUCUUUGCCAGCCUCAAAAACCUGCCUUCUCUUUUGGAAGAGUUACGGAUGAUGAUGAUAACAAUUAUUGCUCUGUCAAUGGUUUAACAAUUUCUGAUCUUUCGCCUCGGUGAUUCAGGCAAUGAAUGAGUUUGAAUGUGCACUGGGCUGAUGCCUUUCUUGUCAUACAUAGUGUUAUAUCCCCACUUCGCUUGUAUUUCAACCAAAGGGUAUGUGGAUUUUACAAAUGUAAUAAUUAAUCUGUGAGUCCGUAUUUGGGAUAAACAGCAAAGAGUGAAAGAGCGACUCGCACUCUCGGAUUGUAAAAUAACGAUAUAUAUAUAUAUAUAUAUUGAUCUUAUUAUCUAGUCUAUUUAAUUAUUCUUUUAUACAAACCGGCCACAGUACCUUUCCAUUCAUACCUUCAAAGGUUUCAUGAGACGAAUCAGAAUAUUGAAAAUAGGGGAGUCAGAGUCAUCUAGUGGCUGAUUAUGUUCUAUAAGAGAGUAGACUUUUGACAAUGAUCUAUUAAUUUUGUUCUUCAUACUAGCUAAUGAGAUUAUCUAAUCAAAAUAUUAUAAGAGGUCAAGCUAGUGAGCAGCCUCUUGUAUGUUAAUUUGUCCCAACUCUUAAAUCAACGACCAAAGCAAGUAUAUCAUCAGCAUCAAUAUCUAAUUAUAUAUUUAGGGUUAGAAAAUAUUUGCAGUGGUCCAGUACAGUAGUUGAACAUUUUUAAAAAUACUAUAUCUAACCCAAAAGCCAGAGUAGUUAUACAUAUUUAUUAACUUUUAUUUUAUAACAAAUAUCUUGCAAUAUUGAUUAAACUGAAGUUUAUCCUAACAGGUUUUUAUCCAACUAGAACAGGCUUUUUUAAUGAAUAGUUGUAAAACUCUAGAAUAACAAUUGAAAUAGGGUGAUUCAUGUAGUUUAUCUAUUGUAUCUUGAAUUUAGGGAAAGAUUAUCGAAUCUGAAGCCCAAGCCUAAGAAACGACACAUUUGAAAGCAGCAGACAAUAGCGGUGUCCUAAAAUUGAUGUGUAUUAUCAUUUGAGCUAAUAAAAACAAAAUAUGCUCAUUUUUAGUGUUUGAAAGAGUGGUAGCAUGAAUUUACCUCUAUUUUUAUUCAACAGAAGAGAGGAUUUUUUUAUUUUUUUAUUUUUGGCUCUUCUUGACAUUAAAUGGAGGUAAAUUAAUAUUUUCACACCUUUAGGAAAAAAAAAUUAAAAUUGAAUGACAUUUUAAGUAAGAGAUGAAUUAAAUUUUACCCUAACAUCAACCAUAAAAGGCCUUUGAAUUAAUGAAACAAAAAGUCAAUGGACCACCUAGUUCUUAUCCAGUCGUGCCGAUUAUUACAAUUGUUUUCCGACGACAGCAACAUUCUAAUCUGUUGAAAACUUGAAAUGGACGGAAGAGAUAAUCUUAAAACAUAUAAAAUUGAAAAUAAACAAUUCGUAAAAUAUUGCUCGAAAAGGACAACUACAAGUAAAUUUCUGACCCGUUUCAUUUUAAGGUAGUAUCGUAUUCUAAUUCCCAAUCCGAUUCUGGCUUUAAUCCUACAAGGCGAAGAUUUUCCAGUAAUAACAAAAUUAAGGAACUGGACAAGGUGAACAUGGGCCAAAACUUACAUGGAAAAUUCAAAUGUUAUUCAUAGUCGAGAAAGUCUUGGGUGUCAACCUUGGAAAUGGAUCCCCUAUGUUGGCGAACCCGAUUAGUUGGAAAUUUCUGAGAUAAAGAUAAAAAGAUAAAAAGAAGAGAGGAUAACAGCAAAUGAAAAUAACGUAAGGGGAUUGUGAUAUAUUUGUUGAUGCGAGAUUCUGGUUACCCUCUCGACCACGACCAGGAUCUCUCCUCAACCAACUCUACCACGAAUAGGAUCUCUCCUCGUAAGGAUUCUUCUCCAGAAGUUCCUGCGUACGCAAAAACAGGUCAGAGCACGCCGGUUAUUUUCCCGGCGUAAACCCUCCGACGCUCAAGUCAGAAAUGAAGGUUUUGUGUUCCUGAGAACGUUAGCCACAAAUCUUAUGGCUUAUUUCUGGUGUCGAGUAUUGAGUGCUCUCUCUAUCUUAGUUUCAAUGUCAAAAAUUCUAACCCUUUUACCUUCGCUGGCUACCUUUUUAUAGGCUUCUCCUGAAUUCAGACCUUCCCUCCAUUCACGCCCGUUAUCCUCCCACCUCUCGAAAGUGGAUGCUCCAUUUCUGCAAUCGUGGGUGGUUGCAUGGCCUUCGUGCCUUGAUUCUCGGGUUGGAGAGCACGUCUCGCCAACUGUCGUUGACCGGGUCUCCUCGACUCAAGCUUUAGCAGGAAUGACUUUAUGCUUCUAACAGGAGAUCGGCCUUGCGGAUGGCGUAUUCGUGGACAAGCAGAAUAUUCAUGCUCCUGCUCCCAUGCUAUCAGACUCUUAUGGCUUAUUUCUGGUGUAGAGUAUUGAGUGUUCUCUCUAUCUUAGUUUCAAUGUCAAAAAUUCUAACCCUUUUACCUUCGCUGGCUACCUUUUUAUAGGCUUCUCCUGAAUUCAGACCUUCCCUCCAUUCACGCCCGUUAUCCUCCCACCUCUUGAAAGUGGAUGCUCCAUUUCUGCAAUCGUGGGUGGUUGUAUGGCCUUCGUGCCUUGAUUCUCGGGUUGGAGAGCACGUCUCGCCAACUGUCGUUGACCGGGUCUCCUCGACUCAAGCUUUAGCAGGAAUGGCUUUAUGCUUCUAACAGGAGAUCGGCCUUGCGGAUGGCGUAUUCGUGGACAAGCAGAAUAUUCCUGCUCCUGCUCCCAUGCUAUCAGACUCUUAUAAGAUAUACCUGCUCGCGGGACCCUGCCACCAGAUGUCUGCUCAUCACUGCUGGUCUUCGUCGAAGCACAUCCCCCAAACACCGGUCCUUCAGUUUCUGGUGUUGGGUAACAUAGUGAGCCGACAGUAGAAACUCGACAGUUCUUGCUCGCGCGGGAUAGGAAAAGGCUGCCAAGAGUCGUGUCGCAUUUAAUUGCGGACGAGGUGAUGUGGCAGAAAUCUACCCCUUUAUUUGAAUUUCAAAUCGACGGUUACGAAUCUCUUGGGAUUUAUGCCAUUAAAUGCUAGCAACCCAAGAGUUUGUUCCUCAUUAAGAAAACCCAAAACUCCCAAAAGAGAAACUCAUCAUUUACUCUGUUUCUAUCUCUCCGGCGAAUGAGUCCUUCCUCCCCCUCGGCGUAAAAGCUUCCUUCCUUGUCUCUCUCCGACUAAGUCACAACUUCAGGUAUUAUUUCUUUUUUCCUCGGUCGCGAAUAGUUAUAGACAAUUUCUUUUACGUUUUGCUUAGGUAGUGUUUGGUGAUGCAGUUCUGGUUAUAGUUUAGGGAAUGUCAAAAGGUAAAGAGAAGGUCGUUGAGAUUGAUGACGACGAGUUAAACUUCUUGCCUAGUCUGCUCGCCGAUUCUACUUUUGACCCCGGGAUCCCCUUAGAACCCAUUAGACCUAGUGUUGGAACUAGUGCUAGGAGGAUGUCCCCCCAAACAAUCUCCUCAACCGGUAAUAGCGAUGACGAAGGUUCUUUUGGUUCGGAAGACACCUUGAGUGAAGGCCAGGAGGAUGAUUCUAGUGAAAUGUCCCCACCAAGAACAUCGCGACCAGAUAGGAAGAGCACAGUAGGGGGUAGAGCUCUAUCACAACAUUAUGCUAUUGAUUUUAUAACGUGCACGACCACAGUAGAUGAGCUAGUUAAUCUCCGGGCUAGAUACGACAUUCCUGAUGAAAUUCCCCUCAAGAUCCUAGGAAAAAAUGAUACUCCUAGCCGACCUCCUAGGAGGUAUGUUACUUUAUUUUUAGAAAGUUUCAAACUUGGACUAAGGUGCCUCAUUCAGCCCUACUUUGCCCGGAUACUCAAUGGGUUGAAUUUAGCUCCUGAUCAACUGAACCCCAAUGGGUGGCGGGUACUUUCUGGUCUGUUCAUAUUGUGGGAUAGAUGUUGCCAAAGCGAGCCCACAGUUGAUGAGGUGAAGCACCUGUACCAGCUAAAGAGCAGCCCCAAAGACGCCGGCUGGUACUAUUUCCAAUCUAGUACCAAGACCAGGAAACCCAUAACUGAUCUUCCAACUGGUGGUGGUGGGACUUGGAAGAAAAAAUUCUUUUUUGCUGGGGGUCCCUGGGGUCAAAUUGCACAGAUUGACGGGAAGGAUUACCACGUCCUACCCCGUUUCAUGGUCCCAGGUUGCCUGCUCGCUUCAGAUGUCUUGUCUCCAUAGUCAUUCUUAUUUUGCUGAUUUGUCUUUAAUCCAAUAUCUGCUCGAAUUUCAGGUUCUUAGGGUGUGCACUACUCGCUUCAACCCGGGCCACUCAAGCGGGUCGAGGCUGUAUUGGCCAAUUCCUGUUCGCACCGAGAGUUGCUAACAACCUACAACUUGCUCGAAUCUCGCUUGGUGUCCACUGACUCUGGGAUGGAGGACGCUGUGAUCGAGGCUCUGAAUCGGAAACGUUCUCGUCCUCAUACUGCUAAGCAGGACCAGAAUAAGGACGCUCCCACUGCGAAGCGGGUGAACAAUGUGCAGCAGGUGUUGUGCAAAUUUUAAUGUACUCGCAAGCGCACGAAUCUAUUGUAGUAUAGAUCAAUGGUGAUGAGUGUCUAUCCCACGAAGAGGUGGAUUUUAAUUGUGUGUAGAAUUAAUUUUGUAAAUGGGUGAUUGGAUUUAUGGUGGAAAUAAUUUGGAAUAUGCUAAAACUUAAAUUAAAACGGCGAGAAUAAAUUCUAAAAUUGGAAUUGAAAUGGCAAGAAUAAAUUGAAGGGAAUUCUAUUGAAAUGACGUAUGUUGAGACUUCACCUUCAACCCAAGCUUGAAAGAAAAUUAGCUACACAUAAUUGAACUAGGGGCAAAAUGAAAAUUUAUUAAAAUACGUAAAAACUACAAGAUGGAGAAGGAAUUACAGAAAAUGGAUCCCAAAAAUGGAUUCAGAGAUAUCAAAUUAGGAGGGGAGGCCCCCUUUUUAUAGAUACAUGGAGUAAAUCAUGGCCAUCGGAUUAAAAACAGUUUGGACGCUUAGGAUUGCGCUACGUCAUCAGUCAACAGUAUGCGGUUUAACCACGCAGAUGAACAGUAACACGGUUUGACCGGGGUUGAACAGUAAUGCAGUUUGAUUGAAAAUAAUCCUGUGUGAUGCAUGCACCGUACACGAGAUUUUUCGUCCAUUGAUAUGCUGCCACGUCACCAUCAACAAUUCAUAAGAAUUUAGUCCAACAGGAUCGUGACACCUCAUCAGUCAAUGCCACAUCAUCGGUCAAUGCCACGUCAUCGAUCCGUCUAUGUGAAUAGUAUCAUGAACAGUAACGUAGACAGUACCGUACACGUGAAUAGUACCGUACAUGUGAAUAGUGCCAUUUUUUCCUUUUAUGCUCCUCCUAAGGUUUUCGACCGUCCUAAGUUCAAAAGUGAUGUCCGUUUUACCGUCUGAUCUCUCCUUUAUUGUGAAAUGACUAUAAUGCCCCUAAAAUACAUAAAAUACUUAAUUAAAAUAAAACAUACGUAAUUAAAUCACAAGAAGGUUAAAUACAUAAAAGUAAGGGUUGUUAAUAAGACUUGAAAUGUAAAAUGAGGGUUUUCUCCUUUAUAAAUAUGCAUUUUCUAACACUUAACAGUAGGUUCCUCUCUUGAAGACCCUACCACCUCCUCCUGCCAAAGUCGGGGAAACUAGCGGAGCAGCCACUGAUCCCGCUUCCUCUUCUCCUCCAGUCGGGCCGAGAUCUAGUUCAUCUGACAGUCGAGCAGAACACUUGGUCCCCUAUAUCAACGAGUUCUCUAAACUCGUGAGCAAGAGGGACCUGGAGGACUUUGACGGCAACACAUUUGGUGAGCUGGUGGGGGCCAUGCAGUAUAGUGCUUUCCAUCUCGGCUGCAUGGCCACUUACUAUAAGGCCAAGGUUGGCCGUUACGACCGGAAGAUGAAGGAGGACAUUCAAUCGGCGAUGACCAGAGCUGACGCUGCCGAGAAGAAAGCAGGAGACAUGAAUCUUGAGAAUCUGUAGUUGAUAGAGCGAGAAUCUCUUACUCAAGCAAAGGCCAUUACUCUCAAGGAAGAGCUGACUAAGGUCAAGGAGGAUUUGCAAAGGCAGAAGGUUAUGUACGAGGCUCAGAUCGAUUCUCUUUGCGAUUUCCAUCGAGUUCAGGUCGAGAACUUGGAGAAGGAAGCUGAGAACCAAUACGACCAGGGACUUCAGCAUUCCUAACGUUACAUCAUGGCCGUCCUUGAGAAGCAGCACCCUGAUAUGAAGAUAGAUGACCUUAUAGCUGGUGUUACUCAACACAUGGACGAGGAGGCAGCAAAAGAGGAUGCCGAGGAGGUAGAGCCAAUUGCGGUUGAAGAGAAAAACUCUCCUUCUUGUGCAAUCCCUACUGAUGUUGGUAAGGCGAGUACCCCCCCGGACGCAACUGGUGAUACCCCCUGCACCCGAGGUGGACCAGCCAACCGAGGCUACUCGGCUUACUAACCCGCCGUCCUCUUGAAUAUAUCUUGUGUUAUAAUGAACGUUGUAUGUGAAGGUUAUCAGCCUUGCAAGUUAUUGACAGAUUAAUAAAAAUAUUUUUAAUUGCUUUCUUGUGUUGUAGUUGCAAGUUAUUUUUCGUUUGAGAGACUACUCGCCUUCGCUUGGUCGGGCAGAUCCUGGCAUACUUGGCUUCUGGUCUCGCCAUAAGACAGGCUUUGAGACUUAGUCUUUGUAUGCCUUAGAAAAAUUUCCAAUGCUUGGGAUUCUGCUCGCCUUCGCUUGGUCGAACAAAUCCUGGCAUGCUUAGCUUAUGAUCUUGCCAUAAACAGGCUUUGAGACUUGGUGAGCCUUUGCAUGCCUUAGAAACUUUUUCAAUGCUUGGGAUUCUGCUUGCCUUCGCUUGGUCGAGCAGAUCCUGGCAUGAUUGGCUUCUAGUCUCGCCAUAAACAGGCUUUGAGACUUGGUGAGCCUUUGCAUGCCUUAGAAACUUUUUCAAUGCUUGGGAUUCUGCUCGCCUUCGCUUGGUUGAGCAGAUCCUGCCAUGCUUGGCUUCUGGUCUCGCCAUAAACAUGCUUUGAGAUUUGGUGAGCCUUUGCAUGCCUUAGAAACUUUUUCAAUGCUUGGGAUUCUGCUCGCCUUCGCUUGGUCGAGCAGAUCCUAGCAUGCUUGGCUUCUGGUCUCGCCAUAAGACAGGCUUUGAGACUUGGUGAGCCUUUGCAUACCUUGGAUCUUUUUCAAUGCUUGGGAUUAUGCUCGCCUUUGCUUGGUCGAGCAGAUCCUGGCAUGCUUGGCUUAUAGUCUCGCCAUAAACAGGCUUUGAGACUUGGUGAGCCUUUGCACGCCUUAGAAACUUUUUCAAUGCUUGGGAUUCUGCUCGCCUUCGCUUGGUCGAGCAGAUCCUGGCAUGUUUGGCUUCUGGUCUCGCCAUAAGACAUGCUUUGAGACUUAGUGAGCCUUUGCAUGCCUUGGAUAUUUUUUGCACAAUUACAAGUGAAUGAAAUUCCUCGACGUUUCAUUAAUUGCAUAAUUCAACUUAAAUAAGAAUGCACAGCAACGAGAACAAAUUGAAUUAAUUUUAAAACAUGAGCAAGUCUUAUUGGAAAUAUUUCCUGAGGUGCGCUGCUUUCCAUGGGUGUUUCACCUCGUGGCCAUCCGUGCGAACAAGCUUGUAAGCUCCGGGUCCCACUAUCUGCUUGACCCUGUAUGGCCCCUCCCAAUUCGGUCCAAGCACUCCUUGAGUCGAGUCUUUAGUGUUCUUAUUCACUCUCUUUAGCACUCAAUCUCCGGCCUUGAACUGCCGUACAUUCACCUUUUGGUUAUAAUACCGAGCGACCCUCUGCUGGUAAAUGGCUGAUCGUUUCGAUGCUUGCUCCCACUUCUCAGUUAGCAAAUCCAGAUUCAGGCACAUCUGCUCGUUGUUCUCCUGCUCAUUAAAAUGAUCUGUCCGGUGCGUGGUUGUUCCUAUCUCGGCUGGUACGACCGCUUCAUGUCCAAAAGCCAAGGUGAACGGUGUUUUCCCAGUUACUGUUUUGUGGGUUGUUCAGUAUGCCCAUAAAACACCUGAUAGCUUAUCAACCCAUGCACCUUUUUUUGCUCCAAGCCUGGUUUUUAAAAGCCUCUUGAUCGUCUUGAUGGCUGCUUCUACUUGUCCAUUAGACUGAGGGUGAGCAGACGAGUAAUACUUCAACUCUAUCCCGAGGUUCUGGCAGAAAUCCCUGAAGCUGUGAUUAUCGAACUGCCUGCCAUUAUCCGUUAUCAAGGCAUAAGGGAUCCCUUACCGACAGACCAGGUUUCUCCAUACGAAGUCUGUUGUCUUCUUCUCUGUGAUCCUGCUGAGGGCUUCUACUUCUAUCCACUUCAUGAAGUAGUCUAUUGCUACUAUUGCAUGCGUUGCUGCUCCUCGUCCCCUUGGCAACGGCCCGAUCAAAUCAAUUCCCCAUUGAGCGAAUAGCCAAGGGGAGGCCAUAGAGGUGAGCUUCUCUGGUGGUUGGUUGGAGAAACUUACAAAACUCUGGCAACUUAUGCAGCUCCUGGUCUUCUCCUGCGCAUCUUGGUGCAUUGUCGGCCAGAAAUAUCCAUGUCUUAGAACCUUGUGGGCAAGGGACCUCCUACCAGAGUGGUUUCCACAAAUUCCUUCAUGUACUUCUCUCAGUACGUAGUCUGUAUCAUCCUCAUCCAAGCACCGAAGGAACGGUAGCUUAUAUCAUUGCCGAUAUAGCACCCCAUCAAUCAUUGUGUACCUUGAAGCCUGGGCUCUGAUCUUCCGAGCUCGUAGCUUAUCUGGUGGUAAUACCCCGUCUCUAAUGUAUGAAGUUAUCGGAUCCAUCCACGAGCAUUUUGUUCUAUCUGCAUCACCUCUAAAUUCUGCUCGAUGCUAGGGUUGGUUUUCACUUCCAAAAUGAUCGACUUAGGCAUUUUCGGGUCUGCUACAGCUGCCAUCCUGGCCAGAAUAUCUGCUCGACUAUUCUGCUCCCUCGGAAUUUGUAUCACCUCAACCACUUCGAACUUCCCCAUCAUCUGCCUGAAUUUCUUCAGGUAUUGCUCCAUCUUCUCAUCUCUCGGUUGAAAUCUUUCACUGACAUGAUUUACAACCAGCUGGGAAUCAGUUCUGAUCUUCACCUUAUCUGCUUUCACUGCCUUAGCCAAUUCCAAACCUGCUAUCAAGACUUCGUAUUCUGCCUUGUUAUUCGUGGCUGUGAACUCUAACUUUACAACAUAAAAGAUCUCCUCCCCCUCUGGACUUUCCAAGACAAUCCCUGCUCCAGACCUCUGCUCCCCUGAGGAUCCAUCCACUCACAUCUGCCAUACCCGAUCUUCAUUGUUGACCGUUGCAGCAUCAUGUGGGUCAAACCCAACUUCGGGCUUUGUGAAUUCUGCUACGAAAUCGGCCAUUACUUGGGCCUUUAUUGUUGCUCGGGGUUUGUAGUCUAUGUCGAACUCACUCAACUCUAUAGCCCACUUCACGAGCCGACCAGAAGCAUCCGACUUGUAUAGAGUUUGUCGUAGUGGCUGGUUUAUUAUUAUCGAGAUAGGGAAUGCUUGAAAGUACGGCCUCAGCUUUCGAGCAGCAACCACAAGGGCGAGUGCCCAUUUCUCCAACGGUGCGUAUCUGGUCUCGGUGUCGAGCAGGGCCUUGCUGGUGUAGUAUAUCGGAUACUGAACCUCUUCUUCCUUUUUCACUAGAACACAACUUGUGGCAUGAUCUGAUACCGCCAAAUAUAAGAACAACCUAUCCCCAUCCCUCGGUGUGGACAGCAGAGGUGCUUGCUGCAAAUAUUGCUUCAAGUUCUGGAAGACUUCUUCGCAUUCUGGGGUCCAUUCUGUUUUCUUUCCUCUCCUUAUCACUUGAAAGAAUGGCUGACACUUAUCUGUAGCCUUGGAUAUGAAUCGACUUAACGCCGCCAACCUCCCCGUAAGGCUCUGUGUCUCCUUCAGGUUACGAGGAGACCUCAUCUGCACGAUUGCCUGGAUCUUCUCGAGAUUUGCCUCGAACCCCUUAUGGCUCACUAUGAACCCGAGGAAUUUCCCUGACUCGACCCCAAAAGAACACUUUUCCGGGUUGAGCUUCAUCUUGUACUUCCUCAAAAGUCCGAAUGUCUCCUCGAAGUGCUUGAUAUGGUCCUUCAGGAUUUUUGACUUGGUUAUCAUGUCGUCAACAUACACCUCCAUCGUUCUCCCAAUCAGUGGCUUAAAGAUUUUAUUCACCAGCCUCUUGUACGUGGCCCCCGCAUUUUUAAAACCGAACGGCAUUACCCUGUAGCAGAACAGACCCUGGUUAGUAAUAAAUACCGUGCUCUCCUCAUCUUGCUCGAACAUGGGGAUUUGGUUGUAUCCCGAGAAUGCGUCCAUGAAGCUGAGCAGGCCAUGUCCAGCUGUUAAGUCCACAAGCUGGUCGAUCUUUGGUAAGGGAAAGCUGUCUUUCGGGCACGCUUUGUUAAGGUCCGUGAAAUCCACACACAUCCUCCACUUGCCAUUAGCCUUUUUUACUAACACCACAUUCGAUAUCUACUCAGGAUAAUUCACUUCCCGAAUGAACCCUGCUUUCAAGAGCUUCUCUACCUCCCCGUUUAUAGCCUCAUACCUCUCCUGAUUGAAGCACCUCCUUUUCUGCCUUACUACCCGAGCACCUUUCUUUAUUGCCAACUUAUGACAUGCGACCUCGGGGUCGAUCCCUGGCAUGUCUUCAUGUGUUCAAGCAAACAAAUCUGCAUGAGCCCGCAAGCAUUGCACCAACUCCUGCUUCUGCUCUUCUUUAAGCCUCGACCCAAUUCGGAUCGUUUUUCCCGGAUCCUCUGGUCCCAGGCUUACUGUCUCCAGCUCCUCUACAGGUUCUUGUCUGCCAUUCUUUGCUCCUACUCGGGCAUCAAGGGAUGUUAACUGCAUUGCUUCCCUUGCUGCCGAGGAGUAACAGCUUUGUGCGAUUCUCUGGUCUUCUCGUACCACUCCAACUACCACAUUCACCCGGUACUUGAGAGCUAGAUAAUGGUUGGACAGCACCGCUUUGCUCGUCCUCAGAAAUGGCCGACCUAGGAUCAUCUGGUAAGGACCAUCUUCAUCGACCACCACAAAGUCCAGUAUCAUAGUCCUUUCUGUCAGGGAGCUUCCAAUCGUGAUAGACAGCUCGACCACGCCCAGAGGGACCAGCUUUCCUCCUCCAAAUCCCUUCAAGGAGGUAUUGGUAUGCUCCAACCUCAAGUCUACUAUUCCCAUCUCCUCCAGAGUUGACUUAAACAACACAUCAACUAAGCUCCAUGUGUCAACCAGUAUUCGGUCAAACUUCUUGCUAGCAACGGUGGCCUUGAUGACUAACGCAUCCUCAUGUGGGUAUAGAAUCCCUUCUUUAUCCUCAUCUGUCCAUAUGAUUAGCACUUGCUUGACUCUUGCUCAUUUGGCUGCUGAGGUGUUGAAGAAUACCUCUUUACUAGUCAUGGCAUAUCUAGCAUAGUUUUUCCUCGAUCUGUUGGAAUCUCCGGCCAACGUUGGACCCCCAGCAAUCACUCUUACUAUAGGCUGCUCGUGGCUCAAGUUCCUGUUACCCUGCUCCCCUUCACAUGUCGAGGCCACCAUCGGAAAAGUCUCAUCUAUAAACUCGUCCAGGUAUCGAUUUCUCACCAAAUCUUCAACCUGGGUCUUGAGGUCUCUGCAUUCUGUUGUGGUAUGGCCAUGAGUACCAUAGAACUUGCAAUAGCGUCCCCUAUCCCUCCUGCUGGGUAGGUUUGUUAUUGGGGUCGGGAGGUACAGUAAUCCCCGGUCCUUUAUGACAUCGUACACCUUAUCCAGGAGGAUCUUCAAGGAAGUAUACCGCCUAUAGUCCUGGUUUUGGUCGAUCAUGUGCACUGCCCUUUCUCUGUUUGUGCCAUUAUGAGUUGGAGGCGGUGGCAGCGCUUCUGGUUUGCUCCCUCUACUACCAUAGGGGUGUGAGUGAAGAUGACCAUAUGCCGCAUCAUGCCUUCUCCAAGGCUCCCUAGCUGGUGAGCGAAGAGGUUGCGCCCUGCUGCGCUGAUACUGUGGUGGCCUCUGAUGAGGCUGGUAAGCGGUUACCCGACUUCCUGUAUCACUACCUGAGGCAUGGUGGUCCCUCCUCUUGAUCGGCCCAUUUCCUGGUACGGCUCUCUUCUCUCUCCUCUUUAAUCCUUCCAGCUGGUCUGUCUUAAUCCGUGCUGCCUUUUCCUCCUCGAUUUCUAUGUCUCUCUUAGCCUGCUCCUAAGCAGCCGAAUAUGUCUGAAUAGCUAGGCUUCUCAAGUUGUACCACAACCGUCCUAUCUUCACUUAUUCUUUCAAUCCCCUUAAUGCCUGAGGAUGAUUGAAGGCUCCCAAGUCGAGGACAGCAAGGUGGAACCUUUUGAUGAAUUCUCGAAGGGUUUCCUCCUCUCUCUGCUUCAUGCUUGUCAGCUCCAUUAUAUCAUCUUCCAGUGUCAUUGCCCCACGAAACUGCUCUGCAAACUCCUGGCACAUCUGUUCGAAGGUUUUAAUACUCUCCCGAGGAAGUUUCCUAUACCACUCGCGUGCUCGUCCCUCUAGAGAUAGUGGGAACACUCUGCAUCUUUAGGCUUGGGAUAAUCCUUGCACCCCGGUCAUGUCGUUGAAGUGCUCUAUGUAUACCAACGGAUCGGUUUGCCCCAAAUAUCUGAGGUCUGGGAGGCAAAAAUCCCUUACAACUUGUAAUCUUAUAAAUGUGUGACACCUAUUAAUAAAUUUUCUAGUAAGAUAAGUUGUUCAUUGACUUCAUUAUCAUGUGAUUAAAGGUUAUUUAAUUAAACAUUCACAGUUUGUUGUGUCAUCCUCAUAAAUUUCACGACCAUUAAUUAGGUUGAAGUUCUAACAUUUUUAAUGUCGUCAUGAAAAAUUCUUAAUUAUUUUAGCCUGGAUUCCACCAAGUGGAAGGAACGCAAACAGAAUAUAGAUUGAAAUUGGCGCUUCAGUAUCAGGGUCAAUUGUAAUAGUCGUGCUGUUUGUUUCUUUUCUUUAGCGUACGAGGCAAAGAAAUAAAAAAGAACAAGGUACAUAACGGUUUUAUUAUCGGUGAUGGUACGAAAGCGACAAUACUCUUGUUCUGUUCUUUGUAAAGUAAAUUCAUUGUGCUUGCAGAGGAGAGAGCAAUUAGUCGAGAGGCUCAAUUACUUAAAUUGCGAGAAAGUCAGAUUGGAAGCCAUUACUCGUAUAUUUUACGAGAAGAGAAGCAAGUGGAAUCCAAAGAGUUUCCUCUGUUCCCAUUUGACCUCACCGUGGAAGCUACAUAACAUUUCUCCGAUGAAAACAAGCUAGGAGAAGGGGGCUUUGGCCCUGUUUAUAAGGUAAUCACAAGGUUAUGAUUUAAUUUGUUUAAGAAACUUUGCCACUAUGUACAACGAGUUUAUUCAACUGUCAGUCAGGUGAGCUUCUUGUUUCAUGGAAACAAUUCAUUCUGGAAAUUUGCUUACAAGGUGUAUUAGCGGAUGGCAAAGAAAUUGCGGUGAAGAGGCUCUCAAGAACAUCUGGGCAAGGCCUAGAAGAAUUCAUGAAUGAAGUUACUGUAAUUGCCAAAUUACAACAUAAGAAUCUUGUGAGACUCUUGGGAUGCUGCUUAAGGGGAAAUGAAUUGCUGCUCAUCUAUGAGUACAUGCCCAACAAAAGCCUUGAUUUUCUUCUCUUUGGUAUGCUCCUCAAGCUUUCUAUUUUCCUUAAUUGCUAAUCGUUUACGAGCACACGACAAGGUAAGUAAACCACUUAUAUAAUGUUCAAUUUAUUAUUAGAUUCAACAAGGAAUGAACAAUUGGACUGGGAAAGACACGUUGGCAUCAUUAAUGGAAUUGCACGAGGUCUCUUAUAUUUGCACGAGGAUUCUCGACUCAAAAUAAUUCAUCGCGACCUCAAAGCUAGCAAUAUUUUACUAGAUCAUGACAUGAACCCAAAGAUAUCAGAUUUUGGAAUGGUAAGAAUAUUUGGUGGAAAUCAAAAUAAAGCUAAUACAAAUAGAGUUUUCGGAACAUAGUAUGCCACCUCUUGAAUUACUGUUUGAUUUUGUUUUGUUUCUUAUCAAAAACUAUUUUUAUCACUUACAAAAAUUUCCUUCUUUUGGUCACCAUUGAAAAUUUUCAGUUUAAAUUAGAUACUGAAAUAUAAUAUAGCAUAAAAACCUCUUUAUACAUGUCAUUUAAUCUUAGAAAGUUCCAACUUCAACAGUGGAUAUAUGGCCCCAGAAUACGCCAUGGAAGGACUAUUCUCAGUUAAAUCAGAUGUCUUUAGCUUCGGAGUUCUUCUUCUAGAGAUAAUCAGUGGCAAAAAGAAUAGCAGCUUUUAUCUUUCUGAAGAAAGCCGAAGCCUCCUCGCGCAUGUAUGUAGCUGUCUCUACUAUUCUUUAUAAUUGAAAAGCCAAUUUUCUUAGACUCGCCUUAUUUAUGAACCGUGUAACGUUAUUUCAGGCAUGGAAACUAUGGUGUGAAGGAAAUGCAUUAGAGCUCAUGGAUCCCGUGCUCAAGCAAUCGUUUAAUCCAGAUGAAGUGUUGAAAUGCAUUCAUAUCGGGUUGCUGUGCGUUCAAGCAGACCCGGCAGACAGACUAACCAUGUCUUCUGUGGUUGUUAUGUUGGCAAGUGAUACCGUUACGCUUCCUAAACCAACCCAACCACCGUUUUCUUUCAGCCGAGUUGCUCUCAAGUUAACUCAAUCCUCAUCUAAUAUUAGAGAUUGUUUUGAUGCUUAUUUAACCCUUUCAAAUGUUUCACCUCGUUGACGCUCUAUAUGCUGUUAAUUUACAUCAUUUUCAUUUCUACGUUUACAACACGUUGGCCAUGAUCGUUUGGCACUAGUAUCAUCUUUUGUUCGUCAUAUGGUUUCAUUUUCCACUGAAUAGGAAUCAUUGUUCCCCGUUAGAUUCAUUUUGGCUACCACAUAUAUAUCUGCCAUUCAUUCACUUCGUAUUUUAAAUACUUAGGGAAGCAAAAUGUUGCGAUCGAGCAAAGCAAAUAUUGAUCAAUUAAUUUCAAAUGAUGAACGAAUCUUGACCUAAUCUAUUGAGGAAUUUGAGGCUUAGAGUGAUGUAUCAUAAAACAUGAGGGCCCAAAUAGUGAAUUACAUUUGGUGUGAUGAGUGUUAUUAGUGGAUUACAGUUGGUGUGUUUUAUUAAGUGUUAUUAGUGGAUUACAGCUGGUGUGUUGACGGUUGAGUGUGUUAGUAGAUUACAGUUGAUGUGUUUUAUUGAGUGGAAUGUAGUAGGUGAAGAUGAGUAUAAGUACUAUAAAUAUGUACUAAAUUCAUUUUAAACAUCAUCCAAUCAUCCAAUCUUCAAUCAAAAUUUGAGUUUUCUCGUUUCAAAUUCUAAUUCAGAAUUUGUUAUGCAUUUUUUUUUUCUUUUCAUGAGAAUGCAAGUUAGAGCAACAUCUAACAAACCGUUGCGUCAUACAAUAUCAAUUGAAAACACAAAAAGAUCAAUUACUCCAAAGACUCGAACGCUGUCAAAUACUUGAGGUGGUUCACCCAAGAUGCUUACUUCCGCAUCGAAAUGCGCACUCAAAACGCUUUAUUGGAUCAUGACGAUUAAAGUCCUUGAUCUCAUUACAGAGAACAAAACUCUCUGGACAACGUUCGCUAAUUAAAUUCGAGCAAAAUAAUGAGAAAAUUGCUUGUGGAGCACUAUUGGUCAAUGGAUGUGGAUCCAAUAAUGAAGUGACUUGAGCUCUAACUCUUUAUAAUCUUCUGUCAUGUGAAAAAUAUAUCGUUAAAAUUUAAUUAAUUUUAUAUUUUUAUCUAAUAACUAUCAAUUAUAAUUUUUUAUUAUGACCCCUCUUUUUUUAUAUCAGUUAUUCUGUUUGUAACUGUAAAACAAAUUUUAAUUUACUUCAGCGUAUAUGAUCAUCAUUAAUUAAUUAUUAGUAAGUUUAUACUUGGACAAAUUAAUUUUAAUGUGUGAUGCAGAUGUGGUCGUACAGGCAUCUACAAGACUCAUCUAUUUGGUAGCCCAAGUAUCAUAGUUUCGACAAUCGAAAUAUCCUGAGCAGUCUUGAUGGACGACGAGUUACUUACAAAUUGUUAUCCUACAGCCAUGAAGAUAUUGGCUGGAAAUUAAUAUUUUUUAAAUGAAUUUGAAAUUAAUAAUGCAAAAAUAAUAGUUUAACUCUAAGGACUACUAAAGGGAAAUUCACGCCAUGUUAUUCUUGCAUUUUUUAUUUUCAAAUUAAUCUAAAAUAUUUCUUUCCUCGCCAGCACGAAAAGGACUGGUACAGAUCCUCGAAGCGGAACUUAGUACUAGAAGGGGAAUGCAGAAAAGUGAUGAUCGAAUGACCAAGAUGAUGAUGCUAAAAAGUUGGAUGACUCGUGUCUUCUUUAGCCGAUCUGAAUGCUCCCUUACAUGUUGAAAUAUGAGCUACAAUAUAAUCACCGAAAAUUUUAGAGUACAUUAAAAAUAUUACACCUAAUUAACACAUACACGACAUGUAUAGUUUAAUUAACUAUAACUGUCAAUUACGUAGUGAUUUUUCAAAAUAAAUGCACACAUAAAAUAUUAUAUGCAUUAAUUAGGUAUAAUACCUCUGAUAUACUUUAAAAUCUCUCCUACCUAUUUCAACAUCCAUUCUUGCUCCAAAAAGCCAAGGUUAUCCAAUUCAAUUAAUUAUGUUAAUCCUUCCAAUUGACAACUUAUGAAGCACAAUAAUUAUUGGUCUUAAACUGAACUAACGAUAAUGGAAUAUAAAAAUUUCGAUCUAAGUGUUAAAUUGAUAAUUACAUAUGUUUUUAAUUUCGUAAAGUCAAUUCAUAUUACAAAAAAUCAGUUAAUUAUUGAAGCUGAUCGAACUCAACUUUGCACAAGAAGGACAAGAGGGGAUUAUUAAAAAAUGACCAUCUUUGUAGAAAUGACAGAGUCUUAAAGAAAUUAGACAAAUGAAAUAUCUUGCUAGGGUAUAUCAUAUGCGGCUAGCAUGAUUAUGUAAAAUAUAAUUGUAUUAAUUUCUAUUUCACAAACAAAAUAAGAUGUAAUUUGCAACCCCCCCCCCCCCCCCCCCCCAAAAAAAAGAUGAUUGUAUAAAAGUUGAUGUUUAAUUGUGAUAUACUUAAUAUCUUGUAUCACUACUAUAUAUUGUUGAUUGGGUUAGUUUCGGGUUAUCUGCUCCUAAAACGACAAUCUUCAAACAUUUUAAAAUUAUUUUAAGUUUUAACUUAUUCUCAAUUUUGUUCAAAAAUAAAGGAAAAAUAUGGGUGGAUUGAUGAAAAAUAUUUUAUAAUCUUUACAAAAUAUGAGAUAAGUUGAGGUUAUUUUUCAUCAACCCACCCUCAUUUUUAUUUUAUCUCUUAAACAAAAUAGAAAUAAGUUAAAGCUUAAAAUAAAUUAGAGACAUUCUAAAAAUUGUGGAGGCUAGUCCAAAAUUUACGCUUGUUGAUUUAAACAAGAAACAUUACGCUUCUUCAAUUUGCCAGUUUCGGAUUUUUGAGAGACGUUAACAGAUGCUAACAUCAAAUAUUAGUUUAGUCACUUCAAUUAAAGCCUAAUAUUUAUCUUAACGGGUGUAUUUAAAAGGGGGCUUAUGAGAAUAAUGGAGGGGUGUGAGAAGUACCACUCAGCCUUUUUAAGUUACAUUAAUUACAUUUUGGGAUUUCACCUUGGGCCACCCACAUGAAAAGGACCCGAACUCCCAAAUCCAACACUUCAUAAGUCAUACAUGGUGAUAUACUGAUAUUUGGCUCUCUCAAAUAAUCUCACCAAUUCCUAAUUAUCACUUUUAUUUUAAUAUUCAUUUAAUGCUUGUAUGAAAUUACUGAAAAUGAUAAAUAGAUUUUAAGUGUUUACAUAAUUUCUAGACCCUUGGUUGAGAUUUUAUAGAUUAAAUGAUAUAGAUUUAUAUUAGUAAUCUAUAAUUAAUAUUUUUUUUUCUUUUCUCUUUCUCUCAUCAUCUCCAUUCACCUUCUUGCUCGUUUUUGUAUCUCUUCUCUUCUAAUUACAACUUUCAUCUAAUCCUCUACGUCUGCCUUUCGUCUAUUAUGCUCAAAUUGCAAUCUAAGUGCAAGAAUAGUAUUAUAAUAAGGCGAAACAAAUAGAAUAUGUAGGGAUUGCACAGAAAAACACAUAUUUUAAUGAAUUGAAAAUUGUAAUUUUUUGUCUAUUAAUGUAUCGAAAGCUAUAUCUUCUUAUUUGUUAGCGACAUCCUCUUUAUAUAUGCAUUACAUUUAAUUUUUAAUUAAUUCUGAAAUUUUUUCAGAAUUAAUUAGAAAAUUAUGAGAAUGUCCUUAUUUUUUAAUUUAAUUUUUAAUUAAUUAUGAUUAGAAAUAUUUAAGUAAUUAAGUAAUUAAAAAUAUUCUCAAAUAUAAUAUAAUAUAUAUAUGUGUGUGUGUGUGAAAAAAUUGACACUCAAGAGAUUUUGACGGUAUUUGUAUUGGUUUCAGCAUUGACGAUGCGAACAAAAGAUGUGCGAGUGCGACUUUGAAUUGCAGAGGAAGAGGAUUAUUGCUGAAUUUGAUAGCCGUCGUAAAUGUUAAACAUGAUGAGAUUGAGAUCACUAAAAACUAUUAAAUAAUUGCUACUUAACAAUCUUGUUUUGAUUAUUAUUAAUAAUCACAACUAAUUUUCAAUUUGAUUGCAUAUAAUUAAAUAGUCAAACUGUAAAAAAGGAUGCCAAACAUCUUAUCCUACUGAGGACAAUUAAGGCAUAUGAACAUGGGAGUUGUGCUAUAUAUUCAAAUUUUAAUUCUAUAAUUUUACUCUAAAUAAUAUAGUAUUCAUUCACAAAUUGAUGAAAUAACAUAAUUAAUUUACUUAGAACUUAUUAAAAAUCAUCUACCACUUAAUAAAAGACAUAUUACUUACUACAUUAUUUGAGACAAAAUUUUAGAAUGUCUAUUCAAUUGAUAUGCAUGUAACAUAAUAUUUAUUGAUAAAGUAAUAUUGAAAAAUUAUUUAUUAAAAAGAAUAAUACUGUGUUUACUCUAUUAGAAUACUUAGUUUGUACAACAUUUCAUGUGUCAUCCAUGGAUUGAGUUAUAAUAUCUUAAUUAAAUCAAUUAAUACCAUACACAUCAUAUCACAAUAAAUAAUUAGCGCCACAUAAUAGUCAGAUACAAAUCUAAUAGUAUAUUAAUUAAUCAUAAUACUAUUGUGUUAAAAAUAUUGAGUGAUAAAGUCAAACAACCCUUGAUAUUUGUCAAUUUAUUAAUAAUAGAUGACAUAUUGUUCAAUAUACAAAUUAUGUAUCCUAACAAUAGGCCUACCCUGAGAAAAACAAAAUUUCAAUAAAGACAAGGAAUUUAAUUGAAAUUUUUCUAUUUUACGUUAUGGCCACUUAGACUUACAAUUUUUAUGUUAUGAUGGCUUCUCAAGUUUAUGGUUUCAUUAUGACAGAUAAUUACAAUAAACUACUUGAAUAAAAAAUUGUAAUUUAAAGGGAAAAGGAGACAAAAAAAAUUGAAUUAAAAAGUUUGUUGAUUGACAGAGAUUACGGUUGUAAAAUUCAUUAACCAUUGAGUUUUAAUAUUUGACUCUCAUUAUAUCUCACCGGCCCCGCUAAUCACUUUUAUACUAAUAUUUAUUUUAUCGUUAUAUAAAGUGACAUAAAAGAAGUAGAUAGUUUUUAAGUACACUGACAUGAUAAUUUCUAUUAAUGUUUAGUUUAGCCAAUCUAAUUUUUUAGAGUCUAAUUUCUUUUAACUUUUGAAAUUAUUAUCUCUUUUUAAAUAUUGUAUACUCUACUUUUGUAAUCAUGGAGAAAAUUAAUUUACAGUACUCUAUAGAGAAUGAGGAAGAAGUAUCGAAUCUUUCUUUUAUAUAAUUAUGGAGACGAUGGAUAAGACCUUUAAAAAGAAAGAAAUAGAUUAUAGUAAUUUUAAGAUCUUUUUUUAAUAGAUUUUAUAAGUUCCAUAUAGUGACUGCUUUGGAAAAAAUAUAAAAAUUAUAAUAAGAGUAAAUUUGGGAUUAAAUUGGGUAUAUUAAGAGAUAAAGAUUAGUUUAAAAUUUUUAAUAGAUUAACUAAAUAGCGAGAGUUGGUAAGAUAUAAUAAGGAGUCAAAUAUCACCACUCUUAACCAUUUUGAACUGCUAACUAAGAAAUUUUAAAAUACCUUCUUUUUUUUUAAUAAUAAGGAUAUAAAAGAAAAUAAUAAGAAUCAAAUUUCAUGAGUUUAUUCCUAAAAAAUUACUAAAAUCCUUGAAGUUUCUUGGUUUGUCUAAUAAAACGUUGAAUACAAAUUUGAACCAAAAGGUAUAAAAUGUGACGAUAAUUCAAAGAAUGUUGUUUGAAGGAUAAAAGUGGGAGCAUGAUUGGAUACAAUUAUGUGCAAAUCAUCCUCUCCUUGACACUAGAGUUGUAAACAAGCCUUCUUGAGUUGUGAUUCUAAGGAACUCAUAAACAAUCUGUUUAGGUCAUCACGUGGUAGGCAGGUCGCUUUGCAGGUGUGCUCGCACAAGGAUCUCGCGAGGAGAAACUCAAACAAAGUCAACUUGAAGACUCAAUCAAGAGUCAACUUGAGGAUUCUCUCCGAAAAAUCAGGGCAAGAUCCUGAUAGACUAACAACUACUCUCUCUUAUCUAGGAACAUGAGUCUCGGUCCUCUAUAAGAACCUAUGGAAAUUCAAAGUAGGUAAGUUUUUCUAUUUUCUUUGUCUAGACUCUUUCACUUUCUUUCUCUUCUCUCAUUUCAAUUUUUUUUUUCAGUUAAUUUGAAAUUUCGUUAAAAAAAGCUUUUUUUUUUUUUGUUCAAAAGUAAUCAAAAUUAAGCCACAUGAGUUGUGGCAUAAGUUUUACCUAAAAGAAAUGAUUAUUGACUUGAGCAUCGGAGGGUUCACGCCGAAAAAAACAUUCAGCGUCCCCCUAACUAUUUAUGUGAAUGCAGGUCAGUUUCGUAGAAGUGCUUGUGGUCGCAAGAAUCUGCUCAAGCAAAGGAAGUGCAAGCCAAAGUUGUUCCCAUUAAUACAAAUUUAAGUGUUUGCGUGGACAUCUGGUUGCAACUCUUCCACCAACCAGAUUUCUGCAUCAACUAACAUUAUAAAAAAUGAAAAUUAACUAUAAGCUAUAUGCUUAAUUAAAAAAAAAUGAAGAUUAACAAUAAACUAUAUGCUUAAUUAAAAAUCAAAUUAGAUAACUGCAGUUUACCACUCACAUGUCGUACAUCAAAUGAAAACUCUUCAAAGUAAAAUAUAAUUAAAUGUUUGAUUUGAUCAAACGUUACCUGUUCCAUAAGACUUUAGUGAAAUUUUUGUAUAGAAGUAUAUAUGUAUAUAUAUAAAAUAUUUAUACUUGACUUGAUCAAAUGUUGCCUGUCUCAGCAGACUUUAGUAUAUAUAUUUCCUUGCUCAAUUUCUCAUCGACUGAAGUUUAAUUUUCGUCUCUACCUCUCAAUCAGCAUAUAAGGUUGUACUAGUAUAUAUAUAUAAUUACCACCUUGCUUUACUUUUACAGAAAGAAAUAUUCAGCCAAAUCGUGCUUUUCCGAUUUCAAAAUCCAGAAUGACGAUGCUAUUUUCGGCCUCAAUAAUAACUCUUCGCUUGUUUCUCUUGCUGGUCAUUCUAUCCCAUUCCCAUCUUAUAAUGUCACAGACUACUUUUGUUGACGAAAACAUGGUCCUGACUUGCCCUGCAUCAAUUAACAAUAUUAAUACUUCUUCCUACGCGUUCAUCCACAACGUCCAUAGCCUCUUCAACCGAAAGCUUCACUCUGAAGCCGGCAACUCCCUCUAUUACAGCGCCACAGAAGGCCAUUUUCCUGACACAGCUUAUGGUCUUUAUCUUUGUAAAUUCGACAUUACUUUCCAGUCCUGCCAAAGGUGCAUAGCUACAGCGGUCAAAGCCGUGAUGAAAAAAUGUAACGGCACCAGGAAGGCAAUUAUAUGGUACCGAGAGUGCAUGGUUCGCUACUCCGACAAGUCUUUACCCAUCAUGGAUACUUCCACAGUUCUUUGCAUGUACAUAGUACGAAACGUUUCUGUACCGAGAAACGUUACUGGGAUCUUGGCUCAGUCGUUCAAAGACGUAAUUGCCAUGCCGAGUUUAAGUUCUUUCAGCUAUGCGACCAAAGAGACUACCAUAUCUAGGUUUAAUACACUGCAUAGUUAUGGGCAAUGCAUACCAGUAUUGUCUGCAGACGACUGUACAGAGUGCCUAAAUAAAUCUGUUGACUGGGUUUCCAAGUGCUUCAUCCAGCGGGGUACGGGAUUUGGUAGAAUUAUUUUGCCAAGUUGUAACAUUGGGUACGAGUUGCACUGAUGCAGCUGUAAAUUGCCAACCGUACGUGGUAACUAUAUAUGUAUAUUACCAAUAAUUGCCCUGGCGUAUACAAAGAAUAAACAGGCUCAUGCAUAUGAUAAUGCAUGUGAAUUUUACUAUUAAAAUUGCAGUAACAUUGGUCAUUAUAUAAAACUUGUAUUAAUAUUGUUGCUUGAUAUACAACAAGUUUAUGAUUUUCCAACAACCUUUUAGAUUAGUUGAUCAACACCUCCUCAUCUUGUUUUUAAGGUAUAAGGUUCGAGUCUCUCUAUAUAUUUACUGAUAUUUAUUAUUAUUAUUUUUUUAAUUUUCUUUCGGCUUUAAUUGUGUAUUGCUUUGGGCUUAUGGGUGUUGGACUGUUGAUCUUUAAUUUAUUAUUGGAAUAGGUCUUCGGAGACCUCUCAGAAUUUCUCAUACAUCCCUUUUCUAGUUGAAAUUACCAAAAUGACCAAAAACUAAUUUAUUCAUUUCUUAAUUAUUUAAUGAAAAUUUAAUUAAACACUUAAAUAAAUUAUUCCUUCAACAAUUUUUUUACAUCCAUCUUGUUUUAUAAUUUAUAUUUAUAUUUUAAUUUAAUCAAAAAUAUUUUUUUAAAAAUUAUAAGGGUAGAAUUAUGGGAAUAGAAACUACUUAACGAGAAGAAAAUAAUUUAAGAUUAUGAGAUAUAAAUAUAUUUUAUAAAUAAAUAAUAAAAAUAUUUUUGAAGGAGAAAUUUUAUGAGAAUAUUGUUAAUUCAAAAUAUAUGAGUUUGUAUUUUAUAAAUUUUAUUGAGAUAUUUUAAGAAAUAGAAUUUAAAAGAAGUGUCACAAAAAAUUUCGAGAGGUGUUAAAAAGCUCGACUCAUAUUCUUUGUUAUCUUUAGACCUACACAUAGAGUCAUCUAUUAAAAGAAAAAAAAAAAUCCGAAAAACACCGUCCAUGUGAACCACGUGGUCCACGUCCCUUAAAAAUGGGAGCGAAGGUCAAACAUAACGACGCAAGCAAAAGUUAUCUGACUCGACAAAUUUUUUUUUUCUUCUUUUUUUUCCCUCAAACGCGUCACCGACUGGCGUGUUCUACAAGCUUCUUGUGGGUCAACCGGUGAAGGCAACAAUAAACAAAUAAAUAAAUAAAUAAUGAUCUCGACUAAUUCAACCAUCCUUGCAUUUUUCAUUGCCUGUAUUUGAAUAAUGAUCUCGACGUAAUCGUAUUUUUCAUUACCCUUAAUAUUAAAAGAAAAACAUUGAAUCGAUCUGGUAUAAUCGUAUUUAAAUAAAUAAAUAUAGGAAUUUCCCUGCAUUUUUCAUUCCGGAUUUAAGUAUGAGAUGAUGAAUUUUAAUAUGAAAGUAGUUAACAACUUGACCAGGUUUUGUCCCUUUCCUUUACUUUGAUUUUUCUUGCUCCUGAAUCGAGCUUUCAAUUUCAUAGUUAAUCCUAUCUAUUGGUAUUUAAUUGACUUCUUUAUUGUUUUUUUCCUUCGUCGGAGGCUCUGAAUUUUAUAUAUGUUUGACUCGAUCAAUUAUUACCCUGUCCAUAUGUCUUGUCUCUUCAAUGUUAUUUUGUAACAUAAGUUCCCACCUUAUCUUCAAAGAUACCUUCGAUCACCAUAUACAAUUAACAAUGGAACUUAAUAGAGCAUUCAUUUCGGAGGUCAAAAGCUAUAGAAGGACGAUGCCGACUGCCGCAAAUUUAGCCUCACAAGCUAUUCGCUGGCUUCACUUGCUUUCUAUUGUAUCCUCUGUUAUGUCACAGUAUUUUGCUGAAGAAGACAUGGUUUUAUCCUGCGCUGUAUCCAACAACACCGCUUCCAACACGUUCACAAGCAACCUCAACAUCCUCUUCAACCAGAAGCUUCACUCUGAAGCUGGCAAGUCCCUCUAUUACAAUGCAUCAGAAGGGGAAUUUCCGGACUCAGUUUAUGGUCUUUAUCUUUGUAAAUUCAACGUUAGCUUCCAAUCUUGUCAGAAUUGUAUAGUUGCAGCAGUUAACUCCGUUUUGCAAAAAUGUAGUGGCACCAAGGAGGCAUUUAUAUGGUAUCAAGUUCAAGAGUGCAUGGUGCGAUUUUCAGAUCAUUCUUCAUCCAUCAUGGAUACUUCGGCGCCUCUGUGCAUGAAGAUAUUUCAAAACACUUAUAAUGUCACCAAAAGUCUGGCUCAGUCCUUCAACGACGUAAUUGCCAUGCCAAGUUUAAGUUCUUUCCGAAAUGCAACCAAAAGGACUAACAUUUCCAACAUUAUUAGACUUGAAACUUUUGGGCAGUGUAUACCAGUGUUGUCAGUAGAUGACUGUCGAGAUUGCCUGAAUAAUACUAUUCGUUGGAUUCAAAGGUGCUUCGACCCACCGGGAAUGGGAUUCGGUAGAAUUCUUUUCCCAAGUUGUAUCAUGGGGUUCGAGCUGUACCGCUACUCCAAGGUACCUGCAGUAGGAGCUCUAGCACCCAGCUCUGCACCAGGUAACUUCUCUGUUUGAUUUUAAUACAUUUAUAGGGCUAUUUUGACGUAAAUUUUCAACAAAAAUUUUGAGUCAUUGAUUUCAUACAAUUCAAUGGUAGAGAUGGUGGAUGAAUUGAGAUCAUUGCAAAAUAAGUGAUAAAAUUGAGACUUGUGUAGCUAGCCAAACAUAUCGUGAUCCUUAACUGCUGUUUUUUUGUUUAAUAUUGUUUUGCGUCUGGAAAGGAGGGAAGAGGGGAAGAGCAAUAAGUAUUGCAAUUGGCACAACUUUAUCAGCACUUAUAGUAGUGCUGUUCGGUUCGUUUCUUUGGUACCGGCGGAGAAGGCAUGCACGAGACCAAGGCAAAGAAUUUACUUGGCAUUAUAAAAGUUUUCUCACCUCUACGUUCGUCUUUUCCCCGUUUGAAUUUAUAUUUAAAUCCAGUUAAUUGACUUGCAGAGGAGAAAAGAAACAGUCAAGAGGUUCAAUUUCUUCACUGGGAAGGAAGAAUUAGGAAUCAUUACUCCUAUAAUAUUUUACGAGGAGGGAAGCAGCAGGCGGAAUCUCAAGAAUUCCCUUUGUUCCCAUUACGCCUUGCACUUGAAGCCACAAACCAUUUCUCCGAUGAAAAUAAGCUUGGACAAGGUGGAUUUGGCCCUGUGUACAAGGUAAUUGAUUAUACGGUGAUGGCUUCAAUUUUAUAAAUUAUAAGAAACUAUAUGUGUUCACUCAAAUAAUGCAAUAUUAUUACUGACCAAAUGCAAUCUUUCAUUCUUUGAAAUUUGAAUGAUAUUUAUAGAUUAGGCACUUUGCUAGCUAUUUUGUUUCAUUGGUAACGGCGGAUGGUUGCUUCCAGGGUACGUUAGCGGAUGGUAAGGCAAUUGCAGUGAAAAGGCUCUCAAGAACAUCUGGGCAAGGGCUACAGGAGUUCAAGAACGAAGUUAAUUUGAUUGCCAAAUUACAACACAAAAACCUUGUGAGACUCUUGGGAUGCUGCUUAGAGGGACAGGAGCUGCUGCUCAUCUAUGAGUACAUGCCAAAUAAAAGCCUUGAUGUCCAUCUUUUUGGUUUGUCUCUCUCGCUCUCUAUUAAAUGCUAUCUAUUGUAUAUAUUGUAAGGCUCAUGUGCAUUUCCUAAUUGUAAACUGGCUGUUAAGUUGUGCAAAUAAAAUCAGAUAUUAUGGGAAGGAUUUCUUCUUAGUUCCAAACUUUAUCAAGCCCCUAGUUGGAAUUGCCCAUACUUAUAUUAUGUUCCCUGUUUAUGUAACAUAACUACCUGCCGCACCACAUACAUAUAGCAAAUGUAACAAAUUUUUGGUGUUUUCUCCCUUCGCUUUCCCUUCCUUUCUCCAGCAAUGGAGCUUGCGGACGAACUAAUCAAGUUACAUCUUGUGUUCAAUUCAUUGUUAGAUGCAACGAGGAGUGUACAGUUAGACUGGAAAAGGCGUCAAAGCAUCAUUAAUGGAAUCGCAAGAGGUAUAUUGUAUUUGCACGAGGAUUCUCGCCUCAAAAUUAUUCAUAGAGACCUCAAAGCUAGUAAUAUCUUACUAGAUGAUGAUAUGAACCCAAAAAUAUCAGACUUUGGAUUAGCGAGGAUAUUUGGCGGAAAUCAAAAUCAAGCUAAUACAAAUAUAAUUGCUGGUACAUAGUAAGUGGCUUCUAUCCUAGAAGCUCAUUUUCCUUCCUGUUGGAAUUAAAAAAAAAAAAAAAAUUAUGUUCCCAUUUUUAAUCUCAAUUGCUCCUUUGUUUGUUCUUUUCUUACAUUUGUGUUGUCAAGCUUGGGGAAAAUUUAGUGUCUAAUAAAUCCGUUAUAAAGCUUGGUCUUUCUAUACGAAGAUUCUAUUGAUGACAGUUAUAAAAUUAGAACAUCAAGAAUUAAGAAUAAGAAGUUGGUUCAACUGGUGGGAUGCUUCAAAAUAUCUGGGUUUGAAUUCUGCAUACGUUGGAGUUGGCAAUGUGUUUAUUUUACAUUUAUGUAAUUUAAAAAAGAAACAAAAGAAAAACGGUGGUUUAGAAAUGCUAUUAUGCUUCUGCAAAGGAUUAAUCAUUAACCUAAGCUAAGGCUAUAAACCUGUCUUCUAUAAAUUCUAAUCAAAUUUUUAUGAGGCUAACAAGCAAGUUUCCAAGACUUUAUUAUGUUUUCCAUAACUUUGAUCUUAUUUUGUUGUUCAAACAGUGGAUACAUGGCCCCAGAGUAUGCAAUGGGAGGCAUAUUUUCUAUUAAAUCUGAUGUUUUCAGUUUUGGAGUUCUUCUGCUAGAGAUAAUAAGUGGGAGAAAGAACAAUGGAUUUUAUUUUUCCGAACAUGGUCAAACCCUCCUUACUUACGUAUGUAACUCUCUCUCUCUCUCUCUCUCUCUCUUUUAAAAAAUAAUUCGAUAGCCUAAUCUUUGCUUUCGACCUUUUUAAUAUUCCAGACAUGGAAACUAUGGUGUGAAGGACCUGCAGUGGAGUUGAUAGACCCAGUACUAAAGCAGUCAUGUGCACCAGAUGAACUGCUGAAAUUUAUUCAUAUUGGAUUGUUAUGCGUUCAGCAAGACCCCGCAGACAGACCUACCAUGUCAUCAGUGGUUGUUAUGUUGGCAAGUGAUUCCAUGACAAUUCCUCAACCAACCGAGCCUGCAUUUUCUGUAGGCCGAGUUGUUGCGAAUUCCGGUCACUUUUUAUCGCCCGCCAAAGCUUGUACUGUUAAUAAUGUUACUGUUUCAGAUGUAUCCCCCCGGUGAUAAUGAUGAGGACACACUAAGUUUUUUUCUUGAAGAUUUAGGACACAUAUGCGUAAGUCAUGUUCCUUGUUAAUAUUUAUACAUGCAAACUAGACUACUCGGUUCUAUCACAUCCCCAUUUAUACUCUUGAUUUACUGCUGGAAAAAAUUGUGAUUAUAUGACAUUGAAGAAAUUUCUUUCAAUGUCAGGAAUUCAGAGAAAGUAUGCAAAAGCAAGAAAAUUUUCACAACCCAGUCAUUGGAAAUAGGUUUGGCAGCGAUGAUUUGUUAUACCAAACAGCUACGGCAAUUUUCUUAUCCAGCUGAUUGCUUCUUUUGUCUAUAACCCAAAAAUGUAUAGACCAACGUUGCAGUGAUAACUAGUAGCAAUCUGUUAUCUCAAAAUCUACCCUUUGUAUAGUCUCGGUGUGCAGUUGAAAUAUUCCGUCACGGAGACAUUUCAACACUCGAGAUUACGCAACUUAUUUCGUGUCAUUGUGCAGUGUGCAAAAGUUAUUUCUUCUGGGUGUCUGGGUUUGCAUUCUCUAUGGUUAUUCUUUGAAGCUCCUUUCCAUUUGCCUAUGGAUGGGCCUUGGAUUACAUGUUGAAGUUAACCACUUUGCAUUGCAGGUUUGCAACGGAGAUUCUACAUUGACCUCCUGCUUAUUAAAAGCCGCCCCUCAAGUUUAUUACAAUUAGUUUAUCGUCAUUGACGUAUCGAAAUGGCCAGCUAGUUUACUUUUGAUUUGUUUUCUUGCUAAUCUUUUUCUGUCGAUGCAUGCUUCAUAAGUUUAUGUAUCAUCACUCCAGACAUCAAUUCAAUUCAGUCAGACUAAGGAGUUAUUUAUUAUAGUAACACUUUCCCAGAAACUACGCUCAAUUAGUCAAAGUCCUACCAAUUUUUUUUUUUUUUCCUCAGCUACCUACGGGCUACAAUUUACUGUUUUACUCAUGCAAAAUUAAAAAUGUAAAUAUCCCCUCUCCCUGAGCCAGAGUAAUCGUGUGACUCGAAAUCUCUAGCCUUCUAUGCUUCACCACAAAGUUACUAGAAAAUGACUAAUAUAUUUGUCCACUAAGAAUUCUUCCAAGAAAAUACCAUGAACGAAGUGGUUGAAGCACCAUAAAUAGCUAGCCCAAGAACUGUUUUAGCUGCAUAAUAAAGAACACUUUUCAUUUUUGCACAGGGGUUCCAAAAGGCAAGAUAUGGUUCAUAUCAUCAGUGUUACAAAAGUCAUUCAAUUAAUUUUCAUUUAUUCUCUCACAGCCACUCUUCAUGAUCCUGCUUUUGGCGAUAGCCCUCCCUAUAACACUUGUUCAAGCAGUGCCGCUGAUUAUGGACAUGCUGGUGCAAUCUAUAGUAACCUGAAAAAAGUCCUCAUUUCUUUAGCCUUGAAUGCUUCUGCUGCCAAGUUUUCCGAUGCGUCUUCAGGGAAUGACUCAGAUAGAGUUUAUGGUCUCUACAUGUGCCUCAACUAUAUUUCAAAUGACACUUGCAACAACUGCAUAACCACAGCAACACAAGACAUCACCAAACUUUGUCCAAACAAAACCGACGCAAUCGUGUGGGAAGAGGUCUGUCAGUUGCGCUAUGCUUACGGAAAUUUCUUUGGCCAAUUGGAUGUCUCAGGAAACAUUCCUAAAUACAACAGAAAAAAUAUAUCAGAACCAGAGAGGUAUAGAUCUGUUGUGAACAACACUCUGAAUAAUCUCACCAAACUGGCAGCUUUUGAUCCUUCAAACGAAAUGUAUGCAACUGGUGAAGUACCCUUCACAAAUUCAGACACUUUAUAUGCUCUAGUUCAAUGCACCAAAGAUCUAUCUGCCGAUGAUUGUGAUGCAUGCCUCAACAAAGCUACAGCAGAUAUUUUAUCUUGCUGCUUUUUUUCAAGAGGAGCACGACUUCUCAGUCGUAGCUGCUAUUUGAGGUAUGAAUUAUAUGCCUUUUAUAACGGUGACACAGAAGCUUCUGUCUCCGUUGGAAACCAAGCAUCAGGGAAAUGUAAGUAGUGCAAUUUCACCAUAAGAAUUAAUUUCUUAAUCCAUAUGGUGUUUGAAGAAAAUGGAACUUAAUGUAGUAUUCUGUUCGUGGUCUCAAAUAUAUGCAGCCAACCAAAGGAGGAUGUGGAUGAUUAUAAUUCUAGCCGCUGUAGCAGCUUUUCUACUGCUAGUUGUUGCUUCCACUGGCUACUUCUUUGCUGCAAAAAAAGUAGCCCGGAAAAGUAAAGAUUUUAUCGGAAAGUUUUCAAGCUAUUUUCUGUUCUGGCGUCAACUGUAUUCACCCUUUUUUCUUUUUCUUUUAAUUUUGUCUCUUCAAAUUUUGCUUUCGUGUGUUAGGGAAGGGUAUGGUAAGAAAGCAGAUUCAAUUACAUAAAAUUGGGGACGCAAGCAAAACAGGCCUCCGUUAUCAACAUGUUCGGGGGAGGGAUGAUGAUCUAAAAGCUCAGGACUUUUAUAUUGAUCUGGAAACAUUACAUGUAGCAACCAGUAACUUUUCCGAUUCAAAUAUGCUAGGACAAGGUGGUUUUGGUCCUGUUUACAAGGUAUUAGUAUUAUUUAAAAAAUAAAAAUAAAAAGUCAUCCAUUAAUUUGUAUUAAAAAUAAGAAAUAAAAAUUAUCAGGGUGUAUUAAGUGACGGCAAGGAAAUAGCAGUGAAGAGGCUCUCCAGCUGUUCUGAGCAGGGCAAUGCAGAAUUCACAAAUGAAGUGCUCCUUAUAUUGAAGCUACAGCACAAAAAUCUCGUCAAGCUUCUAGGUUUUUGUGUUGACGGAGAUGAAAAGCUGCUUGUCUACGAAUUUAUGCCAAACAGCAGCCUUGAUGCAAUCCUUUUUGGUAUGCGCUUUUCUUUUUCAUUUAUUAUUGUCCCUUUGAAUUCUCAGAACAUCGAUUUAUUCCUCUUUCUGGCACUCUUAAUUGUUAGAUCCAAGGAAACGUGGGCUACUGUGUUGGAGCAAACGUAUUAAUAUUGUAAAUGGAAUUGCCAAGGGAAUUCUUUACCUUCACGAGGAUUCUCGACUUAGAAUCAUUCACAGGGACCUAAAAGCUAGCAAUGUGUUGUUAGACUAUGACAUGAACCCCAAGAUCUCAGAUUUUGGAAUGGCAAGGAUAUUCGCCGGAAGUGAAGGUGAAGUUAAUACUGCCAGAAUAGUAGGAACAUAGUAAGUAAAACUUAUUUACUUAUAGCUCAAAUAUGCUAUUCUCAAUUAAUAAUAAAGAUUAUAUUUUUCUUUUUGGUAAAUAGUGGAUAUAUGGCUCCUGAAUAUGCAAUGGAGGGAUUAUAUUCCAUAAAGUCUGAUGUUUUUAGCUUUGGAGUACUCUUGAUUGAGAUUAUAACAGGAAGGAGAAACACAAGCUUCAAUCAAUCAAGAGGCGCGACUGCCCCGAACCUCCUAGCCUAUGUAAAUUUGUCUACAAUAAAGAACGUGCAUUUUAUUUCGGGAAUUUAUAUUUAGUACUGCAAAAUUUUUAAUCCACUUUAAUGAUGAUGCAGGCAUGGCAUCUCUGGAAUGAAGGGAACGCAUUGGAUCUGAUUGAUCCACUGUUGACCGAUACAUGUUCUCCAGAUGAAUUUUUAAGAUACAUUCAUAUUGGUUUGUUGUGUGUUCAAGAGGAUGCAUUUGACAGGCCUACCAUGUCAUCCGUUGUUGUAAUGUUACAGGGUGAAACCAUUACUCUUUGCCAGCCUCAAAAACCUGCCUUCUCUUUUGGAAGAGUUACGGAUGAUGAUGAUAACAAUUAUUGCUCUGUCAAUGGUUUAACCAUUUCUGAUCUUUCGCCUCGGUGAUUCAGGCAAUGAACGAGUUUGAAUGUGCACUGGGCUGGUGCCUUUCUUGUCAUACAUAGUGUUAUAUCCCCACUUCGCUUGUAUUUCAACCAAAGGGUAUGUGGAUUUUACAAAUGUAAUAAUUAAUCUGAGAGUCCGUAUUUGGGAUGAACAGCAAAGAGUGAAAGAGCGACUCGCACUCUCGGAUUGUAAAAUAACGAUAUAUAUAUAUAUAUAUAUAUAUAUAUAUAUAUAUAUAUAUUGAUCUUAUUAUCUAGUCUAUUUAAUUAUUCUUUUAUACAAACCGGCCACACUACUUUUCCAUUCAUACCUUCAAAGGUUUCAUGAGACGAAUCAGAAUAUUUAAAAUAGGGGAGUCAGAGUCAUCUAGUGGCUGAUUAUGUUCUAUAAGAGAGUAGACUUUUGACAAUGACCUAUUAAUUUUGUUCUUCAUACUAGCUAAUGAGAUUAUCUAAUCAAAAUAUUAUAAGAGGUCAAGCUAGUGAGCAGCCUCUUGUAUGUUAAUUUGUCCCAACUCUUAAAUCAACGACCAAAGCAAGUAUAUCAUCAGCAUCAAUAUAUAAUUAUAUAUUUAGGGUUAGAAAUUAUUUGCAGUGGCCCAGUACAGUAGUUGAACAUUUUUAAAAAUACUAUAUCUAACCCAAAAGCCAGAGUAGUUAUACAUAUUUAUUAACUUUUAUUUUAUAACAAAUAUCUUGCAAUAUUGAUUAAACUGAAGUUUAUCCUAACAGGUUUUUAUCCAACUAGAACAGGCUUUUUUAAUGAAUAGUUGUAAAACUCUAGAAUAACAAUUGAAAUAGGGUGAUUCAUGUAGUUUAUCUAUUGUAUCUUGAAUUUAGGGAAAGAUUAUCGAAUCUGAAGCCCAAGCCUAAGAAACGACACAUUUGAAAGCAGCAGACAAUAGCGGUGUCCUAAAAUUGAUGUGUAUUAUCAUUUGAGCUAAUAAAAACAAAAUAUGCUCAUUUUUAGUGUUUGAAAGAGUGGUAGCAUGAAUUUACCUCUAUUUUUAUUCAAAAGACGAGAGGAAUUUUUUUUUUUUUUGGCUCUUCUUGACAUUAAAUGGAGGUAAAUUAAUAUUUUCACACCUUUAGGAAAAAAUAAAAUUGAAUGACAUUUUAAGUGAGAGAUGAAUUAAAUUUUACCCUAACAUCAACCAUAAAAGGCCUUUGAAUUAAUGAAACAAAAAGUCAAUGGACCACCUAGUUCUUAUCCAGUCGUGCCGAUUAUUACAGUUGUUUUCCGACGACAGCAAUAUUCUAAUCUGUUGAAAACUUGAAAUGGACGGAAGAGAUAAUCUUAAAACAUAUAAAAUUGAAAAUAAACAAUUCGUAAAAUAUUGCUCGAAAAGGACAACUACAAGUAAAUUUCUGACCCGUUUCAUUUUAAGGUAGUAUCGUAUUCUAAUUCCCAAUCCGAUUCUGGCUUUAAUCCUACAAGGCGAAGAUUUUCCAGUAAUAACAAAAUUAAGGAACUCGACAAGGUGAACAUGGGCCAAAACUUACAUGGAAAAUUCAAAUGUUAUUCAUAGUCGAGAAAGUCUUGGGUGUCAACCUUGGAAAUGGAUCCCCUAUGUUGGCGAACCCUAUUAGUUGGAAAUAUCUGAGAUAAAGAUAAAAAGAUAAAAUAAAGAGAGGAUAACAGCAAAUAAAAAUAACUUAAGGGGAUUGUGAUAUAUUUGAUAUUCAAUACCUGUUUAUAUAUCAUGAAUCGGAGAAGUCGGACAAGCUGUAAUUGAUUUCAACCGGUGAAUUGAAUUUGACCAAGGAUUGCGACCUGUUUAAUCACGACUUUACGUCUAGAAUUAGAUCAGAAAAGUCCUUUAUACAGCUGCCUCGUUGUUUCUCCAACAUAACAACAAUGUCAAUGUGGUGGAAUCUGACAAAAGUUUUGAAGUCCAGCGACUAAUUGUUACUGAAAGUCCGAAACUAGGCAUGGUAUCAUCACUGUUAGUUAAGCAAUUUGGUAAAACAUAAGAAACCUUGUUAUAUAUGACUGAACAGCAAGCUACUCGUGGGUUGCUCAUGGGUGUUAACACGAGCCUCGCCUCAAAUGAUUUGAUAUUAACUAUGUGAGCUUGAAAGGGUAGUUGUUAAAUCUUACGCUAGCUCAUCGAAUAUUGAUUACAGAUCUUCAACUGUUCAAGUAUUGCUCUUGAAAUAACAGACCUACACUGUCUUCACUUAACAUUUUAAGUGGAAUCUUCCCAAAAUUCAAGCUCUAAAUAAGUUUCUUUUUUUUUUUUUCAUGUUGUUUCCUAAUAGUUUUACUUUUUUAAACUAUAGCCAUGAUAUUUUGAUAAACACUUAAACUGUAGCUUUUAGGACGUAAUUAUAAAGUGUUUGAUGAAAUAAUUUAAAAUUAUUAUUCCAAACUUUAAAAUUAAUAUUUUACUAAAUACCAUUAAUUUUUAUUUCACAGCUACAGUUUACAAAAUUUCAUAACCGUCGCUUUUAAACGAAAAACCCAUCAAUACAAACCGAGCCAAAGUCAUUUAUGUGGCCAUUCAGUGUAUGUGCACAGCUAUAGGAGAAAAGCUAUUAGCUCUGUUUGCUAGAUUAUUAAUAAGGAUACAUUUUCUGUUUCUUCCGGUGAUUACAUAUCUGAUGUUAGGAAAUUGAUGGGUAAAGCAAACACGCAACUAAAAUAAAAUUGGAAGAAAAUAAAGAACAAGCACAAAGAGCACACAAAAAAUUACGUGGUUCGGCUUUUAGCUUACGUCCACGGGCGAAGACAGAAAGAAAAUAUUUUACUAGUGAAAAGGAGUUACAAGUAUUGUAGUAUUUUAACUCAUUUUCCAAAACCCCAAUACAACCAAACUCUUAAAACAUUAAAACAAGAGCUUAUAAUUUCAAGCUUUCUAAACUCUCUCUAAAUACAAGAAAACUCUUCUUAAAAUUGGAUGAGCAAAUGAGGGAAUGAGUCCCUCUAUUUAUAGUCAAAAUCUUGGCUACUAUUCACGUAUUUUUUUCAAUUAUUUAUUAUUUUUCAAAAUUCAAAGUUCAAAGUUUGAAUAUCUAGAAUUUUGAAUUUGAUAUUCAAAGUUUGAAUAUCUAGAAGAGAUAUCAAUCUUGACAUUCUCCCAUUUGGAGAUUUGAUUGAGAACCAAUCAAUCUCCACACUAUCUUUUCUGCUUCAUCAUUGUCAUAUUGCCUAUGUUUCUGCUAGGCCACAAGAGAAUCUACUCCAGAUAAACUUGUCAGUAUUGAUUGGAUUGGUCAAAACAUCUGCUAGGUUCUCCUUAGUAUGGAUUUUCUGUAAAUCCACACUUCCAUCUUUCACUACUUCUCGAACGAAGUGAUAUUGUACCCCUAUGUGUUUUGUCCUGGAAUGAAAGGAUGGAUUUCUUGCAAUAUGCAAGACACUCUGACUGUCACAAAACACAAGAGUUUUCUGUUGUUUGUGCCCGAGCUCCACCAAUAACCUUUGUAUCUAAAUAGCUUCCUUGCAAGCUUGUAUAGUUGCCAUGUAUUUUGCUUCUAUUGUAGAUAGAGCCACGACGGUCUGCAGUUUUGAAACCCAGCUUACAGCUGCUCCCGCAAGUGUAAACACAUAGCCAGUAGUGAAUUUCCUUUUAUUAAAGUCUCUUGCAAAAUCUGAAUCCACAUAGCCCCUGACAGUAAACUCUGAUCCUCCAUAACAUAAUACAACAUCGGAGGUUCCUUUAAUGUACCUCAGAAUCCUCUUCACAGCUAUCCAAUGCUCUCCACCAGGAUUCAUCAUGUAUCGACUAACUGCUCCCACAACUUGUGCAAUGUCUGGUCUUGUACAAAUCAUAGCAAACAUUAAACUUCCCACCAGUGAUGCAUACGGUAUUCGAGACAUCACCUUUCUCUCUGCUUCAUUGUUAGGACACAUACUUGAGGAUAAUUUGAAAUUAACAGGAAGUGGGGUAGAAACUGGCUUACAAUCUUGUAUGUUGAAGCGCCGCAAGAUUUUCUUCAAGUAGUUCUUCUGAGAAAGCCAAAUAUUCCUGUCAUUUUUAUUUUGGUGAAUUUGCAUCCCUAGAAUCUUGUUUGCUGGUCCCAAGUCCUUCAUUUUAAACUCCCUAGCCAACUAUGCCUUCAAUUCUUAGAUUUGAUCUUUGUUGGAGCCUACUACCAACAUAUCAUCUACAUACAACAGCAAAAUAAUGAAAUCAUUAUCUUCAAACCUUUUGUAAUAUGCACAAUGGUCUGAACUGAGUCUGUUGUAUCCAAGGCUCAUGAUGAAGGAAUUAAAUCUCUUAUACCAACAUCUCGGCGCCUGUUUGAGACCGUAUAGAGAUUUGUUCAACCUGCAAACCAAGUUUUCCUUUCCUGUUUCUGCAAAACCUUCUAGUUGGACCAUAUAUAUUUCUUCUUCAAGUUCUCCAUGAAGAAAUGCAGUUUUCAUAUUUAAUUGCUCUAGAUGUAGGUCAAAUGUAGCAAACAUUGCCAAGACUAUUCUGACUGUUGUGAGUCGAACCAUCAGAGAAAAUAUCUCGUUGAAGUCAAUACAUUCUUUCUCAGCAUAUCCCAAGAAGAUACACCUCCUAGAUUUUGGAUCUAACUUUGUUCUUUCUUGGGCAUUGUACAUCACGUACACAGGACAUCCAAAUGCAUGUAGGUAGGAGUAAUCAACUGGCUUUCCAGUCUACAUCUCCAUUUCUGUCUUCAACCCAAUAACUGUAGAUGGCGACCGAUUUACUAUAUAACAGGCAGUUUUGGCUGCUUCUGCCCAGAAUGAAUUGGGUAUACCAGCAGUCCUCAACAUAGCUCUUAUCCUUUCUGUAAGAGUUCUGUUCAUCCGCUCCGCCACUCCGUUUUGUUGAGGAGUGUAUACUAUCGUGAACUGCCUCUGAAUACCUUCUUGCUUACAGAAAGUAAGAAACUCGUCGUUUGUAUACUCUCCACCAUUAUCUGUCCUCAAGCACUUGAUCUUUUUACCAGAUCAAGUUCCACCUGCGCUUUGUAUUCUUUAAACACUGGAAAUACAUCUGACUUUUUCUUAAUUGGAUACACCCAAUAUCUCCUGAAAUAAUCAUCAAUGAAAGUCACCAUGUACUUUGCACCUCCCAUGGAUAUAUCCGACGAUUCCCAAACAUCAGAAUGAAUCAAUCGCAAAGUGCAUUUACUUCUAGCAACAGAUCUACUGAAUUUAAAUCUAUGCUGCUUACUUGUAAUACAAUGCUCGCAAAAUGGUAAACUUACAGAUUUGAGCCCUGAAAGCAAUUUUCCCCUUUAAGCAUGAAUAUAUUAGCACCGAUCUUUUUCGCCUUCAUCAAUACAAGCGCGCCUUUAAUGAUCUUCAUAAUUCCAUUCUCCACAUGAGUUUUGUACACAUGAGUUUUGUACCCAUGACUAUCCGUUAGUCCCAAAGAUAAUAGAUUUUUCUUCAGGCCGUUAACAUGUCGUACCUCCCCAAUUGUGCGAAUUAUACCAUCAAACAUUUUUAUUUUAAUAGUACCAAUACCAGCUAUCUCCAAGGCAUGAUUAUUACCCAUAUAUACAGAUCCUCCUAAGAUAGGUUCAUAUGUGUGGAACCAUUCUCUCCUAUAGGUCAUGUGCUAGGUAGCUCCUGAGUCUAUAAGUCAGACAUUAGAUAGUCGUUUUCUGCCUUUUGAAACAGUUGUUGCCUCGCUAUAGAGAAUUUCGCCAUCGUCCAAGGUAUUUGCUACACACCCAUGAGCAUUUGAUGACUCAGGUUCUUUACCCUCUUUUCUCUUCUGGUUACUCCAACAUUCUUUCUUGACGUGCCAUUUCUUGCCAUAGUUGUAGUAUUUAACAUUCUUCUUACUUCUGGAUUUUGAUCUACCAUGAUUGUGACUCCUAUUGGGGCCACUAGAAGCUCUGCACGUUCAUUCUCCUCUAUAUUAUGACCCAAUGUUGUGAGUUGUGAAAAUAAAGUCUUCAAGAUGUUGAUGUGGUCGGUCACCAUUGUAGAUUCCGUCAUUCGAAGAGUAUAGAGUUUCCUCUUCAAGAAGAUUUUGUUGUGUAGUGACUUGGCCUCGUACAAUUUUGUGAGAGUAUCUCAUAUUUCCUUCACUGUAUUUUUCUCUGCCACACUUGAUAAUACUCCGUCCGCAAGUGCCAAGUGUAGAUCAGAAAUGGCAUUGCUAUCUAUCUCGUUCCACUUGUCAUCAGUUAUCUCCAUGGGUCUUUCUUCAAUUGCUGCCAAGCAAUUAUUUUUCCUCAAUACAGUUUUUAUCUUCAUUUUCCACAACGAAAAAUUAUUUCCAUUAAAUUUCUCAAUUUCAUACUUUGCCGCCAUUUUGUUGAUAAAUACCGCACACAAUCUAGUGUACCACCUUGAAUAGUUAUGAGUAUGUGUGAGAAUGCACACCAGGAAAGUUCUCAGAAAAGACUAGAGGGGUCACAAUGGUCCCACUUAAAACCCAGACUCCUUAAGCUCUUUUCGCCUUUAUGACAGAGCUUUCCUAGACAUGUACAAAACCACACAGUUGCUUUACUCACACCACUAUUCCCUGCUUUGCACCGCCAAUACUAGGAUUGCUCUCACCGUUUCACGUGAAUAGUACUGUAUACAUGAACAGUAUCAUAUACGUUAAUAGUGUCAUAUACGAGAACAAUACCCGACUCUAAAAAUUCAACCAAUAGCUCUGAUACCAAUGUUAGAAAAUUGGUGGGUGAAGCAGACACGCAGCUAAAAUAAAAUUGGAAGAAAAUAAAGAACAAGUACAAAUAGCACACCAGAAUUACAUGGUUUAGCUUUUAGUCUACGUUCACGGGCGAAGACAGAAGGAAAAUAUUUUACUAGUGAAAAGGAGUUACAAGUAUUGUAGUAUUUUAGCUCACUUCCCAAAACCCCAAUACACCCAAACUCUCAAAACACUAAAACAAGAGCUUAUAAAUGAGCCCCUCUAUUUAUAGUCAAAAUCUUGGCUACUAUUCACGUAUUUUUUUCAAUUAUUUAUUAUUUUUCAAAAUUCAAAGUUUGAUAUUCAAAGUUUGAAUAUGUAGAAGAGAUAUCAAUCUUGACAUCUGAAAGCUUCUUGAAUUAAUAUUCGUUAAAAUGAUGUAAUUGUAGUACGUAAGGUCAGACAAAAAAUAAUGGCAAAAACCAGGCAAAUUCUUCCACCAAUCAAUUACCAGGUAAUUUAGGUCUGCUGAACUUUCAAUCUCUUGCGUUGUGAAUGAUCAGGAAGUUUCUAUUCCAUAAUGUUCAAACCUCGCCUAAUUAUUGUCAACUAAAAAAAAAAAAAAUGUUAUGCAGCCAUUGGCCUCCGAUAGGCUAAAUCCCCUUGUGCUUCCAAAUAAGGAAGAUGGCUAAAAAAAUAUAAUUUCAGCUAUGCUUCUCGUAGUCGUACAAUUCUUCAUGCUCUCUAUCUUUACUGAUGCAAAUCCUCUCGAUAUAGCUUGCUCCAAUACAAGUUAUGCUCCUAACAGCCCGUUUGAAAGUAACCUAAAGCUCCUUCUAGAGUCAAUAGCUACCAAUACUUCACAAGGCUUCUACAACUUAUCCAUCGGAGAUGACCCUAAUCGAGUUUUUGGGCGAGCACUUUGUCGAGGGGAUGUUAACGGCACAGUUUGUCAGAAUUGCCUCGAAAACGCAAGACAUGAAAUCUUGAAAAAUUGCAAGACUGCUGAAGAGGCAAUCAUAUGGUAUGAAUUAUGUCAAAUUCAAUACUCAUACCGGAAAUUUUUAGUGAUGGUUUAUGCAGGACAGUACGCAGAAAAGUGGAAUAAUCAGUGGAAGAGUGUGUCCAAUCCUGCUCGUUUCAUCGAAGAAUUAACUUACUUAAUGACUAACCUCUCAAUUGAGGCCUCAUCUGAUCCGGCGAUGUUUGCGGUCGGUGAAGUUAAAUUUCCAAAGCGGAAAACUCUAUAUGGGCUUGUGCAGUGUACCAGGGACAUUAAUUCCCGUGACUGCAACGACUGUUUGACUGGCGCCUUGGGAGACCUCAAAGCAUGCUGUGGUGCUCGGGAGGCUGGGAUUAUCGUAAAUGAGAAUUGUAACUUGAGAUUUCAGCUCUCCCUCUUCUAUAAUGCUUCAACACGUAUAGCACUAACAUACCCAACUUCCACAGGUGAGAUCGUUGACUUUAAUCAAUCAUAUAUUGUUCGUUUACUAGUUUGCUUUUGCUGUCACUGCAACAAAAUUGAAGCAAUUAACAAAAUCUUUUUUUUUUUUAAUUACAAGAUGAUGACCUAUCGAUUAAAACAAUCCAAAUUUGGCUAUAACUGAUUAUAUAUAAAGUAAAACCUCUCUAUAGUCAUAAUAUCGAGCCUAACUAAUUUUGUUACUAUAACAAAAUAUAAUUGUAGUUAUAAAAUUAUUAUUUUAAAAUUAUCUUUAGUGUAAGUAAUAUAGAGAUAAAGCAUGCACUAUAUUAAUAAUUAAUAUCAAAUUCAAUGUAUAGACAUUGGUAAAAAAAGUGGACAUGAUUUCACAAUAUGCAAGUUAUUUUAAAUGUUUAAAUGUUUGCAUUUUCUUAAAUUUUUUAUUCUUCUCAAUGUAAAUUCUAUAAAUACUACACAAUAAUUUAGUAACAACUCUGAAAAAUAAAUCAUUGUCCUAAAUAACUUUUAAAAAAAAUAUUUUUCUUCAUCCUAGACAUUUAAUAUAACAAAACACACACACACACACACACACACACACACACACAAUUACUACUAUGUGGAGGCAAAAUUUUUAAAUCAGAAUUCAGAAAAAUUAUAAGUUAUUAUAAUGUGGAGUUUAUUCUUAUUUACAACUAGCCCAAAGUGGGACAAGAGUUGUAGGAAUAUAUAUACAGUAAAAUCUCUUUUUUACGAUACUUGUCAAUAUUUAGUUGCUACCAAUCAAAUUAAGUCUACAUCUUAUAAAAAUGAGAGCGCCUCAUUAAAGAAGAACAACUAAUCAUAUUCAAUAUUAUUUUUAAAAAGUGUAUGAUUAAUGAAGAGUCAUGGUUGUACACUGUUUGGGAAAUGAUUUGUAUUAUGAGUUGGUUUAUGUCCUUUAAAAUGCGGGUAUUUUUAAUAUUUGGUCAUUUCAAUUCAUUCGUAUUCAGAGUUGUAUCACAGCUUAUACAGUUAAUUUGAAUUUAAAGGGUUCGUUUUUAAUGAAAAGCAGACGGAAAAUGGAAGACUGGGAUGGUUGUUGCGGUUGCGUUCAUAUCAACAUUUGUACUAGUUGUCCUCAUUGGAUCUUAUGUUGUCCAUCUUCGCCGGAAGAAAGGAGCAAAAAAUGGUAAAAAAAAAAAAAAAAAAAGGCUUUCCACAAAUACAUUGAAAAAUUCCCCACAAUUUAGGGACUAAUAUGUUUAAUUUGCCUUUGUAGAUGAGAAAAGAAGCCAACGAGGGUUACUACAUGAAUUGGCAGGACCAAUAUCAGUAUCACUAACACAAGAAGGGGAUUUGGUUAGUUCAGAGGAAUUGCCUUUUGUGCAUCUAGCUGUUAUAAAGGCAGCAACUGAUGGUUUUUCUGAUUCUAAUAAGCUUGGACAAGGCGGGUUUGGCACUGUGUAUAAGGUAACACUCUAUUGCCUAGUUCAAUAUCGCACAAAAGAUAUUCGGACCAAAAUCUUCUCAUAUUCUAGGCUUUCACCGUAGUAAAAUAUAAGAACGUAAUUGGUUGUUAACAAAAAUUAAAAUUACUAAGAAAUAAUUUCGACCACACAUCAGUGUACAUGUAUAAAUGCACAAAACCCUUAGAAGCUAAUUAAGAUCAUGAAAGGAUUCUUAUCCUCACUGAAGCAAAAGCACCAAUUUCAGAGUAUAUACAUAUAGCACACCCAACGAAAUCAGUUAAUAUAUAAGAGAAUACAAACAUGUCAUGAUUAAUUAGAUGUUUGCACAUACACCCAUUGAAGGGAAUAUAUUUCCAUAACUUUUAGUUAAUCUUCAGGGUGUUCUACCGAAUGGGAAGGAAGUAGCAGUUAAAAGGCUGUCAAGGAAGUCAUGGCAAGGUUUGGAAGAGUUCAAGAAUGAAAUCAUACUUAUUGCAAAACUUCAACACCGAAAUCUUGUAAGACUAGUGGGUUGUGGCAUAGAGGGCGAGGAAAAGCUGCUUAUAUAUGAACUCAUGCCCAACCGAAGUCUUGAUUGCUUUAUCUUUGGUCUGUCUCUGCUACUGACUGCAGACAUAUGAACUUACACAGUUGCUUCAGUUAUGUGUACUAAUCUCUCUCUGGACCUUGGUUUACUCAAUUUCAGAUUCUGAAAGACGGUUGCAACUUAAUUGGAAUACAUGCUAUAAUAUUAUUGGUGGAAUUGCCAAAGGACUUCUUUACCUUCAUGAAGACUCUCGGCUUAAAAUAAUCCACAGGGAUCUAAAGCCGAACAAUGUAUUGCUGGACAAAGAUAUGGUUGCCAAGAUUUCAGACUUUGGUAUGGCAAGAAUUUUUUGUGAAAAUCAGAAGACAGCUAACACUAGGAGAGUAGUUGGAACCUAGUAUGAUUCUUAGCUUUUUUUCAUUUACCAACUAUUUAGCAUAUUUUUCCGGAAAUUAUUUUAAUCAUGCUGUGUAAUUGUUUUUUCGCAUUUGGAACAGCGGAUACAUGGCUCCGGAGUAUGCAAUGGAAGGACUGUUCUCAGUGAAAUCUGAUGUUUUUAGCUUUGGUGUAAUAGUGCUUGAGAUCAUAAGUGGCAAAAGAAAUAGCGGUUUCUAUCUUACAGGACAUGCUCAGACACUCCUUGCAUACGUAUGUUUAAUGUAGCUGCUAACUAGAAUUGAGAUUUUGCUUCAAAUGGAUGUUAUUAUAAUAAACGUAAGAUUAUAAACCGUUUUUAAUUGGAAUUGAUUGCAGGUAUGGCAACUGUGGAAAGAAGGUAAAGAAAUGGAAUUUGUAGACCCUUUGUUGAUGAAAUCAAGUUCGAUUCCACAAGUGGUGAGAUGCAUACACAUAGGGCUUUUGUGCGUGCAAGAAGAUCCAGCAGUAAGACCCACCAUGUCAAAUGUGGUGGCUCUUUUGGGAAGUGAAUCAAUAGCUCUUUCAGAACCAAGGCAACCCCCGUUUCCUGUGGGAAGAACAAUCGUUCUCGCUGAGCAACCUUCGACCAAAGAUCCUUCUGUGUGUCAUGACCUCACUGUUUCUACUCUCUCACCACGAUAACUGUUACAUUCUUUUUCCCAAGUGGUUAAGAGUUCAGCGCCGAAGGCAAAUAGCAAAGUGAAUGGAUUUGGAUCAUCCCUUGUUUUUUCACCUCCAUUUUUAUAGUUAUAAGUUUUGACUUUGAAAGAUCUAAUGACGUUAUCAAUAAUCAAGAUUGAGUUUUCCAACGUGUAAUGCUACAACUAUUAAACUUUCCUUUUUAAUACUUAAAUUUUAUUAAGUUCGAACUCUCUCUCCUCAAUUACUUUUACACGAUCGUUAUGAAAAAUCGAACUCUCUCCUGUGACACCUACCUCUAAAAUGAAAAACUGUUUCCCAUGGAUUUAUGAAAAAUUGAUUAACUUCUAAAAUCUGAAAUUUAUUUAUAUAUUUAAUUUUAUGUCAUGUUGCCAAACUGGUGAAGGAGAUGUGUGGGCGAAGCAUGAAUCGCUUGUCAGAUGAAAAAAAAAAAAAAAAGGAAAUGCAGGGUUUACCAUUCAUGAUUGUAGUGUUUACCUUGUUAAAUUCUAGGGAAAUAACAUUUACGCCUCUCAUUUUAUUUGGGUUAUUGAAUGAAGGCUGCACAUGCAAUGAUGAGGUACUGUUUCUAUGAUAGAAUUUAGGCUUAGAAAAAGUGAAUAGCAUUUACAGCUUUCAAAGAAAAUGUUUAAAAAGCUUUAACCUUUUGGAGCAAGGCAAUUACUGAACUUGGAAGAGAGAGCGAUUCUGAGGUUUUGCAUUCAGUGAAAAUCUCGUAUGUUUCUUUGUCCUUUAAAGUAAUUUCAGUCCCACAAUUAUAUACAAUAUAUUGUUGUUCCUGAACCUGGACUACAUACGUCAAUCUUUUAAGCCCACAGCCCAUAUACACCCACCCAUGUCUAGUAGGCUGCUUAAAACAUACUCUCCAAAAUCUGUUCAACUUGAAAUCCUAGCAGCUAUCAUAGUGAUUUGAAAAUCUGUUUCCUGCAAGAGCAAAAUUAAUAAUGCACAUAAUUUUUAAUAUAUAAAUAUGAUGUUAUUAGGAAUGAUAAUAAUAAACUUUUCAACGUUGAAAGUACGUAUUUUUAUGGGAAUCGAACAACAUAAUGAUAUCUCAAAUGAAAGCCGUGAUUUGGCUAAUUGAUUUCUGGGAAAUAUCAACUGAUGACUUAUAUAUAUAUAUAUAUAAGGAAAAAGAAAAAAAUUGGAAUUAAAUUUUGUGUUACUCUCGUCUUGUGAGUUAUGAACGAUCAGAAAUUUAUACCAAAUCUAAUUUUGAUCCAUUAAUACUUUGCAAUAACUAAAGGACAAAAUGAAAAUACUCUCUGUAAAAUAUCUUCAAAACUUAGAAAAUUCCACUUUAACCAUUGGAUAACCCUGAGGGCUGAGUCCCAUGUAACAACUCCCUUGAAUCCGUCGUCACGCACCCACUUCCGUCUUAAUCAAACUUAAUUUAAUCUGAUGUCCUUUUUCCUCAUUUAACUUUUCACAAAUUUGACUGAGAUUUUCGGACCUCUUUUCCUCCGUGGGACCGAGAAUUUGUCCUGAAACAAAACAGUUAAUUGGAGGAAUGGGACCUUGACUUCACCUUGUGAACUGAAGACAAGUCUCCUUUGCCAACUCCACUUCUGCAGCUUCCACCAAUCGUUUCGUUUCCACAUUAAAUCUCAUCGACUAAAAUUAAAAAUUAAAACAAAACAAAAUACAAAAUUUAAAAGAAAAAAAAAAAAAAAAGAAGGUAGACGGUGAUUAUUUAGAGCAUUAUUAUUAGUUGUGCGCAACAAAAAAGCUGGGAAUUACAUAUGACUCCCUUGAAAUUCUUCAUGUUGUUUCUGUUUGUGAUCUAUCUUUCAAGCUUCCAAUUCAGUUUUACAGCUGCAGCUGACCCAACACACGUUUAUCAUUUCUGUUCAGACACGGCAAAUUUCACCAGAAACAGCACCUUUGAAUCAAACCUCAAUCGUCUCCUCACUUCUCUUCCCACUAACGCCAGCCGUGGGAAUGGAUUCUCCAGGGGUUUCUUCAACGCCACCGCUGGCCAAGACCCAAACAGGGUCUACAGCCUCUUUCUCUGCCGCGGUGAUCAAACUACCGACAUCUGCCAAAACUGUGUCACUUUUGCUACCAGAGAUGUAAUUCGGCUUUGCCCAGUUAGCAAAGACCCCAUAGUAUGGUACGAUGAGUGCCUUUUACGUUACUCAAAUAAGUAUAUUUUUUCUACCAUCGAGACGACGCGCACUGUCUAUUUGUGGAAUACUCAAAACGCAACAGACCCCGUCAAGUUUAACGAUCUAGUGGGGUCUUUGAUGGGUGAAGCUGCAUCCCAGGCAGUGAAUGAUCCCAAAAAGUUCGCUACAAAAAUGGCAAAUUUCACAUCCUUUCAAAAACUUUACGCACUUGCACAGUGUACACAAGACCUGUCAAGUUCUGAUUGUAACAAAUGUCUUCGAGGAGCGAUUGCCCAGUUGCCGACUUGUUGUGGUGGAAAGCAAGGAGGACGAGUGUUGACUCCGAGUUGCAUUGUCCGGUAUGAAGUGUACCCCUUUUACAAUGAACCAGCGACCCCGGCACCGGCACCUACUCCAGUUCUUCUUUCUCCUCCACCUCCUAGUUCGGUAAUCAGGCCUCGUGGUAAAGUUCAACCCACUUUCUAACACCAUUUCUUUCAUUAUUUUAAGCAAUGCUUUUUCGUUUGCUUUUGACUUUUCAGGGAUCGAAGAUAUUGAUACAUAUAUUUUUUUAUAAUUCCAAGGGAAACGCACCAGAAAAAUUUUAUAUAUUUGGUGUUGGACUUUUGUUUAUUCUAUUGAAAUUUCGGCUAAGAAGUAACCCAACACUUACAAACUAGCCUUAUCUCUAAACUGACACUUUUUAAAAGUUGGAUUUACAUUGAUUUUGUAAUCAAAGUGUCUGAUGACUUUAACCAUUAAAAACAAUGUUCGGUUUGGAUGUUUAAUUAUUCAAUUUGAUAUUUCACAGUCAUGAAUUUCUAGCAUGCCCAAUGAAACAUAUUGCUUUUUCCUGCAGGGAAAAGCGGAAUCUCAUCAUCAACAAUUAUUGCCAUCGUGGCUCCAAUUGCUGUCGCAGCAGUGCUUUUUGUUGCGUGCUUAUGCUUCCUAAGAAGGAGAGCAAAAAAGAAAUAUAAUGCUAUGCCGGAAGAAAAUGGUAAGCACGAGAGCUACAUUAUUACUAAAUCAGACAAUUUUUUAACAAGAGCAUGCACACAUACAAAUUGUUGCUACUUUUUUGAAGAGUAAAUAAAUUACUGUUUUGUGCAGCUGAUAACGAUCUUACAAUUCUAGAAUCCUUGCAAUUUGAUUUCGAGACAAUUGAAGUUGCCACAAACAAAUUCUCAACUGAUAACAAGUUGGGUGAAGGUGGAUUUGGUGAGGUUUAUAAGGUAUACCAUUGAUUAUCAUGACAUCUCUGGAAAUUUUUACCGGUUGCAAGAGGUUACACAAUACAAAUUUUGUAAUUGUUGAUUAAUGUAUAUUUGCAGGGUGUGCUUCCUAGUGGACAAGAAAUAGCCGUGAAAAGGCUAUCAGCAAGCUCAGGACAAGGUGCACAAGAAUUUAAGAAUGAGGUCGUUUUGGUUGCCAAGCUUCAACACAGAAAUUUGGUUAGGCUACUGGGAUUUUGCUUGGAGGGAGAAGAAAAGAUACUUGUCUACGAAUUUGUGCCAAACAAAAGCCUUGACUAUUUUCUUUAUGGUUAGGAUGAUUCACAUAAAUUUCAAUGUCUUAAAAGAGUUGAAUAUUCAAGACUUUUGAAUAGAUUGUUCGAGUUUUUAUCCGUCUUUUCAAGAUUGAUAGAAUUUCUGGAUUGCAUUUAAAUUCAAUUUCCGAAUUUCAAUUUGAAAUAUUGAUUUUGAUAUGUGCAGACCCUGAAAAACAAGGACAAUUGGAUUGGUCAAGGCGCUACAAGAUAAUUGGAGGGAUUGCUAGAGGAAUUCUUUACCUUCACGAAGAUUCUCGACUCAGAAUUAUACAUCGUGACUUGAAAGCUAGCAAUAUACUCUUAGAUGCAGAGAUGAAUCCAAAAAUUUCAGAUUUUGGCAUGGCAAGAAUAUUUGGAGUUGAUCAAACUCAAGGAAAUACUAGCAGAAUAGUGGGGACAUUGUAAGUAUAGACAACUAUUACCCUUUUUCACAUACUCUCCUUCUGAUUAGUUUACAAUUUAUGCAUUACAUCCUCUAGCAGAACCAUUUAGUCUGGAUUAUAAAUAAAUUGUAUAGAGUUAUUUGAAUAAUUUCAAAAGAUUUGUUGUUGUCUUUAGAUUGACUUAGUUGCUGGUUUACAGUGGUUACAUGGCCCCAGAAUAUGCUAUGCAUGGGCAAUUUUCUGUGAAAUCAGAUGUAUAUGGUUUUGGUGUCCUAGUCCUGGAGAUUAUAACUGGCAAGAAGAACAGCAGCUUUUAUCAAACAGAUGGUGCUAGAGAUCUUUUGAGCUAUGUAAGCAUUUCCCUUUAUUAGUGCCUAUAUCAUGGCACAAAAGUAAAAGCACUAAAAAAGAGGUAGAAACUGCAACCUUUUUUAAUAUACUUGAUAUACUGUUUGCAGGCUUGGAAACAAUGGAGGGAUGGAACACCUUUGCAGUUGUUGGAUCCAAAUCUGACAGAUUCUUACUCAAGAAAUGAAGUGAUUAGAUGCAUCCAUUUGGGCUUAUUAUGUGUCCAGGAAGAUCCAGCUGAGAGGCCAUCAUUGGCAACAAUAGUUCUCAUGCUCAAUAGUUACUCUGUCACACUUCCGUCGCCUCAACAGCCUGCAUUUUUCAUAGGCAGUCGAACUGAGAGGAGCUUGCCCACAAAAGAAUUUGAGUUCUCUGAUAAAUCUACAAGCAAGUCGAUGCCAUGGUCUGUUGAUGAAGCAUCAAUUACUGAAGUAUACCCCCGUUAACUUGUAAAAAUUGUUGACGAUGCUUCUUCUUUAUGUUAGUAUAUGUUCUCCCCAAGGGGAGUGCUGGUACAUUACGAGGGAGAAUGACAUGGUUUAUGACAAGCAAUAAUGAUAAAGAGGAGGCGCCCUUCAAAUUGAAUGGCGCCGCGUUACAUUUUCCAAAGUUUUUAUUUGUUGAAGUAUAUGAUUAUUGUAUGGAUGAGUAACGAUGCAACGUUGGGAAAUCAAAUAUUCCAUUACGGUGUCGUUUGCGUUUAGUGUCGUCCGGUUAGUGUUUGCUGGGUCCGGACUCCGGAGCCCAAUUUUCCAUUACGAUGUAGUUUGUGUUCUAUGCCGUAAGCAUCCAGUUCUGUCUGAGUCUUCAAUUUUUUCUUUUUCCCCUGAAAAUUGUCUCAAUCUAUUUAAUUUAGUGAAAAUUUCAACAAAAUUUGACUGAGAUUUUCCGUCUUUCGUGCUUGACUUCCCUUUUAUUGACUUUGCGUGGACAGGUCUCCUCUGCAAUAAUCAACUUCCGCAUCUUCACCACGCGUUUCAACUUUCAAACAAAGUUGUUUGAUCAAUCUCAUCGCCAUUCACCAACAAUAAUACUUAAUAAAUGAACAGAGAAAUUAAAAGCAAUAAAAAAUAAAAAAAGAGGAAGAUAGACGAUCAUCACAUAUGUAUAUCCGUAGUACUAAGAACUAUUUAUUGUAUUCAUUCCCGGGUGAGGUCAGCCUGAGGCUGAAAGCGAGAAUCCAAAUGCGUUCCUUCAAAUUAUUCAUUUUCUUUCCGUUUCUGUCUUUUGUAAGCAUUUUUCUCAGAUUCACAACUGCAGCUGACCCAGAAUACCUCGCUCAUAAUUGCCCAAAUACAACAACUUUCAGCAGGAACAGGACUUCUCAAUCCAACCUCCACCUUUUCUUCUCUUCUCUGCCCACUAACGCCAGCCGCAGCAACGGAUUCUUCAGCCGUUUCUACAACGCCACAGCAGGCCAAGACUCUGACAGAGUCUACGGCCUCUUCCUCGGCCGUGGCGAUCUUGGCAGCAGCGCCUGCCAAGGCUGUCUCGCUUUUGCUGCCAGAAAUGUUAAUAUCAAAAUUUCCUUCUUCCUUAUGUUGCAAAGUCCCUAAAUAUCAACUCUUCUAACAUAUAACCCCUUUUUGUUUUGUUUUGUCCAAUUUCAUUCAUUUACUAUGGCAAAUCGAUAAAUUUGCCACCUAAUUUAUAUCGAAAGUUCAAUUUGAUACCAAAGAAUUUUGAUAAUAGCUCUCUGUACCACCGAACCUUUUUUUUAUGUUAACAUCGUUAGGCAAAGGUUGAUGUCGCAGGGGCAAUUUCGGUAUUUCAAAAUUUGGUUUCAUCUGGUAAAAAGGGACGCCUCUUUAUAAAUCAAAACGGUCAAUGAUGGUGAGUCAAAAAAAGAAAAAAGGGCCAAUGAUGGUUUGAUAUAAAAUGAAAAAGUUGAGUGCUACAGAGAAAUUGAUAAUUUCCUAAUCAGAAAAUACAUAUGUAAUUACUAUUAUUAAAUUUAACAUUGUAGUUGAUAUGUAUUUUGAGAAACAAACUUCAUUCUAAUUGUUCUUUUAACAUUCAUAUUCAUAUCGAUAAAGAAAAAACUAUAUCUAUAUCAAUUUUAAUAAAUGUUAAAAGAACAAUUAAGAUGGAAUUAGUUUCUUAAAAUAAUUAUUUUUUUGAAAUUUAAUUGUAAUUGAUAUGUAUUUAUUAAAAUUGGUAUAAAUAUAAUUGUUAAAAGAACAAUUAAGAUGAUUUUUUUUUUAAAUAAAAAUUUUCAGAAUUUUUAAAAUUAAUAAUAUUAAAAUUUAGCAGCGGAUCAAUGGGUGACACAUGUCUGCCCCUAUUGAAUGUUAAAUUAACUUUAAUAAAUAUAUAUUCAUAUUUAAAGACUUUAACUAAUAACAUAAAUAAAAUUAUAUGAAAACUUAAUCGUAUAAUUUCAUAUUGGGCGUAGUAGGGGCAAUUUCAUAUAUAACUAUUUUUGUUACUUUUUUUCCAUGUAAGUGGAUAAAUUGUCCUUAUAUAUAUUUAAAUAAUUCCUAUAAUAAAAUUGUCCUAUGUAAAGUAUAUGUAAACUAUUUUAUCACUUUUUAAGUGGUAAUUUGAUAUAACAAUUUGGGUGUUGGAGUACGUUUUUGUAGGUACCCCGCAUCAUUAAAGCUUAUCCAAUGAGGAAAGAAGAUAAUUUUUGUUGUGAAGGAAAAAGUCCACUUUCACAAAUGCAUUUUCAAAUUUAUCAAAAGCUAAUCAUUCAUAUAUAUUCUAAAGCAAAUAACACAAAUCAUUUGAAAAUAUCAAAGACAUGCUUAAUAUUUUGGAGCAACUUAAUUAUUGAAAUUGGAAGAGAGAGUGAUUCUGGGGUUUUCACUUUUCAUCCACCUCUCUAUAGGUGAAAAUCGCGCAACUCAAAUGUUUAUUUGUCCUUCAAACUAAUUUCACAGUGGCUCUUGUGAGUUGUGAUAGGAUAAGUGGCGUUCAAAUAGCUGUACUCUUUCAGUUUGCAAGUGUACCCAUCAUUUAAGCCCAGCCCGGCCCAUUUAUACCCAACAUAAUGGGCUGCUUAUGAAAUACUCUCCUAUAAUUCUGUUGAAGUAAGAACCCCAUCAUUGUUUUCUGAACCUCGUUUCCUGCAAAAAUCAAUUACGCAAACAAUGCCAUUAAAAUAGUAGCAAUAAACUUUUCAAAGAAUGUACACGGGAAUCGGACUAGAUCAUGACAUUGUAGUGAAACAUGCGAUUUGGCUAAUUGGCUUCAAGAAGAUACGAAACGAUGACUUUUAAACUCUUCAAUUUGAAGAAUUUUCAAAUAAUAUUUGAAAGGUAUAAUAUUUAAUUAAUACAUAUAUAACAUGUAUAAUUUACUUAAAUAUAAUUUUCAAUUAUAUAAUAAUAUCCGUUCAUCAUUGUCUCCUUUUAUAUGUAGUACCGAACAAGUUAAGGAAGUCAUGUUCAUGCCCAACCUAGUUUUGAUCCAUCAGCAUUUUACGCAUAAUUAAAGGACAAAAUACUCCCUGGAAAAUAUAUUCAUAAUAGACAGCUAACAUGAGACUUGGCUAUGUUGCAAUUGUAGUAUCAUACUAUAGUUGCAAUCAGUCAUUGGAUCCACUUAAAUCUACUAUUGUACCAUUCAUCUAAGUGAAUUUAAUAGAUGGUUGUAACUGUGGCACGGUACCACAAUUACAAUAUAAUCAAACCCGCUAACAUGUAUCUCUGACGUCACGAAUUGACUUCUGUCUUGAUCAAUUUAAUGUUUUUUUUUUUCCUUCAACUAACUUUCCACAAAUUCUUCAAUCACAAAAAAAUAAAAAUAAAAUAAGAGUUCCAGAAUUUCAUUUGAUUGAGGCUUUGCGACUUUUUUUCUCCGGGUGAUUGGAAGCAAAACAAGUAAUUAAUUGGAACGGGACGAGCUUGACUUCACUUAGUUGACUUUGUGCAGACGAGUCCCGUUUCCGACGCAACUUUUGCAGCUUCCACUACUCGUUUCUUCAUUAUAUUUGAUAAAAUCUCGUCUCCAUAAUUAAUAAAAUAAAAGGUAGAAUAAAAAGCAAUAAAGAGGAAGAAGAGAUAGAGGAUUGUAUUUGUAAUCCACAGUACGCAACAAAAACCUGAGAUUCCAAAUGCCGCCCUUGAAAUUCUUCAUGGUCUUUUCGUUUCUCAUAUAUCUUUUAAGCUUCCAGUUCAGUUUUACAGCUGCAGUUGUCCCAAUAUACGCUACUCAUGUUUGCUCAACAACAGCAAAUUUCACCAGAAACAGCACCUAUGAAAAAAGCCUCAAUCUUUUCCUCUCUUCUAUUCCGACUAACGCCAGCCGCGGAAAUGGAUUCUCCAGCGGAUUCUUCAACGCUACAGCCGGUCAAGACCCAAACAGGGUCUAUGGCCUCUUUCUCUGCCGCGGGGAUCAAACUACCAGCGGUUGUCAAGACUGUGUCACCUACGCUACAAGAAAUGUACUUCAGCUUUGCCCAGUCAGCAAACAAACAACACUAUGGUACGCUGAGUGCCUUUUACGUUACUCAGAUCAGUCUUUCUUUUCUACCAUGGCCGCAGCUCCCACUGUCUCUUUGUUGAAUACAGAAAAUGUUACGGACCAAGGCAGGUUUAACGAGCUAGUGGGGACUCAGAUGAGCCAAGCUGUAACUCAGGCUGUGAAUAAUACCAAAAGGUUUGCAACGAGAAAAGCAAAUUUCACAGCCUCUCAAACACUCUACAGUCUUGCACAAUGUACACCGGACCUGUCAAGUUCGGCUUGUAACAGAUGUCUUCGAGAAGCCAUCGCACGGUUGCCAAUUUGUUGCAGUGGAAAGCAAGGAGGAAGAGUGUUGACUCCGAGUUGUAAUGUAUGGUAUGAAUUGUACCCUUUUUACAAUGAAUCAGCCACAGCGCCGCCAGCACCUGCUCCGGUUCUUCUUUCUCCUCCACCUCCUGGUUCGGUAACGACGUCUCGAGGUAAAUGUGAACCCACUUUUUAUUGCCAUUUUCAUUAUUUUAAGUUUUAUAUGCUUUAUCGUUUUCUUUUGAGGGGUCUGUCAAUGAUACAUCUGGAAGUUAUGAUUUUAAGUGAAAGGCAACCAGAUUUUAGGCUCCUUUUGGUAUUAAGCUACAGUUAAAGUGUUUGAUGAAUACUUUAUGUGGUGAUUUUGAAUUCAAGUUAAUUUUAUUCUACACUUAUCUUAUUUAAAAUUUAUACAUAUUACUAUACUUUUAACUUUUAUUUUAUAAAAGCCACUAAACUUUAGUCUUCACAAUUGUGAGGUCAUGAGUUCGAAUCCCUACAACGCAUUGUGGGGGUUUAAUUUCUUUCCUCAAAUUUGAGUGAAGGUAGAGUGGAGUAGACGUCCCUCGAAUAUCAGAGAGGGUAAAAAUUUAGGCAUGCUUCAUAAGAAUCGAUGUAAACUAGUCCCAGUAAUAAUCUGAUUUGUAAAUACAAUCAGUUGUAAUAUCAUGUAAUAUGAGUUGUACGCCGGAUCAAUAGUUUCAUGUAAUAAAAAAAAAAUUAUUUUAUAAUUAUAAUUUUUUUCCACUGUAACUCACUACUAAAUAGGGAGGACCUUAAAAAGUUGGAUUGAUAUUGAUUCAUAAUAUACGUGAUUGAUGAUUUUAACCAUUUAAAACAAUGUUUGUUCUAGUUUGUUCUAGAUAUUUAACAUUCAAUAUGAUAUUUCACAUUGAUGAAUUUCUAGGAUGCCUAAUGAAACAUAUUGUUUUUCCCUGCAGGGAAAAGCGGAAUCUCAUCAUCAACAAUUAUUGCCAUUGUUGCUCCAAUUGUUGUCACUGCAGUGCUUUUCAUUGUGGGCUUCUGCUUCCUAAGAAGGAAAGCAAAAAAGAAGUAUAAUGCUGUACCGGAAGGUAAUGGUAAGCACAAGAGCUACUUUAUUACCAAAUCAAUAGUUGUAACUUUUAACAAGAGUAUGUACGCAUACAAUUGUUGUAACUUUUUUGUGAGACUGAUUUAAUUACUUUUUGUUUGUGCAGCUGAUAACGAUCUUACAACUCUAGAAUCCUUGCAAUUUGAUUUCGAGGCAAUUAAAGUUGCCACAAACAAAUUCUCAACUGACAACAAGUUGGGUGCAGGUGGAUUUGGUGAGGUUUAUAAGGUAUACCAUUCAUUAUCAUGACAUCUCUGAAAGUUUUUAGCAGUUGCAAGACACGUCACAAAUUUUCUAAUUGUUGAUUAAUGUAUCUUUGCAGGGUGUACUUCCUAGCGGGCGAGAAAUAGCUGUGAAAAGGCUAUCAAAAAGCUCUGGACAGGGUGCAGAAGAAUUUAAGAAUGAGGUCGUUGUGGUUGCCAAGCUUCAACACAGAAAUCUGGUUAGGCUACUGGGAUUUUGCUUGGAGGGUGUAGAAAAGCUACUCAUAUACGAAUUUGUGCCAAACAAAAGCCUUGACUAUUUUCUUUUUGGUUAGGAUCAUUUACAUAAAUUUCAAUGUCUUAAGAGAGUUUAAUAUUCAAGAUUUUUUAAUAGAUUAUUUGAGUUUUUAUCCAUCUUUUCAGGACGGACAGAAUUUCUAGAUUGCAUUUAAAUUCAAUUUCCAAAUUUCAAUUUGAAGUAUUGAUUUUGAUAUGUGCACAGACCCUGAAAAACAAGGACAAUUGGAUUGGUCAAGGCGCUACAAGAUAAUUGGACUGAUUGCUCGAGGAAUUCUUUAUCUUCACGAAGAUUCUCGACUCAGAAUUAUACAUCGUGACCUGAAAGUUAGCAAUAUACUCUUAGACGCAGAGAUGAAUCCAAAAAUUUCAGACUUUGGCAUGGCAAAGAUAUUUGGAGUUGAUCAAACUCAAGGAAAUACUAGCAGAAUAGCUGGGACAUAGUAAGUAUAGACAACCAUUCCCCUUUUUUACAUACUCUCCAUUUGAUUAGUUUACAAUUUAUGCAUUAUAUCCCCUAGGAGAACCAUUUAGUCUGGGUUAUAAAUAAAUUGUAUAGAGUUAUUUGAAUAAUUUCAAAAGAUUUGUUGUUGUCUUUAGACCGACUUAGUUGCUGGUUUACAGUGGUUACAUGGCCCCAGAAUAUGCUAUGCAUGGGCAAUUUUCUGUGAAAUCAGAUGUAUAUAGUUUUGGUGUCCUAGUUCUGGAGAUUAUAACCGGGAAGAAGAACAGCAGCUUUUAUCAAACAGAUGGUGCUAGACAUCUUUUGAGCUAUGUAAGCAUUUCCCUUUAUUAGUGCCUAUAUCAUCACUCACAAGUAAAAGCACCAAAAAAGAGGUAGAAGCUGCAACCUUUUUUAAUAUCCCUCAUAUACUGUUUGCAGGCUUGGAAACAAUGGAGGGAUGGAACUCCUUUGCAGUUGUUGGAUCCAAAUCUGACAGAUACUUACUCAAGAAAUGAAGUAAUUAGAUGCAUCCAUUUGGGCUUAUUAUGUGUCCAGGAAGAUCCAGCUGAAAGGCCAUCAAUGGCAACAAUAGUUCUCAUGCUCAAUAGUUACUCUGUCAUACUUCCAUCGCCUCAACAGCCUGCAUUUUUCAUAGGCAGUCGAACUGAGAGGAGCUUGCCCACAAAAGAAAUUGAGUUCUCUGAUAAAUCUACAAACAAGUCGAUGCCAUGGUCUGUUGAUGAAGCAUCAAUUACUGAAGUAUACCCCCGUUAACCCGUAAGAACUGUUAACAAUGCUUCUUCUUUGGAUUGUAUAUGGUCUACCCAUGGGCAGGGCUAGUACAGUGUGGGGGAGAAUAACAUGGCUUAUGACAAGCAAUAAUGAUAAAGAGGCGGUGCCCUUCAAAUUGAAUGGUGCCGUGUUACAUUUUCCAAAGUUUUUAUUUGUUGAAGUAUAUGAUUAUUGUAUGGAUGAGUAAAGAGACAACGUUGGGAUAUCAAAUUUUCCAUUACGAUGUAGUUUGUGUUCUAUGUCGUCUGGUUAGUGUCUGCUGGGUCGGGAGCCCAAAGUUCAGUGAAGUUAUUCAGUGAUAAAACGGCUUGGCCAGUAUCGAUUUAACAUCUUCAUGGUUUUAAUUUAAAUUGUUCUUUGGGUCUUGUGCUAUGUUUUUACCUUUUAUAUGUAAAAGGAUAGAAUCAAUCUCCUCCUUAAAUUAAGAUGAUUCACAUGAUUGUGCUUGACUUUAGGAGUAAUCUCUGCAAUUCUAUAGACUAAGGAAUCCUCUGUAACUUUCCUUUUUCAGCUUCAUGAACUUGUAUAUAUAAUUGCUUGGCUUUACAGUAAUAUAUUAAUCCUUUUCACAAUCUCUGUCUCUGACUUUAUAUGGUAUCAGAGCAAGCUAUUACUCACACGAGUCAUUGAUCCUUGUCUUAAUCUCUUCUUUAUACUUCCACCAUGACCAACAAAUACUCAACAGCUUCUUCUUCAAAUCAAACAACUACCAACAUCUCCCUAAACCCAAACAACCUUAUAGCCAUCAAUGUAGCCAACCAACUUCCUUUAAAGUUGACUCCUUCGAAUUAUUACUCAUGGAAAUCACAGUUCGAUGCCUUGCUCUAUGGGUAUGAUUUAGUUGGGUAUAUUGAUGGAACAAAUCCUUGCCCUCCCUCACAUAUUGAGAAUGAUGGCAAUAAAGUCUCAAAUCCUGAGUAUAUUCUUUGGACAAGACAAGAUAAACUCCUUUUGCUCGGCAUAAUUGGCUCUCUUAGCCACAAAGUUGUCCCUGUGGUUCGGUCAUGCAAAACUUCUGCAGAAGCCUGGACACAUUUAGCAAAAAAUUAUGCCAAUCCUUCAUCCUCAAGAACCAUGGGGUUAACAGAACAACUCACCCUCAUUAGUCGAGGCUCACAACCAGUAGUCGAAUAUCUUGCUACUAUUAGCGACAUUGCAGAUGAAUUGGCUUUAAUUGGAGCACCUGUUCCAAAUCAAUACCUUAUUACUCACACUCUCAACGGCGUGGGUCCCGAAUUCAAGGAACUUGCAGCUGCCAUGCGGGCGAGCGAUACCAUGAUCAGCUUCGAUGAACUUCACGACAAACUUGUUGAAUAUGAAUCCUUUCUCAAACGAGAGGAACUUCGAUCUGCUGGAAAUCUUGGGAAUAUCACUGCCAAUGCUACCCGUUUCUCUUCCUCAAAAAAUGGUAAUCAAUUUGGCAAGAAAAACUUCCAAAACAACAAAGGAAGCCAGAGCCAACGACAACCCAAUUUUGGAAAUCAAGGCAGCACCCUUGGAAAUCAAGGUAAUAAUUUCAAUUCAAAUAAUUUUGGAAAUCCAAAUUCGGGCAAGAAUACCACUGUGAUUUGUCAAUUUUGUGAGAAACGGGGACACACUGCACGCCAAUGCAAUGCUGCAAAGAAAUUAUUUUUUACAGCCUCAGCACCUACUGCAAAUCCAACCACCACUUCCAAUAACAUGGCAUCUAAUUGGUUGUUGGAUUCCGGAGCAUCUCAUCAUGUCACUUCCGACAUUAGCAACCUAUCUCUUCAUCAACCAUAUGAAGGCCCUGAUGACAUUGUAAUCGGUGAUGGCACUGGUCUAAAUAUUACACAUGUUGGCAAGUCCACUCUUUCCACUCCAUCUUACUCAUUUUCACUUUCGAAUGUUUUGUGUCCCAUCUAUGAAGCAAAACUUAAUAUAUGUCUCACAUUUUUGUAAAACAAAUAAUGCAUCCAUUGAAUUUUAUCCCUCUUCCUUUUGUGUGAAGGAUCUAACCACGGGGGCACUACUCGCGGAGGGACGGAGCAAGAAUAAUGUCUAUGAGUGGUCUGCUGGAGAUGUCUCUACAAGUAUGAUGAAGCAAGCUUGCAUGAGUAUUAAAGCCUCUCUUAACCAUGAGUAUUAAUACCGCUCAGUUGCUUCAGCAGUAGCCGAACUUACAUGGAUUACAAAUCUUCUUAGUGAGCUACGUCUCCAACUCCCUCUGCCACCUCGUCUAUUAUGUGACAAUAUAGGUGCCACAUACUUGUGUGUCAAUCCGGUCUUUCAUUCACGGAUGAAGCAUCUCGCCCUCGACUAUUAUUUUGUGCGUGAAAAAGUUUCAGCUGGCUCUCUCCAAGUUGCUCAUGUCUCCACCAAUGAUCAACUAGCGGAUGUCCUUACAAAACCGUUAGCUAAGUCUCGUUUUGCCUUACUUCGAUCCAAGAUUGGUGUCACUGAUGGCACCAUCAUGCGGGGGCAUAAAAGGAUAGAAUCAAUCUCCUCCUUAAAUUAAGAUGAUUCACAUGAUUGUGCUUGACUUUAGGAGUAAUCUCUGCAAUUCCAUAGACUAAGGAAUCCUCUGUAACUUUCCUUUUUCAGCUUCAUGAACUUGUAUAUAUAAUUGCUUGGCUUUACAGUAAUUUAUUAAUCCUUUUCACAAUCUCUGUCUCUGACUUUAUAAUAUGCUUAGUAAGUAUGGACUAGUAUUAACCAUCUAUCCUAGAUUAUAAACAAAUAGUAUAGAUUUAUUUCAAAAUUGUCUUUAGUUUGACUUAGUUGCUGGUUUGUAGCGGUUACAUGUCCCCAGAAUAUGUUAUGCAUGGGCAAUUCUCUGUGAAAUCAGAUGUACAUAGUUUUGGUGUCCUAGUUCUGGAGAUUAUAACUAGCAAGAGAAACAGCAGUUUUUAUCAAACAAACGAUGCUGAAGAUCUUUUGAGCUUUGUAAGCGUAAACAAGAUAAUAUGUUGACACUUUCGCCUUUAUUAAUGCGAAUAUAAUCACACACGAGUUAAAAGUUACACAAAAUUUACGGACAUUUCGGUUAUGACUUGAUAAUAUAUAAUUUGCAGGGUUGAAAACAUUGGAGGGAUGGAACACCUUUGUAGUUGUUGGAUUCAAAUCUGGCAGAUUCAUACUGAAGAAAUGAAAUGAUCAGAUGCAUCCAUAUAAGCUUAUUGUGUAUCCAGGGAGAUCCAGCUGAGAGGCCAUCAAUGGUGACAAUAGUUCUCAUGCUCAAUAGUUACUCUGUCGCACUUCCAUUGGCUCAACAGCCUGCAUUUUUCAUUGCUAGUCGAACAGGGAGGAUCUUGUCGGCAAAAAGAAUUUGAGCGCUGUGAUAAAUCUACAAGCAAGCUAGUGGCAUGGGUUUGGUAGUAAAUGAUGAAACUUGAAAUAUAACUCAUCCUUUGAUAAUUACAAACUGUAAAAAUGUACGAUUGAUUAGUUUGAAACCGCGAUGUUAGUAUAUAAUUUAGUCAUGGGCUGGCCUGGUGUAGUAUGGCAAAAGACUGACAUGAUUUAUCACAAGUAAUUAUGAUGAAAAGGAGAUGUCCUUCCUUCGAAGUUAAUGUUCCUCUCUCUCUCUCUAAACCUGUCUCGCUGUUUACCCUGUAACCUUAAUGUCGACAAAAUUGAAACACAAUGCUAAAUGUUUGAAUUUUAUUUUUCUUCCUGAAAUUAACGAAUUUGGUUUACAAAAUAAUAAUCUCAAGCUCAUUUUCAAUACGAUAUUAUGAUUUAAUUCAAUAUUUUGAUUCUUGAGAAAAUUUUAUAAUACUUUUCUUUCAUAAUUCUGUUGAUAAAAUGUUUUGCGAACUGCAAGUCCACUUAGUUUUUAUUUGUACUUCUUAAAAUUUUAAGAUCAAUCAUUAUUCACUCUUAUUUUAUCUGCUUGAUAAAUUUUUUAAUAGAAUAUAAAUUAUAUUCUUUUACUUUUACUUUUUUUUUUUUUUGGUAUCGGGAUACAAGUUACUAUGUUGGAUAAUUUCAUAUAUCUUUUUUUAGUAGAGAUUUCUUAUAACUGUAUAAUUGAUGUUUAGUUUCCCUGAAAAAAUAAAAAUAAAUCUCAUAAUUAUUACAUUCACUAAAACUAAUUUUAGCACAAAAAAAAAAAAAAAAAAAUUCUUGCCUUCGCCUUGGUAGAAUUUAUCACGAUCUAAAUUCGAGAAUUUGAGGGGCAGAAACAAAAAAAAUUAUCGAAUGUAGAGAGGAAGCUUGCUUAUUAUUUGCGCAUGUUAGUUGGCAAUAGCUAAUUGGGCCAAUUGGGCUUUGCUAGGGUGGGCUUUAUGCUUUCCUUGAGUAAACUGAAAAUAGUGGAGCUUUUAACACUCCCAAAAAAUCCUUAUAUCACCCUUUUUGAUUUUAUUCUCUGAAAUAUUCCCAACUUAAUUUAUAAACUACUAUCGAUAAACUAAAAUCAAUAAUCUUUUCAUUCACUUCAUCUUGAAAAUAAUAUUUAAUUAUCCAAAAAUAUUCAUCCCUGUAUGAAAGUUUCUUGGGUACGUGAUCGCUAUAAAAACUCUCAGAGAGUUUUGUCCCCAUUUUCUUAACUAAUAUCAUGCUGAUCCUUUUGACUUUUUAUUAUUUAUAUUAUUUGCAUACAUCUCUGAAUAGUUAUGUGAAAAUCAGAAGACAGCUAACACCAGGUGGGCAGUUAGAACCUGAUAUGUUUCUUACCAUUUUUCCAUUUACCCUUAAGCAUACUUCCCGGAGGUUGUUUAAAUCCCGUAUGUGUAUGAGUGUGUGUGUGUGUGUGUGUGUUUGCAUUUGGAGCAGUGGAUACAAGGCUCUAGAGUAUGCUAUGGAAGGACUAUUCUCAGUGAAAUCUAAUGCUUUUAGCUUUGGUGUAAUGGUGCUUGAGAUUAUAAGUGGGAAAAGAAACAGUGGAUUCUAUCUUACAGGACAUGCUCAGACACUUCUUGCAUACGUACGUCUAACGUGGCUGCUAGCGAUGAAGUGAAAUUUUGCUUCAAAUUGAUAUUAUUAUGAUUAUUAUUAUUAUUAUUAAUGUCGGAUUAAUAAUUUCUUUUGAAUUGAAAUUAAUGGAAAAGAAAUGGAAUUUGUAGACCCUUUGUUUAUGGAAUCAUGUUCGACACCACAAGUGGUGAGAUGCAUACACAUAGGGCUGCUGCAUGUGCUGUGCAAGAAGAUCCGGCAGUAAGACCACACCAUGUCAAAUGUGGUGGCUCUUUUGGGAAGUGAAUCAAUAGCUCUUCCAGAACCAAGGCAACCUCCAUUUCCUGUGGGUAGAAUUGUUACCGCUGAUCAACCUUCAGCCAAAGAUCCUUCAGUGUGUGACCUCACCGUUUGUACUCUCUCACCGCGAUAACCGUUACAUUGUUUUUCAUUUUUUAUAUGGUUGACAAGUUCAUGCACAAGGCAAAUUGUAAAACGAAUAGAUUUGAUCCUUUCUUUGUUUCUUGUCUUGACAGUUUUUCAGCGUUUAAAAUGAAAAUCGCACGUGUUUAUUUGUCUUUUAAAGUAAUUUCAUCAGAAGAAAUAAUAUGCCUCAUAACCCAGUGGUCCUCAUUCCAUGUCUGGAAGUAGAUUUUUUUUAAAUUAAAAAAAAAAUGGAAGUAGUUUAUUCCUAAAUAUAGUAAUUUAAGUCGCGCUAUAAUAAAAAUGAUAUUGAUUUAUCUCAAUGGAUCUCUAAUUUUAUAAUAUUAUUGCACAACAAUACGUCGAUAAAUUAAUAGCAUUGGAACCAAGAAAAAGUUAUUAAUUAAGGGAAUAUUAACUAAUCAAAUUAUAGUUUAGCACAUUGACCCUAGGUCUCGAUUGGAAAAAAAUUAUUGUUUAAUCCAUGUUUUACUGUAAUUGUAAUUGAAAAAAAAAAAAAACACUCUACUCAUUUAGUGAUUGAGCAAAUUGAAUCUAGACUAUGCUUAGUAAAAAGGCCAAGCCGAUCCUGUCAUGUAUGGCCAGCCCUCCAUGUGAGGGCCCGAAUAUGGGCUUAAAUUUUAAGGUUUAUUUUGAGAGGACCUAGACAUCAACUUACGAAAAAAAUUAUGGGCUAGGCUUGGACCUUUUUUUAAUUAUUAAAUUUAUAAAUAUAUGUUAUAUUAAAAAAUGCAAUACAAAAAUAAACAAAAUACGUAAAUCCUUAAUUCCUAAUUCCUAAAUCAAAAUAUCACUUUUUUCGGGGAGAGUAUGUCUUUUUUUUAAAAAAAAAAAAUGCUGUGUCAUUUUAGUUUUGUUUUAUUUUGUUUAAUUAUUUUUUAAAAAAAAUCUUUGGAAGCCUAGAUCAGGCCUUGUUCCAUAAUGGGCCUGGCCCUGCUUUGGUCCAUCAGACUUAAACGGACCUAGCACGGACUUAGGCCAAUUCUCUCAAACAUGGACGGACCUGGCCCGACGAUUCACUUGCCACUGAUAACCUGGAUCUUAAUUAAAUAAAUCACCAUGUAAGCUCAGCCCAUAUACCCCAACAUAAUGGGCUGAUUAUAAAAUACUCUCCAAAAUCUGUUGAACUUGAAUUCCCCAAUCACUGUGAUUUAAAUCUCGUUUCCCGUAAAAUCAAUUAUCGAAGGCAACUGUUGCUUUUAAAUUUAAAAAUUAUAAUAAUCAACUUUUCAUCGUCGAAGGCAUGUGUACGGUAAUCGGACUGGAUAAAGGUAUCUCAAUUCAAUCUAGAAUGAAACCCUUGAUUUGGCUAACUUGGCUUCUGAGAAAUAUCAAACGAUGACUUUUUUAUACCCGACCAUCCUUCACUCUCUCUCUUUAUUUUGAAAAAAAAAAACAAUUGUAAUAAAAUUUUGUUACGCCUAUCUUGUGAAAAUCAAAAUUUAACCCCAACAUAAUUUUGAGCUAUUAAUAUUCUACAAUAAGUAGUGGACAAAAAUGAAUAAUAAUAUAUGUACAAUAAUUAAUACAACAAUUAGUACAACAUCCAUAAGAGAUCCAAAAAAUAUAUAUAUAUCUUAUAGUGAAAAUUUCUUUUGUCUUAUUGUUAAAUUUUUUUGUCCUGUAGUGAUGUUGUACUAAUUGUGGAAAGUACAUCAUUAUUGGGACAAAAUACUCUCUUCAUAUAUCUUCAAAAUUAGGAAAGACUGGGACUAUUUUAACUUAAAAAUUAAAAUUAAAAUUAAAAUUUUUAAGAAAAAACUAAGCAAUUAAUUUUACAUAAUCUAAUAAUACAUAUUAAAAAUCAAAAUAGUAUUUAAUGGUGAAUUUAUCAACUAUUUAAUCAUAUAAAAAUAAUGAAUUGAAAUUGAUUUAAAAAUUAAAAUAAUUUAACCCAUUAAAAAAAUAAUGUUGGGAAUUCCCAUAGUUGAGUCUAAAUAUCCAAGUAACAUGUGUCAUUCAUUUAUUAAAUCAUAAAUUUUAUAAUUAGUCAAAUUAAUAUUCUAUCGUUAGCAUUACUCAUUACAAAAUUCCACAUAGCCAUCGAAAUGCUCCAACUCCCAUAGAUUCAUGUGGAGGUGGCAAAAUGGGUAAAACACAAUUACAUGAUAUGGAUACAUCACAAUUUUUUCGUAUUCAUAUUGACAAAUAUUGACACAAUUAAUAAAUAAAUUAACACGACGCCACACGAUAAGAGAAGAUAAAUAAUUGUGUUGUAGACCACCUCAACACAAUUACAUGUUUCUAACAUGAAUAUCAAUUAAUAUGUUGUAAUAUUAUUAAAAAAAUAAUAUAUAUAUACCGAACACUAAAUUAUUAUUCGUAUUAUAUUUAUAUUGUGUUAUAAAUUUAUUUGUGUCAUAUUUAUGUCAUAUUAACUUUUUUAUAAAAUAUUUUUAAUAGUAAUAUUGACAUAUUUGUUAUUUUUAAUUUUUUUAUAUAAAAAAUGCUGAACGGAUAAAACACGAUUAACAUGAUUAAUAAAUAAUUUGUGUUUAUGUUUUAAUGUUUGAUGGUGUUAAUAAAUAUUAAAUAGAUCCUAUUAGUAAUUACUUAAAUUUUAACACCACAUAAUUACUUAGAACACCACACGAUUACUGGAAUUCACACCUCCACUUCUGUCUUAAUCAAUUUAAUUUAAUAUAUUUAAUUUAUACAAUGAAAAUGACAUCAUGUAACAUCUACCUUGUACCAGCCGUCACGCUCACGCAUCCACUUCUGUCUUAAUCAAUUUAAUUUAAUAUAUAUAUAUAUAUAUUUUCUCAUCUUAACCGUUCACAAAUUUUGACUGAGAUUUUCUGAUUAUUUUUUUCUCUCCAUGUGAUCAGAAUUCAGAAACAAAACAACUAUAUGUAGUUGGAAUGGGACCAUUUGUUGACUUUGUAUGCAGACUAGUGACAAGUCUACAUUGCCAACAGGGAAUAUUAUUGCAAGUGCUCUAAAAUGUAUGAUCACUCACACCCGGCCGCUGGAUGAAAAAUAUCUUUAAAAAUAUUUAAAAAUGAAUGAAAAUACAAAAUUCAAGUGAAACUCAAUAUAUAUAACCACUUAAUCACGUGGCGAUCGCUUUGAAAAGGUAUAAAAUUGAUUCAGAAAUUAUGAAAAUUGACGAAAUUACGUGCCGAAAGCCAAAUAAAACAAAAAAAAAAUUGAUACAAAUUUAACGGUAGAAAAUGAAUUACAAAAUUUGAAGAUUUAAAUCAAGCAAUCAAAAUCUCUCGCCAAGUCCGAAUUUCAGUCAUGUUCUCGCCAAAUUAAGAGAAAAUCAAAAUAAUUUAUGAAAAUUCAUUAAAAAGUGACUAAACACGAACUCACAAGAACGAGUCUCUUUUACAAGACAUCAAAGUCAAGGAAAGCUUUUAUCCGGAGGAUUUUGCUACCUUACAUUACAUGUAAGGUAGCAGCUCCCUUAUCCGGAUCAUUGAAAAGUUUUUUACAUAAAAUCUCACCACUGACAUAAAAAAAAACAAAAAAAGUACAAAACUAAAAACAAUAAAAUUAAAAAAGCAGAAGAAGAGAUUAUACUCCGUAGUUAAGUACGCAACAAAAUGCUGGGAAUUCAAAUGCCUCCCUCGAAAUUCUUCAUGUUGUUUCUGUUUGUGAUCUAUCUUUCAAUAAGCUUCCAAUCCAGUUUUACAGCUGCAGCUGACCCAACAUACGCUUAUCAUGUAUGCUCAGCAAAUUUCACCGGAAACAGCACCUAUCAAACUAACCGCAAUCUUCUGCUAUCUUCGCUUCCCACAAACGCCAGCCGAGGCAAUGGAUACUCCAGCGGUUUCUACAACGAAACCACCGGUCAAGACCCUAACAAGGUCUAUGGCCUCUUUCUCUGCCGCGGGGAUCAAACUGCCAGCAGCUGCCAAGACUGUGUCACUUUUGCCACCAGAGAUUUAGUUCAGCGUUGCCCAGAUGGCAAACAAACCAUAAUAUGGUACGAUCAGUGCCUUUUGCGUUAUUCAAAUCGGUCUAUCUUUUCAACCAUGGACACAGUGCCCUAUGUCUCUUUGUUGAAUACACAAAAUGUUACGGACCGAGGCAGAUUUAACCAGAUUUUGGCGUCUUUGAUGAGCCAAGUUGUAAAUCAGGCUGUGAAUAAUUCCAGAAAGUUCGCGACACGAACGGCAAAUUUCACAGCCUUACAAACACUUUACAGUCUCGCACAGUGUACCCCUGACCUGUCUAGUUCUGACUGUAACGUAUGUCUUCAAGCAGCUAUUGCAGAGUUGCCGAAUUGCUGUAGCGGAAAAACAGGAGCACAAGUCUUGAUUCCGAGUUGUAUUGUCCGGUAUGAAUUUUACCCGUUUUACAAUUUAUCAGCCACAUCGCCACCGCCACCUGCUCCGGUUCUUCUUCCUCCUCCACCCCCUGGUUCCGCUCGAGGUAAAAUUGAAGUUGAACCCCCAGUUUAUAUGGCCCUUUUUUAUUUUUUUAAAUUAUUUAAGUUAAUGCUUUAUCCUUCUUAAUGCUUUAUUUAUCUUUUUCUUUUGACGGGAGAGGGUACGGUCAGGGUGUAUGAUAUUCUGUAAUUUAAAUAUAAUUCUAAGGGAAACAAACUGGGAUUUUUUUUUUUAAUUUAUUUGCUCCUCUGUUCUGUUUAUUCUAUUGAAAGUUUGGCUAAGGAGUAAACUCAAGACAGAAAAAAUAGCCUUCAUUCUCUACUCUAUCUAACUCAACACUAAUAAAAAGUCGGAUUUACAUUGAUUUCAUAAAUGGACGUAAUUGAUGAUUUUAACCAUUAAAGAUAAUGUUUUUUUUUUUUAAUGUUUAAUUAUUCAAUUCGAUUCCUAUAUUUACACUCAUGAAUUUCUAGUAUGCCUAGAGAAACAUAUUGUUGUUUCCUGCAGGGAAAAGCGGAAUCUCAUCAUCAACAAUUAUAGCCAUUGUUGCUCCAAUUGCUGUCACUGCAGUGCUUUUUAUUGUGGGCUUAUGCUACUUUAUAAGGAAAGCAAAAAAUAAGUAUAAUGCUGUACCGGAAGUGAAUGGUAAACACGAGAGCUACUUUAUUACUAAAUCAAACAAUCUUUUGACAAGAGUACGUACGCAUACAACUGUUGCAAAUUCCUUUUUUUUUUCUUUUUUGCAGCGGAUAAUGAUAUCACAACUCUAGAAUCCUUGCAAUUUGAUUUCGAGACAAUUGAGGUUGCCACAAACAAUUUCUCAACUGAUAACAAGUUGGGUGAAGGUGGAUUUGGUGAAGUUUACAAGGUAUACCAUCAUUAACACUUCUGAAAGUUUCUGGUAGUUGCAAAAGGUUACACAGUAUAGAUUUUCUAAUGAUUGAUUAAUGUACAUUUGCAGGGUGUACUUCCUAGUGGACAAGAAAUAGCUGUAAAGAGGCUAUCGAGAAGCUCCGGACAAGGUGGACAAGAAUUUAAGAAUGAGGUCGUGUUGGUCGCCAAGCUUCAACAUAGAAAUCUGGUUAGGCUACUGGGAUUUUGCUUGGAGGGCGAAGAAAAGAUACUUGUCUACGAAUUCGUACCCAACAAAAGCCUUGACUACUUUCUAUAUGGUUAGAUCAUUUCCUUAAACUGUAAAGACUUAAAAAGAGUUGAACAUCCAAGAUUAGUAUUGAUUAUUCAAAUAUUUUCAUUAGUCUUCUCAAGAGUGACAUAAUUACUUUAGUUAGCAUUUGAAUUCAAUUUCCUAAUUUCAAUUUGAAAUUUUUAUUUUGAUGUAAGCACAGAGCCCGAAAAACAACAACAAUUGGAUUGGUCAAGACGCUACAAGAUAAUUGGAGGGAUUGCUCGAGGGAUUCUUUAUCUUCACGAAGAUUCUCGGCUCAGAAUUAUACAUCGUGAUCUAAAAGCUAGUAAUAUACUGUUAGAUGCAGAGAUGAACCCAAAAAUUUCUGAUUUUGGCAUGGCAAAGAUAUUCGGAGUUGAUCAAACUCAAGGAAAUACAAACAGAAUUGUUGGUACAUAGUAAGUAUUGACUACUAUUUCAUACUUUGCAUCCCUUAGUAGAACCAUUUAGCCUGGAUGAUAAAUUAAUUGGAUAGAGUUGUUGAAUAGUUUCGAAAUAUUGUCUUUAGACUGACUUGGUUGCUGGUUUACAGUGGUUACAUGGCCCCAGAAUAUGCUAUGCAUGGACAAUUCUCUGUCAAAUCAGAUGUAUAUAGUUUUGGUGUCCUCGUCCUGGAGAUUAUAACUGGCAAGAAGAACAGCAGCUUUUAUCAAACAGAUGGUGCUGCAGAUCUUUUGAGCUAUGUAAGCAUAAAUAGAGUUAUAAAUCUUUAAAUUUUCCACUUUGUUAGUGUAUACAUCAUCACUUACAAAUAAAAGCACUAAAAGGGAGGUAGAAAUUGCAACCCUGUUUCAUUACACUUCACUUUGCAGGCUUGGAAACAUUGGAGGGAUGGAACACCUUUGCAGUUGCUGGAUUCAAAUCUGACAGAUUCUUACUCAAGAAAUGAAGUGAUUAGAUGCAUCCAAUUGGGCUUAUUAUGCGUCCAGGAAGAUCCAGCUGAGAGGCCAUCAAUGGCAACAAUAGUUCUCAUGCUCAAUAGUUACUCUGUCACACUUCCGUCGCCUCAACAUCCUGCAUUUUUCAUAGGCAGUCGAACUGAGAGGGACUUGCCCACAAAAGAAUUUGAGUGCUCUGAUAAAUCUACAAGCAAGUCGAUUCCAUGGUCUGUUGAUGAAGCGUCAAUUACUGAAGUAUACCCCCGUUAACUUGUAAGAACUGUUAAUGAUGCUUCUUCUUUAUGUUAGUAUAUGAUCUACCGAGGGGCAGGGCUGGUACGGUAUGGGGGAGAAUGGCAUGGUUUACGACAAGCAAUAAUGAAAAAGAGGAGGUGCCCUUCGAAUUGAAUUAUGCCGCGUUGCUUUAUCCAAAGUUUUUAUUCGUUGAAGUAUAUGAAUAUUGUAUGUGUGAGUAAUGAUACAACGUUGGGAUAUCAAAUUUUCCAUUACCAUGUAGUUUUUGUUCUAUGUCGUCUCGUUAGUGUCUGCUGGGUAGGGAGCCCAAAGUUCAGUGAAGUUAUUCAAAGUGAUAAAAUGGCUUGGCCAGUAUUGAUAUAACAUCUUCAUGGUUUUAAUUUAAAUUUUUCUUUGGGUCUUGUGCUAUGUUUUUACACUUUAACAUGUGGGGAUAUCAAGAUUAGCUUUGCUGGGCAUUCGAUCUGAAACAUUAUUUUAAGAGUUGCAUCAGCAGGUAUUCCAUGCCAUAUUUUUCUUCAUUAGUUUGUGAGUUCGUUCUUUCUAUGUGCAUUCAGUGAAAUAAAAGCCGAAACAACACUUAUCAUUCCAGUGGUUGCAAAAUAACAAAUAAGAUUGACGAAAGUUGUUAUACCCAACCUAUUUUAAUCUAUUAAUAAUAUUACACAAUAAUUAAAGGACAAAAUACUCUGGAAAAUAUCUUCAAAAUUUAGAAAAUUCCAAAUAGCCAUCGAAUUAGCCUGACUCCCACGCAUGUACUGUUGUUUAACCUAUUUUCUGCCUCAAUCUAUUUAAUGUCGUUUUUCCUCGAGUGUUGAUAUUGAGUCCCACUUUGUUGACCCAUUUUCCUGCAAACGGUAAUUUGCCUGUCGUUUUUACUUCUGUCAUUAACUCAUUUUAAAAUACAUUCACACGUAAAUUUAAAAUCAAAGUCAUUGUUUGAUUAAUGGCAUGGUAGUCAUGAACCCUUCGGUAUCCGGUGGUCUCUGAUCAUGCUUUGCAACUUUUGGGAUCAAUUACAAUUAUACUGACAAGACUUAAUCACAAUCAACAUAAAGGAGUGUAACAACAUAAAGGAGUGUAACAUGGGGUCAAAAUCAUGAAAAUUAUUUUGGCACUUAGCUUCAAUUACCUAAAAUAACGUAUGGGACAAGAUUUACAUUGAUUUGAUGAUAUAAUCUUUAAACUACUCUUGUUAUAUACAAAGUUGUGAU
rnacentral:lncRNA from 1 species